CUUGUUAGUUAUGUGAUUUAGAAUGAGCUUAGUUAAGAGAAUGUAUGUUCUUCUUAAAUGUACAAUUGCAGUUCUUCCCGAAAAACGAGAGUAUGUAUCUCUUUUUACUGGAGCUGAGGAUUCAGAGGUAAUUGAGAAGAGAGGUAAAAUGCGGAAGCAGAUCAAAGCCAAUAUUAUUGUUGCUGCUGCUAGUGGGAAAGAGUUAGAAGGUAAACACAUGAUAUUUAGAGAUGCUUAUUUCUGAACUAUGAAGUAUCAUAGCUAAUAAUUGAUAAUUUAUGUUAUGGUUGUCGACAAACAGAGACACGGAGUGAAGACGAUGGUCUUCUGGAUCUGGACCUUAGUGAUGAUGAUUUCUUUGAUAAAGGGAGUUCAAGCGAUGAAGCAGAUGCAGAUGAUGAAUUGACCGAUAAAAGCGCAAAGUAGUUAAAUGUAGAAUACUUUCUUUUAGACGUUAAUACUUUUAAUUGAAACUUACUAAUAAAGAAAAUUUCUGACUAUAUUUCUUAGGGAGGCUGCUUCUAGUGCUUCUGGUAGAGCAACUUCUGGCGUGUCUAGUUAUGAAAGGAAUCAGGUACGAUGAAUGGUGAUGCCACUUUUUUCUACAGACAUGGUUUCUAUGACAAACUCUGAUUUACAAAUAUGAAUGUUGUGAAAUCUUGUAGAAGCAAAAUUCUGAUAGGUUGUGAUAAAAAGACACAACUGUUCAAAACUGCAAUGACAUUUAUUCGGACUGUUAUAUUAUAUAGAUUUAGUCUAUAUCAUAAGUAACAAUUAUACAUUUGAUUUUGACAUUGUACUAUAAUUUUUAAUAAAAAUAUAUGAUUGUUUUUGUAUUUUGAUAAAUAAGGUGUAACUUGUUUUUUAACAUAAGAAAAUAUGAUUUUCUUUCAUAUGACAAUAAGGGUUCUCUCAUGUACGUAAUAGCUUGAAUGUAUACGAUAAAUGUACAAAUAGAGAUGUCAAUCGGUGCUUCUACGGAUCCCUAUACAGUUUCUGACUCUUGUCAGUAUUCAACCACUACCCGCACCCAUGUCUCCUCAGCCUUGGAAGCUGAAGCAUGGGCAGUGUUGUUGGCUCUUCAUCAAGCUCAGACCUGUGGUUUUGAAGCUAUUCACAUCUUUUCGGACUGCCAAGUGCUUGUGAAGCUCUUAAACUCCGAAGACAUCCAUACCGAUAUUCAUUCCAUCCUUGGUGAUAUCAGGGCGAUUUGUUCCUCUUUUAAACUCUCUCUGUUUUCUUUUAUUCCUAGAUUAGCUAAUGGCAAGGCUGAUUCUGUGGCCACAUGUGCUCUUCAAGCCAUUGAAAACAACAAUGUUCCUUAAGUUUUAAUGGAAUCUUCUUAUGACAAAAAAAAAAGAGAUGUCAAUCGGUACAAACCAAUACUAACUGAUUUAUGAAAUGAAAAUGCUUUCUAAAGUAUGAUACAAAAUACGCAAGGCUGGAUAUGCAACACGAUUUGGGAAUUGUUGUAGCAAUUCUCUCGAGUUCUUCAUUCUGUUUCUUAGCAGUUGUUAAAAGCAUCUUAGGCAAAUCAAAUUUUCAUCUGAAAACAUGAAUCAUCAUCAAGUCUGCAAAACGAAGACCUUCAAUUUUCUCAAACCAAACCUGAAACUUAGAAACCAGAACAUGUACCUCAUACGUCCAAAUUCUGCCAUUCAAUUCACCAAAACAUGUAAUCUAUAACGUCUACAAUCUUGGACAAAACCACCUAUUUCCUUUGUUAAAUGCAACUUUGAUCCAGGUGUUGAUAUCAAUUCUUCUCGGGGAACAGCGGGUUGGAUAAUUCGAGAUCACCAAGGGGAGGCUAAAGCAUGGGGUUUGUCAAUGCUGGCUCACAUUUCUUCUCCGUUAGAGGCAGAAACAAAGGCACUGUUAGUGGCUAUGCGGCAAGCUUGGAUUAGAGGUUACAAGAAGAUUCACUUCGAAGGGGAUUGUGAGAUUCUUAUUAAGGCGAUCACAUGUCUUUCACCACAUAGCGAAAUUGCAAACCUUUUACUUGAUAUUGAUCUUUGGUCAUCCAGAUUUUCUUCGGUUUUAUUUACCUUUGUAAGACGUCAUUGUAAUAGCAUAGCCCAAUUUUUCACUUUUAUUGCUUGUAACAACACUUUUAUUGCUUGUAACCAUAUCAAUUUACAUGCUUAAACAAGUUUGAUUUUCUUCUUUCAACCAAAAGUGGCACUUGAUGUAAAAACGUUAUUUUCUUUUUGAAUUUAAUUUAACAUUGCAUUCAAAAAAAAAAAAAAAACACAGAGUUCUAUUCUGACUCGGUGAAUCAGCCUUUGUGGCUCAGAAACCUUCUUUGUAACGAUUCAAGUUAAUCAAUAUAUUCAGUUUGCAUAAAAAAAAAAAAAAAAAAAAAAAAAAAAAAAAAAAAGACAAAGUUGGGCCGUUUCAAUGAUUUCAAGAUAAUUGUACACGUGGAAGCGUUCACGAACCAACGAGAGAAGACAAUCAAAUGAUUACGUUACACGUGUCGGUUACAAACUUGUCGGUCACUUUGGUAAAUACGACAGACAGUAACCAAUUAAUACUAAUCUCUUUCGAUAACGAACACAAAAAAAAAAAAAAACCGUUUUUUUUUUCUAUGGCUCCAAAACUCUGAGACAGAGCAAGAAACAGAGAGAAGAUAAAGUGAUGAAAAAAAUGGCAACGGUCACGAUUCUCUCUCCCAAAUCGCUCCCAAAGAUCAUAGAUUCGAAGUUUGGAGUUAAGGUUCCUGAUCAGACCGUCAAUGUCGUGAAAUGCGGCAAUUCCGGCCGGAGAUUGAGGUUAGCUAAGCUGGUCUCAGCUGCUGGAUUGUCACAGAUUGAACCAGACAUCAACGAAGACCCCAUUGGUCAAUUUGAGAUUAAUAGCAUUGAAAUGGUAAGAUUCGAUUGGUUUGAAAUUCAUAAUUCUGCUGAAAGUUGUUUCUGAUUGGUUAGUGAUUGUUAAUAGGAAGAUUUCAAGUAUGGAUAUUACGAUGGAGCUCAUACUUACUAUGAAGGAGAAGUUCAAAAGGGUAAACUUUUGGUUGUCCAAUUUGUUCUUCUUGUUGUUGUUGUUUCGAUUUUGAUUUCGAACCAUUUGUCUGAUUGAAUCUUCUUGGAAAUGUUUGUUAGGAACAUUUUGGGGAGCAAUUGCUGAUGACAUUGCUGCUGUGGAUCAAACAAAUGGGUUUCAAGGUAUUCAUUUAACCCGUUUUUAGUGUUUCUUAUGGAUCGCAAACUCGCGGUUUUUUUUUAUGUCUGCAGGUUUAAUCUCUUGCCUGUUUCUUCCUGCUAUAGCUGCAGGGAUGUAUUUUGAUGCUCCGGUAACUUCAAAUCUUUUGUUUACAAAUUCUGUUUUUAUGGAAAAUGUACUAGAGAUUGGAUAAUUAGUUAAGUAUGAGAAAAAGAAUCACAAGUGUUUGUUUGUGUGUGUUGCAGGGUGAGUACUUGUUCAUAGGUGCAGCGUUAUUCACGGUAGUGUUCAGUUCCAGACCAGCCACACAACUUUGAGCCUCAGAUAUACAAAUUGGAGAGAGGAGCUCGCGAUAAGCUCAUUAGUGACUACAACACAAUGAGCAUCUGGGACUUUAAUGACAAGUAUGGUGAUGUAUGGGAUUUCACAAUUGAGAAAGACGAUAUCGCCACACGAUAAGAUAUCGAUUAUGAUCUUUUUAUAAUCAUGACUUUUGAUGGAAGCUGUUUAUAAAUUGAUGAAUGAACCGGCUACAAUGUGUAUAAUAUAGAUUGUCCAUUCUCUUAGUUUUCUUUAUGUGUGUCAUUAGUCCCUUGAAACCUUGUCUAGAUUCUCAUCUUGUAGUGUUAGGUUUCUAUUCUUCAAUAUAUGUUUUUUUUAAGGUUUAACUACCUCGUAUGUGCCCAACGAGUUUGCAUUUUGGUUCCAAAGAUAUAAUCAGCACUCUACCAGAACCUCUUAUUUGCCAAAUCCUAUCUUGUCUUCCCACAAAAAAAGUUGCUUUAGCAUCGCUUCUCUCGAAAAAAUGGCGGUAUCUCUUUGCUUUCACACCAAAUCUUGAGUUUUAUUACUCCUCGGUAUAUCUGCAUAUUGAAGAGGGUAAAGCAAAAAAGGAUGAGAUUCAUAGAAUUUUUACAGAUUUUGUGGAUAGAGUAUUGGGUUUGCAAGCAAAUUCUACUCCAAAUAAGUUCUCUUUAAAGUGUGGACCUGAUGUUGAUCCUGUUUGUGUCAUUCGUUGGAUAUUAACCGUGUUGGAACGUGGAAUAUCGGAUCUUGAUUUACGCGUUUCUAUCUAUCCGAAUGAUCUCCUUCUAUCUAUCCGAAUGAUCUUGAUUGAGCAAGUCACUAGUUAGGCUUAGGAUAGAAUCUCAAAAAUACUGGCAUUGAUGUGGAACAUGUUUUUCUUCCAAAGCUUUAGACUCUCUAUCUUGAUUCAAUUAUGUUAGUGUCAGAAAAAACUGAUGAUUGCAUUGACAAGCUUGUUUCUGGUUGUCAUGUCCUUGAGGAAUUAGUUCUGAUUAAUGUCUACUCUUAUUCUUGGAACUGCUCUGUAUCUUCCAAAACCCUUAAAAGACUAAGGCUACUAGGACUACACGAUGAUCAUAAACCAGAUAGUGUUUCAUUUGACAUUUGAUCAGAGUUCACAUGCAAGCUAUGGAGAUUUGGUUGUCAAUGGAACAAAUUUUCUUAUGGGAGUAUGCAAUGUCCAGAUCCUUCACUUAUCUGCCAUGACUCUCGCGGUAUAUUAUUGUAAUGAUUUUUUUGAGUUAGUGAUUCUAUACUUAUAAUGGUGAUCUAGUUGAUUUGUUUUCUUGCUUCAGGUACUUACUUAUUGCUGUGAAUCAAUACCCGUAUUCAACAACCUGAUUCAUUUAACUAUUAAGACUCACUGGAAAGUAGGAUGGGAAUCGUUGCCGACUCUACUCAAGAACUGUCCAAAUCUAGAAACCCUUGUCUUCGAAGUACCAACAUAGAUCCUCUACUACAUCUACUAAACAAAUUUUCUAAUACAAUUGGAUUUUAGCAGUUGUUAUCUCUAUGAUUCAGGGAUUCAAUCACAAAAAUACAGUCAAGUGUUUGGAUGUUGACGGAUGCAUAUGCAAAUCUUCAGCGGAAAAUCCCACUUGCUUAUCAUCAAGUCCGGUGAAGGUUCUAAAGAUAUUGAAGUUUGGUGAAAUUUGUGAUGACAAGGAGAUGCAGAUGGAGCUGGUCGAACACUUCCUGGAGACAAUGCCGAAACUCGAACAAAUGAUAUUGUACUACGAUACACCACUUGAUGAAGAUGUGAUUGAAGUUUCCAAGCAACUUGAGAAGCUUUCUAGAGUAGCUUCAGCCAAUUGCAAGAUCCAAAUAAUCUCUGACAACCUCAGCUUAUCCUCUUCCUUAUUCACAACUGGACUCAUCUUAUUCAAAAAUACUUUUCCGGUUUGAAGAUUUAUCUUCCUUCAUCUUAGAGAAGAACAACAUUGUAGUGGUUCUAGUUUCAACAACAACACCAAAAAUGUUAGUUUGGCCUCUGUUUUGUUGUUGCGCCUAACUUGUUCAGAUUCUCAAUAUGCAUUCCAUUUUUUUCAUGUAUGUUGUAUUCUAUAGGUUUCCAAGUUAUUAAUUUGUUUCAAAGUGAGACAUAAGCUAAAAUGACUGAAAAAAAUAAAAUAACACAAUUAAUUUAAGGAAUUGUUUAUUUUAUAGAAGUUUUAUUUAUUUGUUUUAGACUGCAAUUUAGAGAAGUUUUAUUGUAUAAAGAUAAGAAAUUCAAGUUCAACAAUAUUAUUAAUUAUUUCACACAAGAUCGGAAAAAUUUUCAACCAUAAGAGGUGAAAGAUUAUGCCCUCCCACAUGGGACUCCAUUAAACAUUAAGAUUGUCACAUGCCAAAAACAAAUUUGGCUAAAGAAAAAAAACAAAUAUGAGUUCUUACGAAAAGGACGAUAGAUUACGAAAAGAAAUUUCAGGUUUGAUAAAAGAUGGAUUGGGAAGGAAGGAUUACUCGAGGCAAUUUCAAAUGGUUGGAACUCUGAGUUAGGGGAGGGAAAUUUUGUGGAAAAAUUGAAGAAUUGUAGGAGGGCUAUCUCGCAGUGGAGGAGAGAUUUAACUCCUUAUGGGCGGCAAACAAUUGAGGAAUUAAAAUCGGAAUUACUUGUGGCACAGAGAGAUGAUAGGAGACCAAGGGAGGAGAUUACAUAAUUAACUUUGCGGUUGAAAGAGGCUUAUCGAGAUGAGGAAUUGUAUUGGCAUCAGAAAAGUAGGUGCUGUUGGAUGCAAUUAGGGGAUAAUAAUUCAAAGUAUUUCCAUGCACUAACAAAACAAAGACGGGCUAGGAAUCGAAUUACGGGGUUACAUGAUGAAAACGGGGUUUGGUCGGCAGAGGAUAAAGAUGUUCAAAAUAUAGCGGUGUCUUAUUUUAAGGAAUUAUUUACUACAACUAAUCCUGAGGCUUUUGAGGAAUCUUUGGCAGAAGUGCAAACUUUGAUUACGGAUCAAAUUAAUAAUUUUCUAACGGCACCCGCGACGGAGUGUGAGGUGAGAACGGCUCUGUUUAUGAUGCACCCGGAAAAAGCGCCUGGACCUGAUGGUAUGACAGCCUUAUUUUUCCAAAAAGCUUGGGUUACUAUUAAAACAGAUCUUCUUUGUCUGGUUAACUCUUUUUAGAGGAUGAAAUUUUUGAUAAACGGCUAAAUACGACUAAUAUUUGCCUGAUUCCAAAAACGGAAAGACCAACACGGAUGACGGAAUUACGGCCUAUUAGUCUUUGCAAUGUUGGGUAUAAAAUUAUAUCGAAGAUCCUUUGCCAAAGACUUAAGACGGUGCUCCCAAAACUGAUUUCGGAAACACAAUCAGCUUUUGUAGAAGGACGCUUGAUUUCAGAUAAUAUUCUCAUUGCACAAGAGAUGUUCCAUGGGUUGAGAACUAACCCGUCUUGUAAAGGCAAAUUUAUGGCCAUUAAAACGGAUAUGAGCAAGGCUUACGAUAGGGUAGAAUGGAUUUUCAUCGAGAAGGUCUUAAGGAAGUUGGGUUUCUGUGAAAAAUGGAUUAAAUGGAUAAUGUGGUGUAUUAUAACGGUCCAAUAUAGAGUUCUCCUUAAUGGACAACCUAGAGGACUAAUAGUACCAGAGAGGGGUUUACGACAAGGAGACCCGCUCUCACCUUAUUUAUUCAUCCUUUGCACAGAAAUGCUCAUUGCAAAUAUUCGGAAAGCUGAACGGGAAAAAUUAAUAACGGGCAUCAAAGUGGCAAAUGCAAGCCCUUCGGUUUCACAUUUGUUAUUUGCGGAUGAUAGUUUAUUUUUUUGCAAGGCUAACAAAGACCAAUGCGGGAUAAUUUUGGGGAUUUUAAAGAAGUAUGAAGAGGUCUCGGGACAGCAGAUCAAUUUUUUAAAAUCCUCGAUUCAGUUUGGACACAAGGUAGAUGAUGAUAUCAAGGAAGAAAUCAAAUCUACCUUAGGUAUCACUAAUAUCGGUGGUAUGGGUUCUUAUCUCGGAUUGCCGGAGAGUUUAGGGGGUUCUAAGACAAAAAUUUUCUCUUUUGUCAGAGAUAGACUACAAACAAGGAUUAACGGAUGGUCGGCCAAAUUUUUAUCCAAAGGGGGAAAAGAAGUGAUGAUUAAAUCGGUAGCUGCAGCACUACCAACUUAUGUUAUGUCGUGCUUCAGACUACCGAAAACAAUCACUUCUAAACUUACUAGCGCGGUAGCAAAUUUCUGGUGGAGCUCAAAUGGUGACUCCAGAGGUAUGCACUGGAUGGCUUGGAACAAAUUGUGCAAUAGCAAAUCGGACGGGGGGUUAGGAUUUCGGAAUGUGGACGAUUUUAAUUCAGCUUUACUAGCAAAACAAUUAUGGCGGUUGAUUACGGUUCCAGAUUCUCUAUUCGCAAAAGUGUUUAAGGGACGAUAUUUUAGGAAAUCCAAUCCUUUGGAAAAUAUAAAAUCAUAUUCUCCAUCAUAUGGAUGGCGGAGUAUAUGUUCAGCUAGAUCUCUGGUUAAUAAAGGACUUAUUAAAAGAGUCGGAUCUGGGACAUCCAUCUCAGUGUGGGAGGAUCCCUGGAUUCCAGCUCAAUUCCCGAGACCAGCAAAAAGUAAUGGUUCAGUUACUGACUGAUUGCUCGAGUAAUUACCCGAUACACUUAACCGCAAGGUAGUAUAUACGGGGUCGAUCCACAAGAACCAAUGGUACACUAAAGAUUUCCGAGACUCGUUCUUAGCUAAAGCUAAAAGAUUGUUUUGUUUUGGGUUUUCGGAAUUGUAAAUAAAAAUGCAAUUAAAAUAGACGAUUUAACUUCAAGAUUUAAAGACAUUGGGCGUUAGGGUAUUUCAGAGAUCAACGAAUAAUGGAAACAUGAAACCAGGAAUUCAGUAAUUAAGAACCGUUCUCGAACAUGAACACAUUUAAACCAAUUCUCUUUCAAGACAUUAAUCACUAAAUUUGACUAUUCGAUUACUAAACUUUUGCAUGCAAUUUUCUAGUCAAAUUCGCAUUACCAAACAAGUUCAUUAAGUUCACAAUGCGUCCUAACGUCAACUUUCGUUGGCUAGAAAAUACAUUGCUCAAUCCACAUUCUUUCAGGCAUUCUAUCGAACACUUUUGAUGCAUAGAAAAACCUAGAAUCUACAACAGGGUGAUCAAUCCUAUUCUAGCAUUAAGAACAUGUGAAUCAAAGAACCUAGAGAAUGAGAAUUCCUAACACAAUCAAUCCAUUAAUCCAUUGAAUCUCCUAAUUGGAACCCUAAAACCCAAUUGGAGAACUACUCACACAUAGAGAAAGAGAAAAGGCAAAUAGAUAUGAAAGAAAACAUGAUUCAAUAAAAUAGAAAAGGAAUAGGGUUUAGAAAUCUUCUCCAAGUGUCAAGAGGAUGGAUUCCUUUGCCCAAAGUUGUUUACAAACCAAAGAACAAAGUUUAGAACUCAAAAAUAUCAAAGAUAAUGUCUCAAAAGUCGAGCUUAGGAUUUUAAAACAAUAGGAGACGAGCCGGGUCGGAUCUGGAGUGAAUUGGGUCAUUUGGGCAAAAAAAACUCGUCUGGAGAGGGGAUCGAUCGAUCCCAAUGAGGAUCGAUCGAUCUAGAGUGUCUGGAACUGAUUCUUGUCCGUCAGAGGUUUGGAUCGAUCGAUCCACAAAGGGAUCGAUCGAUCUGGAGCUUCUGGUGUCCAGUUCUGCAACUGCUUCAAAUGCUCACCAGAAAGACCUGUCUUCACUAAUUCGGGUAUAACUCUUAAAUGCACCGUUAGAUUUCCUUCAAACCACUUGGAAACUCAAGCUAACAUAUUCAUAUAGCUUUUGUCAAAAAUCCAGAAAGAUCUAACGGUGGAAAGUAUUCCAUCUGAGGCCAAACGUCUGACACUUCUAAACGAAACUGCAUCUCCAAAAGUGUGUUUAUAUCCCAAAACAGCUCGUUUUCCUUCGAAGCAACCUAAAACCUGUAGAGACUCGAUAAAGGACUAAAAGACUCUAAAAACAUACUUUGACUCUAUAAAAUAUAUGAUCUAGGAAAGAAAACAAAGACUCAAAACCGAUAAAAACACAACACAUCACUGACCCAUCUUUAAAAGUCAAAGACCUUAUAGAUAGUCGGUCGAACUUUUGGAAUAUUGAUCUCUUAAAAGCGAUCUUUAAUCCAGAAGAUGUCGCUCUAAUAAGCGCCAUACAUGUGGGUGCGCCAACAAAAGAAGAUUCUUUGGGUUGGCAUUUUACAAAAUCCGGAAAAUAUACAGUCAAAUCGGGAUAUCAUUCUACACGGAUGGAGAAGUCGGAGACCAAUUUAAACUUUUUUGGCCCUAACAUCAACCCGUUAAAAAGCAUAUUCUUGGCAAGUGCAGUGUCCACCUAAGAUACGCCAUUUCAUAUGGCAAAUCUUAACGGGAUGUGUACCGGUUUCGGAAAAUCUGCGGAAAAGAGGAAUUGAUUAUGACACGGGGUGUGCCAGAUGUGGCGCAUCAGAGGAAACGAUCAAUCAUACACUCUUUCAAUGCCACCCGGCACGACAAAUUUGGGCACUUUCACAGAUUCCUACGGCUAUGGGGGUUUUCCCCACGGAAUCUAAUUUUACGAAUUUGGAUCACUUAUUUUGGAGAAUACCUACGGAAUUUGAUUCAUCAGCCUUCCCAUGGAUUAUUUGGUAUAUUUGUAAAGCAAGGAACGAAAAGAUCUUUGAAAACAUAGAUACAUACCCAGCAGAAGUAUUACGAUUAGCGGAAAAAGAGGCACAAUUGUGGCAGUCAGCUCAAAUUGAGCUCCAUAAUGAAAAUCAUGGUUAUGUGGACUUGGUAAAUCAAGAUCGAGUGAGGGAUAUUUCACUUGAGGCGGAGUAAUCGGGAUACCGUUGUUUUGUGGAUGGAUCAUGGAAAGAAAGUGAUAGGUUCUCUGGUACAGGCUGGUUCUGUACAUCGUCAAAUGGAGAGCCGCCAACCAUGGGAGCUGCGAACCUCCGUAGAAGUCUAUCUCCACUACAUGCCGAAGUCGAGGCCCUUCUCUGGGCGAUGAAGUGUAUGAUUGGUGCAUAUAAUCAAGAGGUAUCGUUCUUUACAGACUGUUCAGACCUGGUGAAGAUGGUGUCUUCUCCAACCGAAUGGCCGGCGUUUUCAGUGUAUUUGGAGGAAUUUCAGAGCGACAAAGAGGAGUUUUCAUCUUUUUCUUUAUCUUUAAUUUUUCGUAGGGCUAAUAGUAAGGCGGAUAAUCUGGCACGAAAAGUACGCACAGAACCGUUUCAUAUCACCUAUGUAAACAACAUUCCUCAGGAAUGGCUCUUUUGAGCUUUAAUUAAUUGCGAAUGACAAAAAAAAAAAAAAAAAAAAAAAAAAGACGAAAUCAUGAAAAUGGCCUAGAAAUAUUAAUAUAUUUAUUUCUUAGUUAGAAAAUUCAUUUUUUUGUCCACAAUUACAAAUUCAUAUUUUAUCCACAAAGAAGUCUAACUCGUAUAUUCUGAAAUGUACACAUUGUUAAUUAUGGUAUACUUAAAACAAUGAUAUUUUUGUAAGAAAAAAUUUUGUAUGUUAAGUUUCAUCACAGAAUAUCAGAUAUUUUCUUUGUGUUUCUGAUAUGUAUUUAAAGUUUUAAACUAUAUAUGUUGUCUUACUAACAACACAUUGAAAAUGAUAUUUCAGUAGCCAAUUACGUCCGGUUUCCAUAUUGCGGAUGAGAUUUUAACGAUAGAAACAAAAUUAAAAUAUUUGUAUAAUUAGUAUUCGUUAUAUCUCUUUCAAAAUAUAUAUAAAAACGAGAAAAGUGAGUGGAAGAAGAAAAAAUACAAAAAGUCAGUAAAAGAGAGUGAUGUAGCAAAAAUUGAAAGCGUGAUAGAAAUGGCAAUGGCAAUGAUAACCAAAAAAAUUGAGGUUCCCAUUGAGAUUCACAUUGUGUGUACCCACGUGCUUUGUGUUCCACUUCUUCCUCUUCGAUCUCAUCUCAUAACUCAUAAGUCAUACCUAAUUUAAACAACAACAAAAAAGUAUUUAAGUCGAAUAGUAUAUAUUAGAAUUUUGUUAGUUAGUUACAACGUUGGUUUCAAUUUUUAUGCAGCACGUUCUCUAAGGAGAUGUACAAGAUUGUUACUAUUCGAGUUGUGAAUAAGAUACUUUGUGUGGUUUACAAUUAAAUUAUACGAGUGUUUGCGUCAAUAUUAAAGACUCGUAGUCCAUCUUUAAUAAUUAAAGUGGUGACCAAAAGUAACAAUUAAAAAACAAUGACUAGUUGACUUAGCAAAACGAUUGUAUACAAAUCCAAAUGUCUACUUUGAGAAACUAAUUAAGGGCAAGUGAAAGUUGUAAGAUAUAAAACCGUAAGUGUUUUGUACUGAUUUUUUUUUUAGCUAGCUCAAAGGAACGUACAUUGAUUCAUUUGGGUUGUUGUUGUUGUUUUUUUUUUAAAUGAACAUUUGGGUUGUUUAAGUCUUUUAAAGGAAACAUAUGCCAUUAUAAAUUAUUUUUUAGAUACCGACGAUGAGUUGGUGUAGCGGUUAAGUUCUUAAAUUACCAAAAACGUAAAGAUAUGAGAAGUCGUUGGUUUGCUUUGUGAGUUGUGAAAAUUUUGCAUUUGCUCUUCAAAAAUAAAUUACAUGGUUUGAACACCGUCCUAGAAAUGGAAAUAGACGUCUCCACGGAUCCAAAACCUCCUAAUCAUGAAAAAAAUAAAAAUUAGACCAGAUUUUUUGAUGAUCCAAAACAUAAAUCAUUAACAACUUUUGGUUGUGACCACAAUUUUUGUUUGCUUUAGUACUGUGUAAUAAGUUGUGACCACAAUUUUCUAACUCAACUUAUUUGUGUGAAUACUAAUUUUGAGAAGAUGAUCCAAAAUAUUAAAAGUCAUUAACAACAACAAAAAAAAGUCGAUAAUUGACUUGACUCUAAUUAAAAUACACAUUUCCCUCGAAAACAAAAAAAAGAAAGGUGCAAAUUCUAAAAGAUCAGUCUUAUAUAUAUUCAAGCGGAGAAACAAAGAGAGCGAAGGAGAAGAGAGAAAUUAUGGUGGCUGUUCAGUUAUUUACCUGGAAGCCAUUGAUUCUCCCUUCACGAGUAGAUCGAUUCGCGUCUUUUAACAGGUUUUUCUUAUAAUUCAAUUUGCUUGCUUUCAUGAAUCAUGGUGGGUGUGACUUAUCCAUAAGAUGAUGAUUAUGAAAUUUGUGAUUGUCAAAGAUUUCAACUUUUUAUUUGGGUUUUUGUUUCUUUUUCCGGUGAAGCUGUUUUAUGUUUGUUUACUGUAUAAAAUGUAGUAGAGUUUAAUGGGUUUUGAUUAGAAAUGACGAUGCUUCUUAAUUUUUGGAGUUUUAAUGGAAGUUCUGAAUCUGGGUUUAGGGUUUAAGUUGGAAUUGAAUUUGGGACUAUAAUCCAAAACUGAGUUUUAGUCGCAUUGUGUAUUUAAUGCUUACAAUUUUUUAUUUUUGCAGGAGCUUGAGUUUAAAGUCUCUACCUUUAGGUGGGAUUGAGUCUUUUAGAUCCCCAGGUGAGGUUUACUACAAUAAAGGAUUUUAAUGCAAUUCUUUUGGGUCUCAUUUUUCAUGUUCUUCCUAUACUACAGGAACCUUCAAAGUCAAAUCUCAGAGGACAGGAGACACUAAGCCGUCUAGUGUUAACCUGAAUGAUUUCAAUUCCAAAUUUCAUAAGGUGAAGCUAAACCAUGUCCAGUGUCAUGUCUUUAUCCUUUUUUUUCUUGGUCCUGUACUGUGCAGAACAAGUCGAAUAAUUUGUUCCUUUCGUGUUUAAGAGGUUCUAGGCUGCACCACGUUCUGUAUUUUUUUUUUCCUCUGAUGAUUAUUCUGAUAUCUUAUAUACACCCGUUUUUUAAGGAUGAGUCUUAGCUCAUUGUGUUUACUGUGUAUUUGAUGUCUUUCAAUGUGCUUGCUUCUUGUUUAGUUAGCAAGAUGAAAUAUUUCGUAUGCUUAAGAUAUAAUCUUCUUAAUAUGCAGAGGUUUCCAUAUAAACUGGUGAUAGGAUGCAUCCCACUGUAUGUGGUGUUCAAGAUAGCGCAAAAGAUAUGUCAAGAGCUUCCCCCCCUCGUUCAGAACUCAGUGGGGGCUGGCUUGCCUUUUGCUUGUGCAUCGAACUCUCUACCUACUCCUCUCAAGUUGGACGUCUCCGUUCCUUCUUUUCAAGAUAUCAGAUGGGGUCUUGCAAGGUUUCUUUACCUGUUCAAUAUUCAGCUUGAGAAGAACAUUGGCACGUAUGUUCUAAACCCAAUAUUUCUUACCCUCAUGGUAAUUUUGUUUCUUCUAUUUCUGUAAGAUAGUUGUAUGUACAAAUGGUACCAAUUACCGAAGCAACUGGCGGUAUUGGAUGGUUAAUAUUGGAAAGUGUCAGAAUUGCUAGGAUGAAUCACUAAAUUUCAAAUGAUACAACAUGGAAAUAGUGUAAAAAUUGACUUAAAUCUUUCGGCUUCCAAUAGUGUGGACAUAGAGGUUGAGGAUCACCUAAGUAAUAUCAGAUUCAUACUGAAUAUUAUUGUUAGUAUCACUGUUCUUGAAAUUAGCAUUGUUCAUAUGUAGUAUUCUAUUUUGUCGUGUGACUAUUACAUCCGUUUUGAUCCCUUGUCGUGGCUAAUUUAGGUUCCUUGUGGCGCUCAUGAUAGCAUGUGUAUCGUUUGGCAUACUUGGGGGGACCUCCUAUUUUUCAAAUUCGGGUAANNNNNNNNNNNNNNNNNNNNNNNNNNNNNNNNNNNNNNNNNNNNNNNNNNNNNNNNNNNNNNNNNNNNNNNNNNNNNNNNNNNNNNNNNNNNNNNNNNNNUCUAUAUUAGAAUAUUUUCUCUGAGAAUAUAGGUUGUUAAAUGUUCUUUGUGUCGUGUGUGAUGAGACAAAGUUAAUUAAAACAUAAAUUAGGUUCUCUUAAAUGCAAACUGAACUUACAAUUGAAGGGAAAUAAAAUGAUGAUGAGUUUGGUGCCAUCUAGACUGAAUUUAUGUUGAUGGAAAGUGUCUCAGUGACUUGAAUUAGUAAACCAAACACAUAAACUAAACUAUAAUGACUCGUAUUCAAUAGAACUUAUCAGUCCUUGAGUGUUUUCCUUUAUAAUAAGUUUGUUUGAACUUAUGAAAUCACCAAAACUGAACUAAAACACCAAAAUGGCUUCCAACUUGAACUUUUCCUCUUCUCAGUCCUUUACCAAUCUCUUGUUUAGCCAAGAAGAUAACCCAACACCUCUGAGUCCUUCACAGCCUCCUUUUUCUGAAUCCCAAACACCCACAGCCUUAGCUAGGGAACCUAGAGUGAGAUGGAGUGUUCCUGAAGAGAAGGCACUUGCAAGUGCCUGGCUCAACACAUCCAAAGACUCUGUUGUGGGGAAUGAGCAGAGAUCAGCUGCCUUUUGGGCUAGGGUUGCAGCAUAUUAUGCUGCAUGUCCUUCUGUCUCUAAGCUCACUAUCCGAGAGGCAAAUACUUGUAAGCAGAAAUGGCAAAAAAUGAGUGAGCUUGUCAUGAAGUUUGCAGGCUGUUAUGAGUUUGCCUCUCGGACUCCUCGCAGUGGAGAGACUGAAGAUGACAUUCUUGUGCUGGCCUACAAGCUUUACCAUCAGGAUCAAAAAACCAAAUUCAGUCUUGAGCAUGUUUGGAGAAUCCUCAAGACUGAUCAGAAGUGGUGCAAUUGGUGUGAGACCAAACUUCCUGCCAAGAAGAAAGCUAAACUUUCAUCUGUAGAAGAAGAGAGUCUCCAAAGGCCUAUAGGUGUGAAGGCAGCCAAGGCUUUAGCCAAGUCUAAAGGUAAGGGAAAGAGUGAUGGAGGAGCUGACGCUGGUUCUGCUGCUGAACUUCAGCUUUUGUGGGAAGUGAAAGAGAAGGAUUUGGCUUUCAAAGAGAGACUCUCCAAGCAGAAGCUACUUGACAGCCUUCUUGGAAGGUCUGAUGGAUUGAGUGAGAUGGAAAUUGAACUUAAGAACACUCUUAUCAAAGAGUAUCUUUCUGGAAGCAAUGUGUUUGUUUCUGAGAAUGAAUAUUCUGGUCUUUAGGUAUGUGUUGUUAGUUAAGUUGUUUUGUUUACUUAACAUGUAGUAUUAUCUGAUAUUCUUUGCUUGUUUAUGUGCAGGACCUCCUCUUGGAAGCUAGUGAUGUCGGCAAGGAAUGGAUUGAGUGGUUCUGUUGCUUUAAUGUCAUCUUCUAUGACUUUUUUUAUUCGGAUAGACCAUAUGCCAUCAGAAGCUAGUUGUGUUUUGUAUUUUAGUAGUAAAAUGUAUGGUCGGCAAUGUAUUGUUAUUUUCUAUGGUCAGAGCUAGUUGUGUUUUGUAUUUUAGUAGUAAAAUGUAUGGUCGGCAAUAUAUUGGUCAAAAGCUACUUGUUUUUAGUGUAUGUGUAUUAUUGUGUUCUCAUAUUUCUCAAUGUAUUAUAUAUAUAAGUUGUUGUGUUCUCAUAUUUCUCAAAACAAUUCUUCUCCAAAACAAUCUUCCUCUCUCAUAUUUCUCAAUACAAUUCUUCUAAAACAAGUCUUUGUUUCUUUCUCUAAAAACAAGUCUUUGCUUCCUUUAAUUUUCUAAAAACAAGUCUUUUUUAUUUGUUUUCCUUCUCAAGUCACACAUCUCUUUUAAUUGUGAACUUCCCUAAACACAAAAUUUCUUUUUAUUUCUUGUACGUUUUGCUUCUUAAAUAAUAAUGGCAUCACAUUCUAAUGAUGAUGACACUUUGGAGGAGAGGUUUGAAACAUGUUUUGAAGAUGGUUUAGAGAAUUUCAGUAGACGUGUAGCGGGGAAAAAAAAGAAAAAAAGGGCUGCUAAUAUAGAGAGAGAUCACGAAGAAGGAAAUAUUCGAUUAUGGAACGAUUACUUUUCGGAUGACCCCGUUUACCAUGAUCGCAUGUUCCGACGACGAUUUCGUAUGACGAAGCCGUUGUUCCUUCGUAUUGUUCAAAGUCUUUCUCAAUUUCCAUAUUUCCAACAAAGGGACGAUGCUACUGGGAAGCAAGGACUAUCUGCCAUACAGAAAUGUACUGCUGCAAUUAGGCGUUUGGCAUAUGGUCUUGCAAACGAUGCGAUGGACGAAUACCUCCGCAUGGGCGCAACCACUGUGAGCCAAGCACUAGAGAAUUUUGUAGAUGGCAUAAUAAAUUUAUUCCAAGACGAAUAUUUGAGGCGGCCUACACGUGAGGAUCUAGAACGGUUACUUCAUUCUGGAAAGGAACGCGGAUUUCUGGGAAUGGUAGGAAGCAUUGACUGUAUGCAUUGGGAGUGGAAGAAUUGUCCUACGGCUUGGAAAGGACAGUAUUCACGCGGACAUGGAAAACCCACUAUUGUUUUAGAGGCCGUGGCAUCACAAGAUUUAUGGAUUUGGCAUGCUUUUUUUGGGGCUCCAGGUACGUGUAAUGAUAUAAAUGUUCUUGACCGCUCACCGGUGUUUGAUGAUAUAUUAGAAGGUCGAGCUCCACGACUCACGUACGAAGUCAAUGGACAUCAAUACAAAAUGGGUUAUUACCUCACAGAUGGUAUAUAUCCAAAGUGGGCAACAUUCAUCCAAUCAAUUACCCGCCCACAAGGACCGAAAGCAUCAUUAUUUGCUAGUUGUCAAGAAGCAGUGAGAAAAGAUGUCGAGCGUGCUUUUGGAGUCUUGCAGGCUCGGUUUGCUAUUAUUCGAAACCCAGGUCUGUUUUGGGAUAAAGAGCGAAUGGGCAAGAUAAUGAGAGCAUGUAUCAUAUUGCACAAUAUGAUUGUAGAAGAUGAACGAGACGAAGAUACUCAGUUCGAUUUAUCUGAUUUCGUAGAAGGCGAAGGAAGCGGGACUUCUCAAGUAGAUAACUCUUUUUCUACAGAGACAGCUACAAAUGUGAACAAUUUGAUGGCCAAUCGAGCUCAAAUACGUCAUGAACAAACACAUCGACAAUUGAAAGAAGAUUUGAUUGAACAUAUUUGGCAAAAAUGGGGCCAAGGUAAUUGAUUACAACCGACUAAAUUAUUUUUUUCAUCAUGUUUUUUCAGUUUUUUUUGAAUUUUAUGUUUUAUUUUGCUUAAUUAUAUUCUACUUUUUUUUUAUUAUAAUAUUACCUUUUGUAAUCUUAUGUUUUAAUAUAUUAAUUUUUGAUUUUGCAAAUUUUUUUUUUUUAUGAUACUUAAACCGGUCUCACCAAUGCAAACAUAUUUAGUAGGAGUAUCAUAAAAAAUCUCAAACAAUAAACAAACAUUAUAAAUAAUACUAAAAAAUUCUUAAUGAUACUAAAUGGAUCUCACCCAUGUACAUGCUCUAACAGUCUAAAAAUCAAACCGGAUUAAACCAAACCGGAUAAUAAAACAGAAUCUAAAUAUCAAAGAAAAGAAUAAAUUUAUUACCUGAAGCAUUUGUUUAGCGAGAUCAAUGGAGAUUAGUCCAGCACUACAUCCCAUUCCACCAAGAUUAUAGCUCAAAAUGUUUCCUCUAAGCUUAUACUUAUUCACAAUCAUAGCAGAAAGUGACGGCGUUGGAUUAAACAAACUACAAUUCACCACAAGGAUUCCAAUAUCUUUAGGUUUAACACCGGUCUUCUCAAGAACCGCGUCAAUAGCUCCGAACAUAACUGUCUCUGCCUCCUUUCUCGCUUCUUCCAUACAAGGAUUAGGAGGGACACGAAGAAGGGCUUCAGGGAAGUAAGUUUUUUGACCUAGACCCGAUCUUUCAAGGAUCUUUUGUUGGAAAGCUAGGUUGUCUUCUGUGAAGAUACCUACACGUUGAGAUCUGUCCAUGAAUGUUUCUCGAGUGCAGAUCAGUGAAGGGUCAGGUUUGUAACAUGAGAAGUCGAGGAGGAAGACACGGCGAGGACGGGUGGUGAAGUAAGCGGUGGAGAGAGAGAUUAAGAGUCCGGUGGCUAGUGUGGCGGAGAGGAAAUGGAAACGGAGUAUGUUGUAGAGGAGAGAGAGGUCGUUGAUGGUGAAAGAAGAGAGGUUAGCGAUUGUUGCGGCGAGGAGAGGGAGGAGGAGGAUGUAGAGAGCGUUGGAGAUUAGGUAAUGGUAACCGAGUUUUACGUAUUUGAGACGAACGGAUAAGAGAAAGUUUGGGAGGUUGUUUGGGUUAGGGUUUGGCUCGGCGUUUGUGACAUGGACCGGGACUGGCCGGUGAGUUUGGUUUUGGUUAUGGCUCAUCGUGAGAAUGAGAAAAUGUUUAGGAUGAAGAAUGAGAUGAGGAUUUGUAGAGAAGAGAAGUGUCAAGUGAAAGAUUUGUUUCUCUCUUUCAAAAUUUGUUGUGUGAGAGAGGAGAGAAGAGAAUGGCCUAAAAAGUUGGAGAAAAUUUGAGAAUUUAAUGGGAAAUUUUGAGUGAGAGAGAAAGAGAGAGAGAGAGAGACUAGGCUAUUAAAUGUAGUUAGGGGAAAUGGGAAAUAUUUAAGGACAAAAAUAUGGUUUUUUUUAAGAAAUAUACAAAAAAAAUAAUGUUAGCAAAUAAAUUGUUCAAACCCUUGUUUUAAAAAUCGCUAGGUGUUAGUCGGGCGUUCGGGGUGCGCCUAGCGCCUAGCGAGAUAAUUGGAGAUUAAACGGAGAUUAAUCGGGAUUAGUUUUUAAUAUUUUUAUUUUUAUACAUGUAUAUAUACUAAAUUUUGGAGCAUGUGUUAAAAAAUUAAAAUGGUCUAGUGGCACAUGGUGACUCUCACACGUACAACCAUCACGGUUCGACUCUCAACAUUUGUGUUUUGUCAUUUUUUUUUAUUUUUUGGUUUAAUGAAACUGAAAUGACCGAACUACCCUCGUCUUCUUCCUCAGAUCUGUGCGACUGCAACCCUAAUUUUUGCCGUCUCUUUUUUUUCCUCACGAUUAUUAUUGUUUUCUCUUGUUUCUUAAGUGAUGUUUACCCAAAUAUGAUAGAUCUACAACCUAAAAACCGAUUUAGAACUUCAAUUUCAUCAAAAGUGAGUUUUUCUAAAAAUUUCCGAUUUCUGAGCGAUUUGAUCUAAAUCGCGGCGGAAGUGUUCCGAUCAGCGCCUAGCCGGACGAGUAAUCGGCUAGGCGGCCGAUUUUUAGAACAAGGGUUCAAACUAGUAAGCCAUCAAAAACAUUUUUUGUUCAAACUAGUCAAGCAAUUGUUUUAGGAUCGUACUAGAUUUUUUUAAUCCAUAAAUUAUUUAAUAUUAUUAUAAUUUUUAAAAUUAUGAUAAAAAUGGUAAUUUAGAAUUAAACUGUGGAAUUAUUUAUAUUUUCUAAAUAAAAAGGCUGUUACUCUUUUUUAAUCAACAAAAAGGCCAUUUACACUCAAAACAUUUUACUUUGAGAAUCUUAAAUUUCUAUUACAUAUGGAAAACGCUUUGUGCACGAUUUAUAUAAAUUUAACAUCAAAAGGAAAAUGAAAGUAUGUUUUAAAAAUAAAAACAUCGAAACUUUUCUUUAAAAAAUGGAUAAAAUAAGUAUUACUAUGUAGAGAGGGAAGAUGCAACUACCCCAACGAAGCUUUUAAUGUUUUUAGACAGUUGAGAUUUGACACCUAAGAGACGGCGAUGACUUUUAUCCAAUUGGGGGCUUUAAAUUUGGCCGCGUACUAUGAAACUUACUCUUUUACCCUUACGUUGACCCGUAAUUUUCGAAAUUACCCUUUUUUGUUAACAACUUGAAGACACUUACGUACGUGGCCGUGUGAACUUGUGUAAUAGAAUGUUCAAUCAUUUUUUCUUUUAGAAUGUGCAAUCAUAUUAUUCAUAUAUAGAUGGAAAAUUAAGUGAACCGAAAUAAAAGUUUGUUGAACUAAAUAUGAGUAAAUGUGUGGGUUAUUGCCACUAAAUUAGUUCAUCUACAGUAAAACCUCUAUAAAUUAAUAAUAUUGGGACCAUGAUAUUUUACUAAUUUAUAGUGAUAUUAAUUUAUCUAUAAGUAUUAAUAAGUAUUAAUUUAUAGUGUAAAUUAAUAUUUAUUAAUUUAUAGAAAGUUUGUUUCAAUUCUGAAAACUUUUUUUUAAAAAAUACGAGAUAAAACAAUGUGAUCUAAAUAAAAUUAAUAUUUUGGAUGUUAUAAAUUUUAUAGUUUUAGCCUUAAACACUUAAUAUAAAAUAAUUUAUUUUGACAAUGAAUAACAAAGAUUAUAGAAUUCACAUAUACAAACGAUAUAAAUAAGUUAAAAUUCACAAAUCGUGACUUCUAUUGUUGUAUUUUAAAAACAUAUACGACUAUUAAAACAAAAAUUAUGCAUAUUCAAAAUUUGAAAACUUACAAAAACUUUUGGCUAUUUUUAUGAAAAACACUAAACUAUUAUAUAUAUAUACAUAUAUAUAUAUAUAUAUAUGCAAAUUUACAUGAUUAUUAAUUUAUGAUAUUAUUGGGACUAUAUUUUUACAUAGGAAUUUCAAAAAACUUAUUAUCUUAUCGAAUUUGGUUAAUUUUUACACUGGCCCGACUUGGGACCGGCCAAAUUUAUUAAUUUAUCAUGUUUAUUAAUUUAUCGAGUAUUAAUUGAUAGAGGUUCUACUGUAUUUCAUGUUAUUUUGAAAGAAAUUGAGCAAGUCUUAUAAAUACUACUUAAAAAGGUUAUUGUAAACAAAAAAAUUAUCAACCAAUAAUGAAAAAUUAUACAUGAUACAAAAGGUCGUAAAAAUUUAAUUGUGUUUUUGUAGCAAAUAAUUUGAAAAACAAACUAUAAGAANNNNNNNNNNNNNNNNNNNNNNNNNNNNNNNNNNNNNNNNNNNNNNNNNNNNNNNNNNNNNNNNNNNNNNNNNNNNNNNNNNNNNNNNNNNNNNNNNNNNCAUGCAAUUUAAUCCUGUUACUAGUCCCCACAAUUUCACUGAUAAGUUCUUGUUUCUUUUUCAAGUACUAAAAAAUCAGACACAAGUUAUGAUGUCAGAAGAAACACAAGUGAACAUGCAAGUAAUGAUGUCUGGUUCUUUUCAGGGUAAACACAAGUAAGGUAUUGAAUUAACAAUCAAGAGAAUAUAUAUGACAAUAUCAAAACAUAAUUUCAGAUCAAGUAAAAACUCAAUUUCUAUCAGACAAUAACGAAAAGAAGAUCCGAAUUACAUAGCACAUAUCCAAGUUUUUAAAGAAAUUUUGUUCAAAUACGCCUAAAUCAAACCACAAAAACAAUAAUGUUAUGAAAUCGUUCUGAAAUCGCAAAUAACAGAGGCAUGCAAAACAAGAAUCGAUUAGACUGACCUAGAUUUGAGCUACCUAUAACAUCAGACUUGAGCUAGAUUUGAGCUACCUAGAACAUCAGACGUGAGCUAGAUUUGAAAGAAACAGACCUAGAAAAAAUCCGAAAAAGAAGAAAAAAUCAAUUGAAUAAAGGACAUGCCUUCGAUUUGAGCUCAAAUCCGACAGAUCUAAGGCGGAAUUAGUGCCGGCGUCAGGUUCAGUUUCACGGCGACCUUCAAUGGCGGCGGCAGAGGGCUUAAUCGGCGAUUGGGAGAGUCAAUUCGUCGGUCAAAGAGAGUUAUGUCUGAUAGAGUUCUGUCUUAGGGUUUUCGAGAAAGAGGGAAAACGCGUCUUUUGGCUUAAGUGUUUUUUGGGAAUUCUGACUAAGUGUUUGGCGGAAUUAGGGAUUUUGGGUUCCCGCUCAUUGAAGUUCUAUCUUAGCGUUUAUGAAAUGCUAUCAUAUAACAACCAUAAUUACAUAACAUCUUCAAUAGCAGUUUGGUAAACCGUGCUAUUACGGUAUGCUAUCAAUGAGGACUUUUUUUGUAGUGCAUUCUCUCCAAUUCCGUUUCGUGGCCAUAAUUGCAAAAAAAAUUUAUUUGGAAUAAUCUAAAUCAAUUUGAAAAGUUUAGUCUAUAUAUAUAAUGUUGGAUUAAUUCACCGUUGGAUGUAAUAAAUGAUAUAAAAUAGAUACCCACAUGAUCAUAUACAUAUAAAUCAUCAUAACUUAGUAGGUUCUUUAAUCAAAAAAAAAAAUUAAAUAAAGUUAGUAGAUCGGCAAUAUGAAGCUAAUAUAUAUUAUUCGAAUUCCCAUCAUGAUAUUCAUUUGCGGCUUGAAAUUUAUAAGGGUUUGGGUUGAUAAGUGAAAGGAAUCAUAGCUUGGGUUCAAAAAGACCGCAUGGAAAUAGUUAGGGUUGAUUUAGGCCAUUUUCCGUAACCUAACCAAACAGAAAUUGCCGCGGUUAGGCCACCAGAAGAUCACAGGCAAAAAUCACUUGGCAAAGCAUGCCACCCAUCAGAAUAAUUUUUCAUCUACCAAAUACGUACGUGCCAAUUCAUAUAAACACAAUAAUAUCUUAUAUUCUAUGAAACAAAGUUAUUAUUUUAUGUAACAAAGUUUUAUUAUUAAUGAAAACUUAUCUUAUUAUCCGAUUCAACAAAAGAAAACGAAAAUUAACAUACACAUAAACAAGGAGUAAUUCUGUUAUUAGGAAUACAUCUCAUAUGACACCCUUCCAUGCAGUCAUCAUCUUGUAAUUGCACUACCUGUGGUGAACCUUCAUGAUGUUGCACAAUCUGAGGAAUUUCUUCAAGUAAUAACCUUUUUGCCUCAACAUUUCGAACUGUAACAAUACUCAUCACUAAAAAAUCAGAAAUUAUAAAUAAAAAAUUGUAUGUAGAGUUUUGUUAUUUGUUUCAAACAGAAAAUAUAAAAUUUACCUGAUGUAACAAUUAAGAAGAUAACGAAAGCAAACGUUAUUGGUAUUUUUUCCAUUGUUUUACUCGUAGAUUAGAUUAUUACAAAGAUGAAGAUAGUGGUAUUUGAGGUUGAUUUUGAAAAAAGAAACCAGAGAUUACUUAUAUAGCAGAGGUUGUUACACAAAACUCGGGUAUUCCCUAAUACGUAGAAGUACAACUACUUCUAGAUACAAUAGUAAUAUAAAUCUACUGUAAAUUACUCAUUAUUUUAUUUUUGUCAUCAGUUAAAUACUUAUCAAAUUAUACGGAACAAGUCCAGUUUUUGCUAAGUAAAACUAUAUUAAUUUUUUUUAUAAAUAUAUAUAUAUAUAUAUAUAUAUAUAUAUAUAAGACUAAAACUGAUAUUUGACAAAUAAAUAUUCAAUAACAAUAGAUAAGACCAAUUCUGGAGUGUGACCAUAAAAAAUUGGUGGUCAAGCCAAGAUAGACGGAGUAGAGUUUGAUAACAAAUUAGAACUGAAAAAUCCGAUUUUUUGGUUUUAUCAGAGUUUUUGAUUUUUGGUUUAUCAGAAUUUGUCUCAAAAAGGAGAAUUUCAAAGGCAGUGUGGUAUUUAUUGUUACACGGUAGACGACAAGACUUUGGGUUCGAUUUGAAAACUGAAACGUUGGUUUCAUUGCAUGGUGUUUAAGAUUCAAGUUCAUGACUAGCUUACUUAACUAAAAAUUAAAUUCUGAAAAUGAGAUCUAUCUAACAAUAAACCGGUUCAUCCGUUCAUGACAUUCUCUUUGGUUCGUUUCGUGGCAAUAAUUACAAAUUCAUUUUAUUUGGAAUAUAAAUCAAUUUGAAAAGGUUAUGCUAUAUGAUGUUGGAUUGAUCCACCGUUCGAUCCAAUAAAUGGUAUAAAAUAAAUACACACAUGAUCAUACGUAGACAUCAUCGUAAGUUAUAGUUGGUGGGCAAUAUGAAGCUAACAUUCGAAUUUCAUCACAUGCAUGAUGCUCAUUUGCUGUAACCUAACCCAACACUGCCACCAAUUUCCAGAUAUAUAUCUCCUUUUAUUCUUUGUUAAUGAUAUUUGGGAACCUAUAUAAUUUUUUUUCCCAAGUAUAUAUCUGGUUUUCUCCCCUUUGUUGCCAUGACAUAAUCCGGAUUAAAAUCCAUGAACAUGCGCGUAUGAUAUUCAAGGUUUUAGUGGUGACUAUUUUUCAUGGCCAUCUUCUAAUUUCAUGAAUUGGCGUAAAAAAAGAAUCGGGUGAUUUUAUAUUUUCCAUGUCUAUCUUUUGAUGUUUGUACUCUCUUUUUUGGAAAUAUUUUAUAUAUAUCACAUUGAAAUAUCUGCGGAUUUUUCGGUAAUUAUUAUGUUUUUUUUUUGUCUCCACUUACUACCAUUUUGUUUUUUUAUACACACUCAAAAAUUAAACUUAGGACAUCAUUUCCAUUAUUAGCUUAUUCUUAAGAGCCAAUUCUAUGUCUGAUAGAGCCUCUUUUCUCGAAAGUAAGCAUUUGAUUCUUGCUUUGCUUUUCUUUGCGAUCAAAAUCCUUCUCUUUAAGCGCCCACAAACUCUGAAAAUCUUUCACAGACAAUCUUUGACAAUGGCUAUCCUUUUGCCUUUCGCUUUUAUUGCCUUCACACCAGGAAGCCGACGCAUUAUUUCAUCAUCUCCAAUACUAAUUGGCUUGGAACUUGAUGAAUAUGCGGAACCAUCCAUACCCUUUCUUCUUUUAGAACUUUCAGUCCCUUUAGUAGAAGGAGCUCCACACCAUUUCUGAUCAUACCUUAGCUCUCUUCAAGCAUGAUCCAUUGUGAACUUCUUCUUCUUAUCAUAUUGGUAGAGUUGUUUUGCCAUCUUCAUAGCUUUUUGAUUUGUUGCUGUCGCAUAACAACCCACAAACUUAUUGACGAUUUCAUUGAUCUUCUCCCACCUUUCCUUAAACUGAGCAUGCNNNNNNNNNNNNNNNNNNNNNNNNNNNNNNNNNNNNNNNNNNNNNNNNNNNNNNNNNNNNNNNNNNNNNNNNNNNNNNNNNNNNNNNNNNNNNNNNNNNNAUAUACAUACUUGACAAACAUAUGAUGAUAACAAGUAUCGUCUCUCAGCGUCUCUUUCUCUUCUUCUCUUUCGAGCUUGUAAUUUUGAUGCAGAAUUUUGAUUUUUGUUAUCUUAUUUCCUCAGCUGCGAUGGCUAGACAUGUAUAGUCUCUACGAUGGCUUGAUUCCCAGCAAGUGUUGAUUUUGUUCUCUGACCACUCAGCAAGCACAAGUCUAUACCACAUAAGCUGCAAUGGUAAAUCAAGUUUCGUCUAUGGUCUCUCUGUUUCAGGUUUUGUUUUCUCCUCAAUUUUGGAUUUUGUUUGCAACGAUUACCUUACUUGUUCUCUUCCUCUUAUCAAUUUCGUUGCAAACUAGGGCAUGGUGGAUAUAGAACCUAUUACAUCUCCUUCAUGUCAGAGCCUCUUUAGAGAUGUUAUUCAACUUGUCUCCAAUGAAGGAAGCUGCUGAAGUGUCUAAGGAACCUCAAAACAUUGUCGAAGUGGUGUCUAUUCACUGCAAAAACUUAAUCUUCUAUGUUAAGAAGGCCGAGACUAAAGGCAAAGGACAAGAAAGGAAAGUGAAAGAAGAAUUAAUGAAAUCAAAGAAAGAGGAAAAGAAAGCGAAAAUAAAGGAUAUGAAAGCAUUCCAAAACCUCUUUUGAACAAAAACUGUGUAACAACUAUUUCAUGAAAUAAAUGACGAGAGAAAGGCCAUUGAGAACAUCAAUCAAGUGGUCGCACCAAAUGAUGAUGAGCUAAACUUAGAAGAGGAAUUGCAAUUAAUCUUUCUAGGAAUCGAAGCUCCGAUAUAGCCAAUAGGAAUCUAGCUAAGCUUAUUAAAAUUCCAUUUAAAUUUUGUAUUCUCAUGAUUAGAAUACAAAUUUAAAUCUCUGACAAACGUAUUAGAUUUAGCAAGUUUCAUGAUUUGAAUAUGUUCUCUAACUCAUCUCUCAAUCUUUGUUUGAUUAAUUCCCAUGCAUUUUCGGUAUCUAGCAAUCAGGGCCGGUCCAAAGUUUCAAAAUUUUCUUUGAUACCCUACGCAUAACUAAAAAUUUAGGCCUUUUUGUUAAUGUAAAAAAAAAAAUUCUCCCAAAAAAAAUAUUUUAUAAUGUGAGACCCUAAGCGAUGGCUUCACUUGCUUGCCCUCCGGACCGGCUCUGCUAGCAAUAUAAGAUGAUGCAUACCAAACUAUAAUAUCUAUCUAGUUAUAUACAUAUGCAUACUACAUUGAUUUUAGAGACAAGCUCUUAUACAUUAUCCUGAUUUGUUUGAAAGUUUAUAAAAAACUAACUUGAGCAUUGGUUUUUUUUGUAGAUUUCCAGGUGGCAGUUGAUGUAUCAAGGCUGGGAUGGCUCACUUCAUAAAAUGUGGAGUGAAAAAAUAUUAUACUUAUAAAGUUGAAAUCGACUAUAUAUUACAAGGAUUCAAAAACUAACUCCAUAAAAUAACUACAAUGUUUAUUAAUUGUAUCAAACUGGGAUACAAUCAAAGGAUAAAAUGGGGAGAAAAGUAAUUUAUAGAAAUAAAUGGGUCACAUAAAGAAAGCUGGAGAAAGUUGGGGUGACAGCGUGAAAUGUGAUAUGGAGAAAGCACAUGACAUGAAUUUAAUUGAGACACACUCUCGAAUUUAUUUCUCUUUGACCUUUCUAUUACAUCAUUGCCUACACUCGUUUGUUAUGUCUCAUACUCACAAGUCACAAGUGACCAAAUCUACAUUUGUUUUAAUUUUUAAAAUUGAAAAGUAAAAUCGAAAUUUUGUAGAUAACAUAGUCAACAAAUUUUGUUUUAUAUGUACACGUUAGAUAUCUNNNNNNNNNNNNNNNNNNNNNNNNNNNNNNNNNNNNNNNNNNNNNNNNNNNNNNNNNNNNNNNNNNNNNNNNNNNNNNNNNNNNNNNNNNNNNNNNNNNNUUUUUUUUAAAAAUAACUAUUAAACCUCAUUAGAAAAUAAUCCAAAACUUAAAUUUGUUGACCAAACGAAUCAAGUCAAAAUAAAAACAUUGUGUUUUCUCUAUCGCCUAGUACUAUAUUAUUCUGUUUCGUUAGAACAUGAAAGUAUUUUUUUCUAGUACUAUAUUAUUGUGAAUAGAUUUUAAGAUAAUAUAAAAAUGAACUAUUGAACUUAUCAGAAAUUAAUUCAAACUUGUUUUUUUUUUUAAUUUUUGACCAAACGAAUCAAGAAAAACACUUUAUUUUCUCCACAUAUGUUAUACCAAAGAGAUUAUAAUUUAUAAAUAAAAGUGUAUUUGUUUUGUGUUUUUUUUUUCCCGUUAAAAGGCUUAGAAAAGACUAUUGUUUACAGCAUAGUAUUGACAACUAUUUUCAUUAUACUAUCUAACACUAUUAAGUAUAUGAAAUCAUAACAAACAAUUCAAAAUAUGAAAAUACAGUUAAAAAAACAAAAUUUGUCAAAAAAAUAAAUAAAUCAAAGUUUGACAAAUUUUGGUUAUUCGUUUCCGAUUGAGUUCUAUUUGACUUUGUAUUGACUUGCUUUGGUCUGGUUUCAUCUUUAAAUAUCACGUUCUAACCAUUCUUCAUGAUUUUAUUCCCCGUUGCGUUGAUUUUAUUCGGUUAAACGUUUAAAUUUUCUUGAAAUGAUAUUGUAGACAAGAAAACUUUCUGUCAUUAUCAAAAGAAGAAAUUGUGUCAUUAACUCAUAACAUAACCCAAACUAAACUACUGUUUCAUGUGUAGUGUGUACUUGUGAGAUAUAUAUACAUGCGUGUGAAUCUUUUACGCGUGCAUAAUAAGUUUUGUAUUCAUAUCAUCAUUUGGUAUGUGUCAACACAUAUUUUGGGGAGAGUUUGUGUGGUAAGUAAUCCAAAAAUAUAUGUUUAAUUUAUUAACAGAGAACUGAUUCUAAUUGCUUAAGAAAAUUCCUACCAAUCGAAGCAAUUACGUUCAAACAUUAUUCUUGGAAGUUGGAAGAAACCAUUAUCUACCACUCCACAACUCUUUCUUCUUCAUUGGUUCUACAAAUUCUACUUGUUCAAGUCAUUCUUGAAUCUUAAAUAAACAAAAUCAGUUUUGACAAAAAAAAAAAAAAUCAGUUUCAAACUUAUAUUCCAAAAAAAAUCAGUUUUGACAAAAAAAAAUCUCUUGGUAUAAAAUUAUAUUCCGAAAAUGAGUUAUGAUUUUUAAUUUUUUUGCACCUUUAGUUAUACCGGUAAGAUAUUCCAAACUCUUCGAGCAAAUUGUUGUACAGAUUUUCUAUAAAUAAUAUUAUAGAAAAAAUGAGCUUAGCUAGUGUUGAUUUCAACUAUUGGAACCAAAUUUAUUUUUGUAAUUCAUUAGAUACUAAACCUUUCAACAACAAAAAGAAAAAAAAAUCAUUAAACACUACAUGUCUACAUGUGCAUGUCACAUCACAUGGAUUACAAAUCAUUAAGCUAAUAUCUUCGAUGGAUUAAGUAGGAAAAUUAAGAAGAUCAGUGGAUAACUAGCACCUAACCGCAAUAGUCCAUAAAUUUAAACAUUAAUACUUGUCGUUGAAAUUUUGGCCGACUUUUUAUUUAUUAUUCUAGUACGUUUCCACAUCAAAAAUGUUUGUACUUUUGUAGCAAUCCAUCCAUCUAAACCCCAAAUCUUAAUUUAUACUUGUUGCGUUUAAAUUUGCGUGAGAUUUGAUUCCAAGUAGUUGAGAUAAAAUGUUAUUCUAUUCAUCAGUAAAUCAUUAAGAAAUUGGUUUAUUAUAUUGUAGCCUAUAUAUAACAUGACUUGGUAUUGGUAACCAUUAACCAAAGAAAGAGCAAUGCAUUUAAUUUACAUUACUCUCCAACCACUCAAGCCUUUAUUAGUUACAGAUGGGAAUCAUUUGUCAAUGAUACUUAUGUUUUUGUCCCCUAAAUUAAUGAAGUGACUUGACCUUGUUAAUUCUUACUAAACCGAACAAAGCAAAGCCAACUAGAUCCUUUAUAACGUUCUAAAAACAGUCUGUUUUGGCGUCUAGACGUACAAAACUAUUUUUCUUGUUUAUCGAUAGAAAGUUAUCGAUUCUUCUUGUUUAGACAUUCGAUAAAUCGGUUUAAGCGUUAGAUUAAUAUUAAUAUUUAAAAUUAUUUUUAUUUUAUCCGUGAUUAAAAUUUUACUUAAAAUAUCCAAAAAUAUAUAUGUUUAACAUGAAAUUAUUUUUACAUAAUAACUAUAAUGUAAAACAUUGGUUGAAUUUAAUAAUUAAGUGAUUGUCAGUCAAGUAAAUUUGGACCGACGACCCAAAUUGGGCCUAAUAAAUAUAUAGUGUUGAUUUCAGUUAGGACAAAGUUGGGCCGUUUCAAUGAUUUCAAGAUAAUUAUACACGUGGAAGCGUUCACCAACCAACAACGAGAGAAGACAAUCAAAUGAUUGUAUUCCACGUGGCGCUUACGAAUUUGUCAGUCACUUUGGUAAAUAUGACAGACAGUAACCAGUUACUACUACUCUCUUUCGCUAACGAACACAAAAAAAGAACCGUUUUUUUUUUUCUAUGGCUCCAAUACUCUGAGACAGAGCAAGAAACAGAGAGAAGAUAAAGUGAGGAAAAAAAAUGGCAACGGUCACGAUUCUCUCUCCCAAAUCGAUCCCAAAGAUCAAAGAUUCGAAGUUUGGAGUUAAGGUUUUUGAUCAGACCGUCAAUGUCGUAAAAUGCGGCAAUUCCGGCCGGAGAUUGAGGUUAGCGAAGCUGGUCUCAGCUGCUGGAUUGUCACAGAUUGAACCAGACAUCAACGAAGACCCGAUUGGUCAAUUCGAGAUUAAUAGCAUUGAAAUGGUAAUAUUCGAUUGAUUUUGAAUUCACGAUUGUGUCGAAAGUUGUUUCUGAUUGGUUAGUAAUUGUUUAUAGGAAGAUUUCAAGUAUGGAUAUUACGAUGGAGCUCAUACUUACUAUGAAGGAGAAGUUCAAAAGGGUAAACUUUUGGUUCUCCAAUUUUUUCGUCUUCUUGUUGUUUAGAUUUCGAAGGAUAUGAUUUGUUUGAUUGAAUCUUCUUGGAAAUGUUUCUUUAGGAACAUUUUGGGGAGCAAUUGCUGAUGACAUUGCUGCUGUGGAUCAAACAAAUGGGUUUCAAGGUAUUCGUUUAACCCGUUUUUAGUGCUUUUUACGGAUCGCAGAUUGAUCGAAACUUGCCGUUUUUUUUAUAUAUCUGCAGGUUUAAUCUCUUGCCUGUUUCUUCCUGCUAUAGCUGCAGGGAUGUAUUUUGAUGCUCCGGUAACUUCAAAUCUUUUGUUUACAAAUUCUGUUUUUAUGGAAAAUGUACUAGAGAUUGGAUAAUUAGUUAAGUAUGAGAAAAUAAAUCACAAGUGUUUGAGUGUGUGUGUGUGUGUUGCAGGGUGAGUACUUGUUCAUAGGUGCAGCGUUAUUCACGGUAGUGUUUUGUAUAAUAGAGAUGGAUAAACCAGAUCAGCCACAUAACUUCGAGCCUCAGAUAUACAAAUUGGAGAGAGGAGCUCGCGAUAAGCUCAUUAAUGACUACAACACAAUGAGCAUAUGGGACUUUAAUGACAAGUAUGGUGAUGUAUGGGAUUUCACCAUUGAGAAAGACGAUAUCGCCACAAGAUAAGAUAUCGAUUCUGAUGUUUUUAUAAUCAUGACUUUUGAUGGAAGCUGUUUAUAAAUUGAUGAAUGAACCGGCUACAAUGUGUAUAAUAUAGAUUGUCCAUUCUCUUAGUUUUCUUUAUGUGUGUCAUUAGUUCCCUGAAACCUUGUCUAGAUUCUCAUCUUGUAGUGUUAGGUUUCUGUUCUUCAAUAUAUGUUUUUUUUACGUUUAACUACUUCGUAUGUGCCCAACGAGUUUGAUUUUGGUUCCAAAGAUAUAAUCAGCACUCUACCAGAACCUCUUAUUUGCCAAAUCCUAUCUUGUCUUCCCACAAAAGAAGUUGCUUUAGCAUCGCUUCUCUCGAAAAAAUGGCGGUAUCUCUUUGCUUUCGCACCAAAUCUUGAGUUUGAUUACUCCUCAGUAUAUCUGCAUAUUGAAGAGGGUACGGUAAAGCAAAAAAGGAUGAGAUUCAUAGAAUGUUUACAGAUUUUGUGGAUAGAGUAUUGGGUUUGCAAGGAAAUUCUACUCCAAAUAAGUUCUCUUUAAAGUGUGGACCUGAUGUUGAUCCAGUUUGUGUCAUUCGUUGGAUAUUAACCGUGUUGGAACGUGGAAUAUCGGAUCUUGAUUUACGCGUUUCUAUCUAUCCGAAUGAUCUUACUUCAAAGGUCUUUAUGAGCAAGUCACUAGUUAGGCUUAGGAUAGAAUCUCAAAAAUACUGGCAUUGAUGUGGAACAUGUUUUUCUUCCAAAGCUUAAGACUCUCUAUCUUGAUUCAAUUAUGUUAGUGUCAGAAAAAACUGAUGAUUGCAUUGACAAGCUUGUUUCUGGAUGUCAUGUCCUUGAGGAAUUAGUUCUGAUUAAUGUCUACUCUUAUUCUUGGAACUGCUCUGUAUCUUCCAAAACCCUUAAAAGACUAAGGCUACUAGAACUACACGAUGAUCAUAAACCAGAUAGUGUUUCAUUUGACAUUUGAUCAGAGUUCACAUGCAAGCUAUGGAGAUUUGGUUGUCAAUGCAACAGAUUUUCUUAUUGGGGCAUGCAAUGUCCAAAUCCUUCACUUAUCUGCCAUGACUCUCGCGGUAUAUUAUUGUAAUGAUUAUUUUGAGUUAGUGGUUCCAUACUUAUAAUGGUGAUCUAGUUGAUUUGUUUUCUUGCUUCAGGUACUUACUUAUUGCUGUGAAUCAAUACCUGUAUUCAACAACCUGAUUCAUUUAACUAUUAAGACUCACUGGAAAGUAGGAUGAGAAUCAUUGCCGACUCUACUCAAGAACUGUCCAAAUCUAGAAACCCUUGUCUUCGAAGGACCAACAUAAAUCCUCUACUACUUCUACUAAACAAACUUUCUAAGACAAUUCGAUUUUGAAAGUUGUUACCAUUAUGAUUCAGGGAUACAAUCACAAAAGUACAAUCAAGUGUGUGGAUGUCGACGGGUGCAUAUGAAAAUCUUCAGCGGAAAGUCCCACUUGCUUAUCAUCAAGUCCGGUGAAGGUUCUAAAGGUAUUGAAGUUUGGUGAAAUUUUUGAUGACAAGAAGAUGCAGAUGGAGCUGGUCGAACACUUCCUGGGACAAUGCCGAAACUCGAACAAAUGAUAUUGUACUACGAUACACCACUUGAUGAAGAUGUGAUUGAAGUUUCCAAGCAGCUUGAGAUGCUUCCUAGAGUAGCUUCAGCCAAUUGCAAGAUCCAAAUAAUCUCUGACAACCUCAGCGUAUCCUCUUCCUUAUCCACAAGUGGACUCAACUUCUUCGAAAAUACUUUUCCGGUUUGAAGAUCAACAUUGUUUUGGUUCUAGUUUUAAGCUUAAGCAACAGCGACAAAAAUGUUACUUUUGGCCUAUAUGUUUUGUUGUUGCGCCUAACUUGUUCAGAUUCUUAAUAUGCAUUCCACUUUUUCCAUGUAUAUACACUUAUGUUCUCUAUAGGUUUCCAAGUUAUUAAUUCGUUCCACAGUGAGACAGAGCUGACAAAAAGUAACACAAUUAAUUUAAGGAAUUGUUUAUUUUUAUAGAAGUUUUAUUUAUUAUUUUAGACAACAAUUUAUAGAAGUUUUCUUGUAAAAAGAUAUGAAAAUCAAGUUCAAAAAUAUUAUUAAUCAUUUCACACAAGAACGGAAAAAUUUUCAACCAUAAGAGGUGAAAGAUUAUGCCCUCCCACAUGGGAGUCCAUUCAACAUUAAGAUUGUCACAUGCCAAAAACAAAUUUGGCUAAAGAAAAAAAACAAAUAUGGGUUCUUACGAAAAGGACGAAAUCAUGAAAAGGGCCUAGAAAUAUUAAUAUAUUUAUUUCUUAGUUAGAAAAUUCAUUUUUUUGUCCACAAUUACAAAUUCAUAUUUUAUCCACAAAGAAGUCUAACUCGUUUAUUCUGAAAUGUACACAUUAUAUUGUUAAUCAUGGUAUACUUUAACAAUGAUAUUUUUGUAAGAAAAUUUUUUGUAUGUUUAAGUUUCAUCACAGAAUACUAGAUAUUUUCUUUGUGUUUCUGAUAUGUAUUUAAAGUUUUAAACUAUAUAUGUUGUCUUACUAACAACACAUUGAAAAUGAUAUUUCAAGAGCCAAUUACGUCCGAGUUCCAUAUUGCGGAAGAGAUUUUAACGAUAGAAACAAAAUUAAAAGUAUUUGUUUAAUUAGUAUUCGUUAUAUCUCUUUCAAAAUGUAUAUAAAAACGAGAAAAGUAAGUGGAAGCAGGGCCGGCCCGCAGGACAGGCUACCCAAGCGGUGGCUUGGGGCACCACAAUUUUUUUUUUUUUUAUAAGGUUUUUUUUUUUUUUUUUUUUUUUGGUAAAAAGGUCCAUAAAAUGAAAAUAUUUUGUAAAAACUAAAGUCUUUUUCGAAAAAAAUAAAUAAAAUAGGGCCCAAACAAUUAAAUUUGAAUGUAAUAAUAUUCAAAAUAUCAUUAUUUUUGUAUAAUUUAUUAAAAAUAGGUCAAAAAAAAAUUUUAGCCCUAAAACUUAUAAAUAUAUUGGGCUUCAUUUUAUUUUUCGUGUAGGGCCUCACAAAUGCUCGGACCGGCACUGAGUGGAAGAAGAAAAAAUACAAAAAAGUCACUAAAAGAGAGUGAUGUAGCAAAAAUUGAAAGCGUGAUAGAAUUGGCAAUGAUAACCAAAAAAUUUGAGGUUUCCAUUGAGAUUCACAUUGUGUGUACCCACGCGCUUUGUGUUCCACUUCUUCCUCUUCGAUCUCAUCUCAUAACUCAUAAGUCAUACCUAAUUUAAACAACAACAAAAAAAUAUUUAAGUCGAAUAGUAUAUCUUAAAAUUUUGUUUGUUAGUUACUAUGUUGGUUUCAAUUUUAUGCAGCACGUUCUCUAAGGAGAUGUACAAGAUUGUAUUAUUGAAGUUAUGAAUAAGAUACUUUGUGUGGUUUUACCCUACGUUGCAUGGAAGCGUCGGUGGAGCUCCGAUUCCCGCUUCGGAAUCGGAAUCAGAAACGGGAGCGGUAGGAAGCGCCAGGAAUCGCAAGGGAAGCGCGAUUCUCAAAAAGGGCCGAUUAGAAUCGUUUUGGAAUCGUCGAUUCUGAGGUGGAAGCGUUUUGGAUUCGUUUUGGAUUCUGAGUUGGAAUCGGCGGCCGUCAAGCUUCAUAUGGUUUUUAGCCUUGUUCAAAAACGCGGCCAAGGCGGCCGAUUUCGCGGCGGCUAGUCGCUCGGCGGCAAGGCACCGCCGGGAUUAUGGUAUAAUCGGCUUAAAAAUCGGAACUUUUGAAAAAACUUGAUUUUUUGUUCUUUUGAAGGUUUUAAUUCAUAUAUAGUUGAUGGAUCUAGCAUAUCUAGCAAUAAACAAUAGAAGAAACAAAAAGAAACGAUGAAAAAUGAAGAAAAAGUUAGGUGGCGGCGGAUUUAAAGUUACAGAUCUCGUUUUUCAAAGGUUGAAGACGAGGGUAUUUGGUCAUUCACUAUCAAUUAAACCUAAAAUAAACAUAAAUGUAACUACGUCUACUCGAACUCGCCACCCGAAAAUGAGGAAAAACGCUUUCAACCACUGGACUAUCUAACAUUAUUAAUUUCAAUCCGCCAGAAUAAUAUAUAUACAAUAUAUAAGUAAAAAAUAUUAAAAACUAAUCCUCGAUUAAUCCCCGCUUAAUCUCCGAUUUUUCGGCUAGGCGCUAGGCCCAGCUUGAGCGCCCGACUAACGCCUAAUGAUUUUUUGAACAAGGGUUUUUAGGGUUUUGUAUCAAAGGUGGAAGAUGAGUGAAACGCAACGUUUCACUAAAGGCAGAUUUUUAAAAGAAUUUUACUGGGCUUGGCCCAAGUUUCUUAUUUUUCAACAGCCCAUUUGUUCAAACCACUAAAAUUAUAAAAUUUACUUUUCUUAUUAUGUUUUAAUUGUGAUUCUGAUUUGUAAUUUAUAUACUUUAAUCUUUUAAUUUUUAGACCAAUUCAACUAAAAUAUCAACAAUCUAUUAUAUGAAUAUAUAAAGUAUAUAAAAAUAUAUAUAAUAUUAUAUAUAUAUAUAUAUAUACGCUUCCAACACGUACCCGUUUCCUAAUUUUUUUCAAAAACUCGCUUCUACGCUUCCAAACGCUUCCGCUUCCACGUACCCGCUUCCGAUUCCAUGCAGCUUAGGUUUUACCAUAAAUAAAUUAAAUUAUACUUAUACGAGUGUUUGCGUCAAUAUUAAAGACUCGUAGUCCAUCUUUAAUAAUUAAAGUGGUGACCAAAAGUAACAAUUAAAAAACAAUGACUAGUUGACUUAGCAAAACGAUUGUAUACAAAUCCAAAUGUCUACUUUGUAUAGAGAAACUAAUUAAGGGCGAGUGAAAGUUGUAAGAUAUAAAACGGUAUGUGUUUUGUACUAAUUUUUUUUUUAAGCUAGCUUAAUGGAACGUACAUUGAUUCAUUUGGGUUGUUGUUGUUUUUUUUUCUUUUCUAAAUGGAUAUUUAGGUUGUUUAAGUCUUUAAAGGAAAUCUGUGCCAUUAUAAUUUUUUUCUUUAGAUACCAACGACGAGUUGGUGUAGCGGUUAAGUUAGGUUACAGAAAGCGUAAAAAUCUGAAAAGUCGGUGGUUCGUUUUGUGAGUUAUGAAAAUUUUGCAUUUGCUCUUCAAAAAUGAAUUAAAUUACAUGGUCUGAACACCGUCUUGGAAAUGGAAAUAGACGUCUCCACGGAUCCAAAACUUUCUAAUCAUAAAAAAAUUAGACCCGAUUUUUUAAUGAUCCAAAACAUAAAGUCAUUAACACUUUUGGUUGUGACCACAAUUUUUGUUUGCUUUAGUACUGUGUGAUAAGUUGUGACCACAAUAUUCGAACUCAACUUAUUUGAGUGAAUACUAAUUUCAGAAGAUGAUCCAAAAUAUUAAAAGUCAUUAACAACAACAAAAAAGUCGAUCAUUGACUCUAAUUAAAAUACACAUUUCCCUCGAAAACAAAAAAGAAAAGGUGCAAAUUCUAAAAGAUCAGUCUUAUAUAUAUUCAAGCGGAGAAACAAAGAGAGCGAAGGAGAAGAGAGAAAUUAUGGUGGCUGUUCAGUUAUUUACCUGGAAGCCAUUGAUUCUCCCUUCACGAGUAGAUCGAUUCGCGUCUUUUAACAGGUUUUUUCUUAUAAUUCAAUUUGCUUGCUUUCAUGAAUCAUGGUGGGUGUGACUUAUCCAUAAGAUUAUGGUUAUGAAAUUUGUGAUUGUCAAAGAUUUCAACUUUUUAUUUGGGUUUUUGUUUCUUUUUCCGGUGAAGCUGUUUUAUGUUUGUUUACUGUAUAAAAUGUAGUAGAGUUUAAUGGGUUUUGAUUAGAAAUGACGAUGGUUCUUAAUUUUUGGAGUUUUAAUGGAAGUUCUGAAUCUGGGUUUAGGGUUUAAGUUGGAAUUGAAUUUGGGACUAUAAUCCAAAACUGAGUUUUAGUCGGAUUGUGUAUUUAAUGCUUACAAUUUUUUAUUUUUGCAGGAGCUCGAGUUUAAAGUCUCUACCUUUAGGUGGGAUUCAGUCUUUUAGAUGCCCAGGUGAGGUUUUACUACAAUAAAGGAUUUUAAUGCAAUUCUUUAGGGUCUCAUUUUUCAUGUUCUUCCUAUACUACAGGGACCUUCAAAGUCAAAUCUCAGAGGACAGGAGACACAGAGCAGUCUAGUGUUAACCUGAAUGAUUUUAAUUCCAAAUUCCUUAAGGUGAAGCUAAACCAUGUCCAGUGUCAUGUCUUUAUCCUUUUUUUCUUGGUCCUGUACUGUGCAGAACAAGUCGAAUAAUCUGUUCCUUUCGUGUUUAAGAAGUUCUAGACUGCACAACGUUCCGUUUUUUUUUUUUUCUUUUUCCAUCUGAUGAUUAUUCUGAUAUCUUAUAUACACCCGUUUUUUUGGUUUGAAGGAUGAGUCUUAGGUAAUUGUGUUUACUGGUGUAUGUAAUGUCUUUCAAUGUGUUUGCUUCUUGGAUAGUUCUCGCGCUUAAAUAUUUCGUAUCCUUAAGAUAUAUCUUCUUAAUCUGCAGAGUCUUCCAUAUAAACUGGUGGUAGGAUGCAUCCCACUGUAUGUGGUGUUCAGGAUAGCGCAAANNNNNNNNNNNNNNNNNNNNNNNNNNNNNNNNNNNNNNNNNNNNNNNNNNNNNNNNNNNNNNNNNNNNNNNNNNNNNNNNNNNNNNNNNNNNNNNNNNNNNNNNNNNNNNNNNNNNNNNNNNNNNNNNNNNNNNNNNNNNNNNNNNNNNNNNNNNNNNNNNNNNNNNNNNNNNNNNNNNNNNNNNNNNNNNNNNNNNNNNNNNNNNNNNNNNNNNNNNNNNNNNNNNNNNNNNNNNNNNNNNNNNNNNNNNNNNNNNNNNNNNNNNNNNNNNNNNNCAUGGAAAUAGUGUAAAAAUUGACUUAAAUCUUUCGGCUUCCAAUAGUGUGGACAUAGAGUUUGAGGAUCACCUAAGUAAUAUCAGAUUCAUACUGAGUAUUAUUGUUAGUAUCACUGUCCUUGAAAUUAGCAUUGUUCAUAUGUAGUACAUUCUAUUUUUUUGUGUGACUAUGACAUCCGUUUUGAUCCCUUGUCGUGGCUAUUUUAGGUUCCUUGUGGCGCUCAUGAUAGCAUGUGUAUCGUUUGUUAUCAUUGGGGGACUCCUAUUUUUCAAAUUCAGGUAACACAACUUUAUUUACCUUAGCUUAUCGAUUUAAAGCCUUCUCAAGAUCGUCUUAGUGUGGUUAUAUGAUGAAGUUUUCUGAAACUCUAUACAUGAAUGAUAAAACACAAUUCUUGGUUUUAGUCUGAUGAAGAAAUUGUAGAAAAGCAAAAUAAUCUAAUGUAUGUUAUGUAUUAAGUGAAGACCCUUGUAAAUGGACUUAACUCUAACGUAUGAAUUUCCAUUGCAUGAUUUCUUACUUAUGUGAAGGAAAGACCUACCAUUAGAAGACUGCCUUUGGGAAGCCUGGGCAUGCCUCAUAUCCUCUUCUACUCAUCUGAAGGUCAUGAUUUGCUUCUUCACUGAUCCAAAGAUAAUUUCAAAUUACAAGCCUCAAGAUAUUUCUAUGGAGUUCUUGAAACUAAAUGCAUAUAUGUCUACUGAAAAAUGCAGCAAAAGACACGCAUUGAAAGAGUCAUUGGAUUUGUCCUAGCCAUUUGGGGAAUAUUGUUUUACUCUCGGCUUUUAAGCACAAUGACAGAACAAUUUCGGGUAAGUUCUUGAGAUAAACGCUACUGGUGAAAAAUGAAUGUUAAUUGGUACAAAUUCGUAAUCGCUUUGGCUGGCAGUAUAAUAUGACAAAACUGAGGGAAGGGGCACAGAUGCAAGUCCUAGAAGCUGAUCAUAUCAUCAUUUGUGGAAUAAACAGUCAUCUACCUUUCAUACUAAAGCAACUGAACAGCUACCAUGAGCAUGCUGUCCGCUUAGGUACCGCUACAGCUAGGUAUUUUGGUCUCUCUAUAUAUCUACAAUUUAUUUCUCGGCUUAUGUUGACUGGGAUACUUACUUUUCCUUGUUACAUGCUUUCAGGAAGCAGAGACUUCUGCUCAUGUCUGAUACUCCAAGGAAGCAGAUGGACAAGCUAGCUGAGACGUACUCCAGAGAUUUUAAUCAUAUUGAUAUCCUUACAAAGAGGUAAAGUGGUUGACAUGCUACCUAUUAAGCAAAAGUGAACCUAAAGUGGUUGACAUGCCAUAUUAAUUCAUGUUCUUGUUGGUUUGCAUACAUUUACAGUGCUGAUUUCAUGCUUCUACCAGUGCAGUUGUAGUCUUAACAUGACGAAAUCAUUUGAGAGGGCUGCUGCCUCUAUGGCACGUGCUAUUAUCAUACUACCAACGAAAGGUGAUAGGUAAGAAAAAUUCAACUCUCGGAAAGUAUAUGUGUGUCAGCUUUGAGAAAAAAGAUUAUGGAAACUGAGAAGUUCCGGGUAGAUAUUUGAGUAGUAAUGUUUUUAGUGUCGUAACUCUUUCAUGUUAGCUUUUCCAUAGUAAAAUACAUAUCGAUAUGUUUACUAAGCUAGCUUAACAAUUGGGAUAUAUAUAGGGCGCGGUUAAGAGAGUUAUGUGUAUAUGCUAGUGGUAAAAUGUAUGGAAUCUCACUACUUUGUAAAAGAGGAAUCAAUUAAGUAAACANNNNNNNNNNNNNNNNNNNNNNNNNNNNNNNNNNNNNNNNNNNNNNNNNNNNNNNNNNNNNNNNNNNNNNNNNNNNNNNNNNNNNNNNNNNNNNNNNNNNAAACUCUAUACAUGAAUGAUAAACACAAUCUUGGUUUUAGUCUGAUGAAGAAAUUGUAGAAAAGCAAAAUAAUCUAAGGUAUGUUAUAUAUUAAGUGAAGACCCUUGUAAAUGAACUUAACUCUAACGUAUGAAUUUCCAUGCCAUGAUUUCUUACUUAUGUGAAGGAAAGACCUACCAUUAGAAGACUGCCUUUGGGAAGCCUGGGCAUGCCUCAUUUCCUCUUCUACUCAUCUGAAGGUCAUGAUUUGCUUCUUCACCGAUCCAAAGAUAAUUUCAAAGUACAAGCUUCAAGAUAUUUCUAUGGAGUUCUUGAAACUAAAUGCAUAUAUGUCUACUGAAAAAUGCAGCAAAAGACACGCAUUGAAAGAGUCAUUGGAUUUGUCCUAGCCAUUUGGGGAAUAUUGUUUUACUCUCGGCUUUUAAGCACAAUGACAGAACAAUUUCGGGUAAGUUCUUGAGAUAAACGCUACUGGUGAAAAAUGACUGUUAAUUGGUACAAAUUCGUAAUCGCUUUGGCUGGCAGUAUAAUAUGACAAAACUGAGGGAAGGGGCACAGAUGCAAGUCCUAGAAGCUGAUCAUAUCAUCAUUUGUGGAAUAAACAGUCAUCUACCUUUCAUACUAAAGCAACUGAACAGCUACCAUGAGCAUGCUGUCCGCUUAGGUACCGCUACAGCUAGGUAUUUUGGUCUCUCUAUAUAUCUACAAUUUAUUUCUCGGCUUAUGUUGACUGGGAUACUUACUUUUCCUUGUUACAUGCUUUCAGGAAGCAGAGACUUCUGCUCAUGUCUGAUACUCCAAGGAAGCAGAUGGACAAGCUAGCUGAGGCGUACUCCAGAGAUUUUAAUCAUAUUGAUAUCCUUACAAAGAGGUAAAGUGGUUGACAUGCUACCUAUUAAGCAAAAGUGAACCUAAAGUGGUUGACAUGCCAUAUUAAUUCAUGUUCUUGUUGGUUUGCAUACAUUUACAGUGCUGAUUUCAUGCUUUCUACCAGUGCAGUUGUAGUCUUAACAUGACGAAAUCAUUUGAGAGGGCUGCUGCCUCUAUGGCACGUGCUAUUAUCAUACUACCAACGAAAGGUGAUAGGUAAGAAAAAUUCAACUCUCGGAAAGUAUAUGUGUGUCAGCUUUGAGAAAAAAGAUUAUGGAAACUGAGAAGUUCCGGGUAGAUAUUUGAGUAGUAAUGUUUUUAGUGUCGUAACUCUUUCAUGUUAGCUUUUCCAUAGUAAAAUACAUAUCGAUAUGUUUACUAAGCUAGCUUAACAAUUGGGAUAUAUAUAGGGCGCGGUUAAGAGAGUUAUGUGUAUAUGCUAGUGGUAAAAUGUAUGGAAUCUCACUACUUUGUAAAAGAGGAAUCAAUUAAGUUAAACAUUGUUUCAGGUAUGAAGUUGAUACAGAUGCAUUUCUUUCUGUAUUAGCCCUUCAACCUAUACAAAAGAUUGAAUCGAUCCCAACCAUUGUAGAGGUAAAUUAGGUAACUAUAUAUUGUGCAGUAAUGGUUCUGUUUAUAAUGCUUAUCUUUUACCUUUCUUGCUUCUGGAAAUGAAUGCAGGUAUCAAGCCCUAAUACGUAUGAUCUUCUCAAGUCUAUUUCGGGAUUGAAAGUGGAGCCGGUUGAAAAUGUUACGUCCAAAUUGUUUGUCCAAUGCUCACGUCAAAAAGACCUGAUAAAGAUCUACAGGCACCUACUAAAUUACUCAAGUACGGUGUGCUUUCAUCUUUCAUUACUGCUAUCUAUGUUAAGAAUUUUAUUUCAUGUUUGUAUUAUGUAUGUAUUCAAGACUAAUUAAUACCAAGUCUACUCGUUGCAGAAAAUGUAUUUAAUCUUUGCAGCUUCCCCAAUCUAGCUGGGACGAAGUAUAGACAAUUAAGACUGGGGUUCCAGGAGGUAGGAUUGACUCUUGGGAGAAUGUUUUUUCGUUCUUCGGAUCAGUACCUUUUGAUCGUUGUUACUAAUUUCAUUCUCUACAUGUAUUCCUUUCAGGUUGUGGUCUGUGGCCUUUUACGAGAUGGGAAAGUAAAUUUCCACCCAAAUGAUAACGAAGAGCUCAUGGAAACCGACAAACUAUUGUUUAUCGCACCUCUGAAUUGGAAAAAGAAGCAACUAUUAUAUGCAGACAUGAAACUUGAGAACAUUACAGUUGCGACUGAUACUCGGAAGCAAGUGUUUGAGAAAAAAAGAUCACGGCUAGCAAAAAUUAUAAUGCGUCCUCGUAAGUCCUUAUCAAAGGUCUGACUCCCAACUGGCCCCUGUAAUGCUUGAUUUAUACUGGCUUUCGAAAAUUUUGAGACCUCUGAUUUUCAUUUCUAUGGUUUACACAGGGAUCAGAUUCCAUCAAAGGACCCACAGAAUCUAUACUUUUACUUGGUUGGCGUGGAGACGUUGUGCAAAUGAUCGAGGAGUUUGAUAACUAUCUUGGUCCAGGCAGUUCAAUGGUAUGAUCAUAUACCAUUCAUUAUCUCUCUCCGGCUGGCUCUCACAUAAUGAGUUACUUAUAAGUUUCUGUUCACAGGAAAUAUUAUCGGAUGUACCGUUAGAGGACAGAAGAAGAGUGGGAGAUAGUAUGGGUUCAGUGAAAAUUAAGAACAUCCAAGUUUCACAUAAGGUAAAUUUCAUAUCCGGAGGCUAAAAGCAUCUGCAACAAGCUUGGAGUAAAGGUAAUCUUUAAACUUUUCAUCGUUGGGAAUCCUCUGAACUAUGAUACAUUAAAGCAAACUAUAAUCCGUAUGAAAAGUAAAUAUAGAAAAAGCAAAAAUAUUCCUUUGACCAUCCUUGUCAUAUCGGAUCGAGACUGGCUUCUUGGAGGUAAGCAUUCGCGACUAGUUCUUCUUAGUUCCGUCUUUUGCAAUAAUGGUAACACUUACAAAUAUUUGAUGUCUUUUAGAUCCAUCUAGAGCAGACAAACAAUCCGCUUACUCUCUUCUACUUGCUGAAAGCAUCUGCAACAAGCUUGGAGUAAAGGUAAUCUUUGAACUUUUCAUCGAAUCCUAACCACAUUGCGUAGGUAGAAUUCGUCUUACUUUUGUUGUUUCUUUAGGUACAUAAUCUAGCCUCUGAAAUCGUCGACUCAAAACUCGGGAAGCAGGUAUUCAAAGGCGUUUUUUUUUUCUGUUAGCUACUUUUUAUGGUUAAGUUGGUGAAACAUUAUACAAAACCAUACAGAUAACAGGACUCAAGCCGUCCCUAACUUUCAUAGCAGCAGAGGAAGUUAUGAGCCUUGUAACAGCACAAGGUUACAUUUCAUCAAUUCGAUUUUGUUUCUUGGUUAUCUAUCCACAAUCUGAACAAUAGUAAUACUCUUUAUAAUCAGUUGCUGAAAAUAGCGAACUGAACGAGGUAUGGAAGGACAUUCUAGACGCAGAUGGUGACGAGAUAUACGUAAAGGUUAAAAAAAGAAAAACACUCUUCCUUCAAAUAUUUUUGCCAGCGACUUUCACAAAUUUCAAAAUAAUUGCGGUCUGAGAAUCUCGAGUUUCCUUUGAAACACACAGGACAUUGAACUGUACAUGAAAGAGGGCGAGAACCCUUCAUUCACUGAGCUUUCAGAGCGAGCUUGGCUAAGGAGAGAAGUCGCCAUAGGCUACAUAAAGGGCGGUAAAAAGGUUUGUGUUUUAUUACUCUGCAACAUACAUUUAAAACCUCUUCCUCUUCACGAACAUCGGCAACCCAGAUUUGUUGUUGCAGAUAAUCAAUCCGGUUCCAAAGACAGAACCUCUCUCCCUCGAAAUGGAAGACUCAUUGAUUGUUAUAUCAGAGCUUGAAGGAGACCAACCCAUCGCACUAUGAAAAUAUAUACAAUCUCAUAUACCACAUAUGUUAUAGUUUAUUACAUACCAAGCGACUUUGGGCAAGGAGACUGACUCAUUGAUUGUUAUAUCAGAGCUUGAAGGAGACCAACCCAUCACACUAUGAAAAUAUAUACAAUCUCAUAUACCACAUAUGUUAUAGUUUCUCACACACCAAGCGACAUUGGGCAAGGAGACUGACUCACAAAUGCAAACAUUAAAUAAGUCGUUGAAUUUGUACAAAGAACCAAAAUUCUUUUACAUCGAAGCCCCUCUUUUGUUCAUUGGUCUUAAAUUUCAAUGAACGAUCUAAUUUCUAAUAACAAUCUUGUACAUGGAUCUAAACUAGCUCAAUCUAUGCUCUCCUUGACAAACUCUCUAGUUCGUUACUUAGGAGACAAAACAGAACAUGACAAAAACACAGCACCAAAUCUUAGAAUUCAUUUCACACUGUGAAGAGAGGAAAGUUUAAACUUUGAGAAAUGUUAACUGGAUAACAAGAGGUCAUUGAAACAAAAGCAGUACAUAUAAAUACAAAACCAAAUUAAGAACUGAGAGGAUGCAGUGCAGUUACACAAAGUGGUAGCAAAGCAAGCAGGGGAGAGAUAUAGAGACAAUUUGCCUAGAAACAUCUUUCAACAAAUCAAAGCAUGAAUAAAAAACACAAGAACAAAAAUUCUUCAGGCAAAUUUCUCUGCCUUUUUUUUUUUUGGCUUUUUCAUUUAUAUAUUUAUAUUAGGAAACAGUCUUGGAACUCUCUUGGUUCCUACACAAGGAAGCAAAUGCAUACAUAGAGUUAAAGGGAAAAAAAACCCGUGAAGGACUCUCUUGUGUUCCUUCUUUUCAGGAAGAAGAGACACGUUCUCUGUUAUUUACAGAAGCAAAUGAAAACAAAGAAACAAAGGAAACAAUUGGUACUCUAAUUCGAUUUCAUCACUUUAGCAAUUGACCACUUGUCAUCACCCUUCCACCCGUUAUUCCUCUGCAAGCUUGAGAAAAUUAGCGAUAUCUUCAGGUAGCUUUGGACAAUCACUGACAUAGAAUUUUCUAAGGUUAGGAAGAGUCCGAAAAUUCCAGCAGAUUUCCUUAAGUUCAUCCAAUUUAUAUAGCUCAAGGGAUUCCAGGUUCCCAAAGGGAAGAACAAUAUCUGGAUGCACUUUGGUAAUACUCAUUCCUUUCUCCUUAUUUAUUAUUUCUUCUAUUUCUCGUGAAAUGCCCACUCGUAGAUUCUUUAGAUUUUGAGCAAAUAACAGCCAUGACAAAUCCCUUUGCCCUUCCAAAUUGAAUAUAAAAACAGUGGAGAGUUGCUUGAAGCCUGGAUGAAUCUCCAUUGGUGAAAGCUCCCUUCUUUCUUUGCUUUCCCAAUCUAUCUUUAUCUCAAUUGAUAUGUUGCAACUCUCAAUUGCAAGGCGUUGAAGACCUCCCAGAGCUAUCGUGCUUAAUAUUACACGAGGUGCUGACAUUCCUUGUAGACAUAAACCUCGAAUACAACUCGCCAAUCGGUCAAUUCCUUGUAUCCUUUCCAAAAUCGUGGCAUCCUUUAUGUUUGCCGUUAAAAUCUUCAAGUGCUCCAAGUGCUGUAAUUCCUCCAUUAAUAUGUCAUCAACAUAAACUCGGGAAUAAAUUAAUUUCAACACUUGCAGAUUUGGUAAGGUUGUUGCUAUCCCAACAAGACUGAUCUCAAGUACACGAGUGUACUCCAGAUUCAAGUAGAUUAGUUUCCUCAACUUCUUCAGACCAACUGGUAGCGAUUUUAUCCUUGUGCGUGAUAAAUUGAGAUAUUGCAGGGAACCUAAGUUAGAAAUUUCUUCCGGCAAUCCAGUAAGCCCCCCGUUAGAAAGAUCCAAGACCACAAGUUUUGGCAUAAACCGAAAGAAUCCAACUGAAAUAUCCACCAACUGAAUGUUAUCUCGGAGUAAUAGGGUUGAAAGGUUGGGGCAGUUGGGACUGCAAGAUAUCUGCCAAAUGUGAGUACGAAUUAAAGACAUCUGUCUCACAAUCUCCCAAUUGAUGUCAUUUGGUAUCAUACGUACAUGAUCCCCAGAUUUCACACAAAUUGUUUCUUGCUGUUUUCCGAAGUCAGAAUUUAUCCACAGAGCCAUCUCACGUAUCACAUCAUGCAUUUUAACUUUGACACCACAAUCAAUCAACAAAUGUGCACGAACUAACAAGCCAAUUAUAUCAUAACCUUGGUUGGUACCUCCAUCUUCAUAUCUGUUCGGAUUUAUAAAUCCUUCGCAUAUCCAGUAUUCUAUCAACUCCUCCUUCUUUAUUUCAAAAUCUUCAGGAAACAAAGAACAAUAUAGGAAGCACGAUUUGAUUUCACCAUUCUUCAAGCUAUCAUAACUGAACUUCAAAACGCCAAGAAUUCUUUCUUUCAUACCUGGAAACUCGUGGCCAAGCGAAUUCAGAACAUUAAUCGCAUGACGCCAUUCUUGUAUAGACUCUUUACAUGCCAUGGCUUUGCCAAUGACAUUGAGUGCAAGUGGCAAGCCAUGACAUUUUGCAGCAACUAUUCUUGCAAGUGCGGGGAUAUCCUGAUGGCCUCCGAAUAUGACAUCUCCAACAGUAAUUCGAAACAUUGCCCACGCUUUAUUCUGGGGACAAACCAUUCAAUUUUAUCUGCUUGUUAUAUUUUAAGGGCUUGCACAAUUUCCUUCAAACGAAUGGUGAUACAAUACUGCGAGCCCCAUUCUCGAGUUGGAGGUGGACUCCUAUCUUGUUCAGAUNNNNNNNNNNNNNNNNNNNNNNNNNNNNNNNNNNNNNNNNNNNNNNNNNNNNNNNNNNNNNNNNNNNNNNNNNNNNNNNNNNNNNNNNNNNNNNNNNNNNGGUAUGAAGUUGAUACAGACGCAUUUCUUUCUGUAUUAGCCCUUCAACCUAUACAAAAGAUGGAAUCGAUCCCAACCAUUGUAGAGGUAAAUUAGGUAACUAUAUAUUGUGCAGUAAUGGUUCUGUUUAUAAUGCUUAUCUUUUACCUUUCUUGCUUCUGGAAAUGAAUGCAGGUAUCAAGCCCUAAUACGUAUGAUCUUCUCAAGUCUAUUUCGGGAUUGAAAGUGGAGCCGGUUGAAAAUGUUACGUCGAAAUUGUUUGUCCAAUGCUCACGUCAAAAAGACCUGAUAAAGAUCUACAGGCACCUACUAAAUUACUCAAGUACGGUGUGCUUUCAUCUUUCAUUACUGCUAUCUAUGUUAAGAAUUUUAUUUCAUGUUUGUAUUAUGUAUGUAUUCAAGACUAAUUAAUACCAAGUCUACUCGUUGCAGAAAAUGUAUUUAAUCUUUGCAGCUUCCCCAAUCUAGCUGGGACGAAGUAUAGACAAUUAAGACUGGGGUUCCAGGAGGUAGGAUUGACUCUUGGGAGAAUGUUUUUUCGUUCUUCGAAUCAGUACCUUUUGAUAGUUGUUACGAAUUUCAUUCUCUACAUGUAUUCCUUUCAGGUUGUGGUCUGUGGCCUUUUACGAGAUGGGAAAGUAAAUUUCCACCCAAAUGAUAACGAAGAGCUCAUGGAAACCGACAAACUAUUGUUUAUCGCACCUCUGAAUUGGAAAAAGAAGCAACUAUUAUAUGCAGACAUGAAACUUGAGAACAUUACAGUUGCGACUGAUACUCGGAAGCAAGUGUUUGAGAAAAAAAGAUCACGGCUAGCAAAAAUUAUAAUGCGUCCUCGUAAGUCCUUAUCAAAGGUCUGACUCCCAACUGGCCCCUGUAAUGCUUGAUUUAUACUGGCUUUCGAAAAUUUUGAGACCUCUGAUUUUCAUUUCUAUGGUUUACACAGGGAUCAGAUUCCAUCAAAGGACCCACAGAAUCUAUACUUUUACUUGGUUGGCGUGGAGACGUUGUGCAAAUGAUCGAGGAGUUUGAUAACUAUCUUGGUCCAGGCAGUUCAAUGGUAUGAUCAUAUACCAUUCAUUAUCUCUCUCCGGCUGGCUCUCACAUAAUGAGUUACUUAUAAGUUUCUGUUCACAGGAAAUAUUAUCGGAUGUACCGUUAGAGGACAGAAGAAGAGUGGGAGAUAGUAUGGGUUCAGUGAAAAUUAAGAACAUCCAAGUUUCACAUAAGGUAAAUUUCAUAUCCGGAGGCUAAAAGCAUCUGCAACAAGCUUGGAGUAAAGGUAAUCUUUAAACUUUUCAUCGAAUCCUAACCACAUUGCAUGGGUAAAAUUCAUCUUACUCUUGCUGUUUCUCUAGGUACAUAAUCUAGCCUCUGAAAUCGUUGACUCAAAACUUGGCAAGCAGGUAUUGAAAGGCGUUUUUCUUUUUCUGGUUAGCUACUUUUACGGAUAAGUUGCUGAAACAUUAUACACAACCAUACAGAUAACAGGACUCAAGCCAUCGUUAACUUUCAUAGCGGCAGAGGAAGUUAUGAGCCUUGUAACAGCACAAGGUUGCAUUUCUUAAAUUCGAUUUUGUUUCUUGUUUAUCCACCCGCAAUCCAAACACCAGUAAUAUUAUUUUCUUUAUAAUUAGUUGCUGAGAACAGCGAACUGAACGAGGUGUGGAAGGACAUUCUAGACGCAGAUGGUGAUGAGAUAUACGUAAAGGUUAAAAAUGAUAAACACUUUUCCUUUGAAUAUUUUUGCCAGUAACUUUCACAAAAUUUAAAAUAGUUGCGGUCUGAAAACCUCAGAGUUUGCUUUGAGACACACAGGACAUUGAGCUGUACAUGAAAGAGGGCGAGAGCCCUUCAUUCACUGAGCUCUCAGAGCGAGCUUGGCUAAGGAGAGAAGUCGCCAUAGGCUACAUAAAAGGCGGUAAAAAGGUUUGUGUUUUAUUACUCUGCAACAUACAUUUAAAACCUCUUCCUCUUCACGGACAUCGGCAACUCAUUUUUGUUGUUGCAGAUAAUCAAUCCGGUUCCAAAGACAGAACCUCUCUCCCUUGAAAAGAAUGACUCAUUGAUUGUUAUAUCAGAGCUUGAAGGAGACCAACCCAUCGCACUAUGAAAAUAUAUUACAUACCAAGCGACUUUGGGCAAGCAGACUGACUCACAAAUGCAAGCUUCAAAUAAGUCGUUGAAUUUGUAUAAANNNNNNNNNNNNNNNNNNNNNNNNNNNNNNNNNNNNNNNNNNNNNNNNNNNNNNNNNNNNNNNNNNNNNNNNNNNNNNNNNNNNNNNNNNNNNNNNNNNNCUCACUUAGAAAUCAAUGAACGUUCUAACUUCUAAGAACAAUCUGGUACAUGGAUCUAAAACUAGCUCAAUCCAGAAACAUAAACGCUAUCUAUGCUCUCCUUGACAAACUCUGGUUCGUUACUUAGAGCAUACACAAUGGUAAACUUUGUGUAUGGGUGUGAGUAUUAAAAUAUUCAAAAGUAAGAGAACAGUGCACUUGGAAUGCGUAUGCGAGUGUUAGUUUACAACCGAGUGUGAGGGGCAGGUGUCUUUGUUUGGUUGGUUCUGAUUUUUUUUAUAUUAAAAAAUUGUUUUCAUCUCUCCUCUCUGUUCCUUCGAUGAAAACAAUUUUUCAUCUUUCCUCUGUGUUCCUCCUCUGUUCCUCAUCUCUCCUCUCUCCUCUCUAACUUUAUUUUACUAAUUUAAUUUGCCUCACAUCUAUCUUCUUGAGUGCCGCAUUGCUGAUGUUCUUAGGAGACAUCACAAACAUGACAAAAACACGCCAACGAAUCUUUGAAUUCACACUGUGAAGAGAGGAAAGUUUAAACUUUGAGAAACAAGAGGUAAUUGAAACAAAAACAGUACAUAUAAAUACAAAACCAAAUUAAGAACUGAGAGGAUACAGUGCAGUUACACAAAGUGGGAGCAAAGUUUAUACAGUAGAGACCAUUCCUUUGCGUAGAAACAUAUUUCUCCCAUUAUUAAUCCCCGAUGAUAAGGUCCCAGUCAAAAUCAUGAAUAAAAAACACAAGAACAAAAAUUCUUCAGGCAAAUUUCUCUGCCUCUUUUUUUUGGCUUUUUCAUUUAUAUUUUAGGAAACAGUCUUGGAACUACACGUUCCUACACACAAGGAAGCAAAAGAAACGUGAAAGAUGAAAGAAACUUGAAGGACUCUCUUGUGUUCCUUCUUUUCUGGAAGCAGAAGCAAAUCAAACAAAGAAACAAAGGAAACAAUUGGUACUCUAAUUCGAUUUCAUCACUUUAGCAAUUGACCACUUGUCAUCACCCUUCCACCCGUUAUUACUCUGCAAGCUUGAGAAAUUUAGCGACAUCUUCAGGUAGCAUUGGACAAUCUCUGACAUUGAAGUUUCUAAGGUUAGGAAGAGUCCGAUAAUUCCAGCAGAUUUCCGUAAGUUCAGGCAAUUCUUCUAGCUCAAGGAUUUCCAGGUUCCCAAAGGGAAGAACAAUAUCUGGAUGCACUUUGGUAAUACUCAUUCCUUUCUCCUUAUUUAUUAUUUCUUCUAUUUCUGGUGAAUAGCCCACUUCUAGCUUCUUUAGAUUUUGAGCAAAUAACAGCCAUGACAAAUCCCUUUGCCCUUCCAAAUUGAAUAUAAAAACAGUGGAGAGUUGCUUGAAGCCUGGAGAACUUGUAGAUGGGAGAAUCUCCAUUGGUGAAAGCUCCCUUCUUUCUUUGCUUUCCCAAUCUAUCUUUAUCUCAGAUAUGUUGCAGCUCCCAAUUUCAAGGCGUUGAAGACCUCCCAGAGCUAUCGUGCUUAAUAUUACACGAGGUGCUGACAUUCCUAGUAGACAUAAACCUCGAAUACAACUCGCCAAUCGGUCAAUUCCUUGUAUCCUUUCCAAAAUCGUGGCAUCCUUUAUGUUUGCCGUUAAAAUCUUCAAGUGCUCCAAGUGUUGUAAUUCCUCCAUUAAUAUGUCAUCAACACAAACACGGGAAAAAAAUAAUUUCAACACUUGCAGAUUUGGUAAGGUUGUUGCUAUCCCAACAAGACUGAUCUCAUGUACAUGAUCCAAGACCACAAGUUUUGGUAUAAACCGAAAGAAUCCAACUGAAAUAUCCACCAACUCGAUUUUAUCCUUGUGCGUGAUAAAUUGAGAUAUUGCAGGGAACCUAAGUUAGAAAUUUCUUCCGGCAAUCCAGUAAGCCCCCCGUUAGAAAGAUCCAAGACCACAAGUUUUGGCAUAAACCGAAAGAAUCCAACUGAAAUAUCCACCAACUGAAUGUUAUCUCGGAGUAAUAGGGUUGAAAGGUUGGGGCAGUUGGGACUGCAAGAUAUCUGCCAAAUGUGAGUACGAAUUAAAGACAUCUGUCUCACAAUCUCCCAAUUGAUGUCAUUUGGUAUCAUACGUACAUGAUCCCCAGAUUUCACACAAAUUGUUUCUUGCUGUUUUCCGAAGUCAGAAUUUAUCCACAGAGCCAUCUCACGUAUCACAUCAUGCAUUUUAACUUUGACACCACAAUCAAUCAACAAAUGUGCACGAACUAACAAGCCAAUUAUAUCAUAACCUUGGUUGGUACCUCCAUCUUCAUAUCUGUUCGGAUUUAUAAAUCCUUCGCAUAUCCAGUAUUCUAUCAACUCCUCCUUCUUUAUUUCAAAAUCUUCAGGAAACAAAGAACAAUAUAGGAAGCACGAUUUGAUUUCACCAUUCUUCAAGCUAUCAUAACUGAACUUCAAAACGCCAAGAAUUCUUUCUUUCAUACCUGGAAACUCGUGGCCAAGCGAAUUCAGAACAUUAAUCGCAAGAUACCAUUCUUGUAAAGUCUCUUUACAUGCCAUGGCUUUGCCAAUGACAUUAAGUGCAAGUGGCAAGCCAUGACAUUUUGCAGCAACUCUUCUUGCAAGUGCGGGAAUAUCCUGAUGGCCGCUGAAUAUGACAUCUCCAACAGUAAUUCGAAACAAUUCCCACGCUUUAUCUGGUGACAAACAAUCAACUUCUAUCUGCUUGUCAACUUUCAUGUGCUUGCAAACUUCCUUCGAACGAGUGGUGAAAACAAUCUUCGAUCCAUUUGCUCGAGUUGGAGGUGGAACUCCUAUCUUGUUCAGAUCCAUUUCGCUCCAGAGAUCAUCCAACAACAGCACAAAUUUCUUUCUAUUAAGGAUAUUGUCUAUGCACAAAGCUUUCUCCUUUUCUGUUUCUUGUUUCCAUUCCUUGUCAAGACGUAAUCUUCCCAGAAUCUGAUCUUGAAUGCCCUCAUACUGAAAGUCGUUAGAUACCACAACCCAUAUCACAACAUCAAAUUCACUCUCCAAUUCAACAAAUUUGUUGUUGAUACAAGCUAAGAGGGUGGUUUUUCCUACUCCCCCCAUACCAUAAAGACCCAAGGUUCUUAUUUCAUCGUUCAUGACGCUUUCCCAUGCCAUUUCAACCAAUGUAUCCAAACCCACUGUGGUUUGGAUAUGCUUCUUCUCCGCCUUACGUAUAAUUUUCUGCGCCACCUCUACAAAAUCUUUUUUAGAUAGAAGUUCUUCAACUUCUUCCAACAUCUUCGAUACCUUUUCACCAUAAUUGUAGCUUGAUAUGCAAUCCUCGGAGCAAUAUCCAAACAAACACAAUCUUCCAGUUUCAGUUGAUCUAGCCGCAAGCAUAUCAUUGAAUUGGGAUUCAACACUUUUUACCCUUGAAAGCCAUCCGUUGACUUGAGCAAGCCGUUGCAAACCUUUAUCUUCUUCUAUGGAAACUCUUGCUAACAGAUCAUCUCGUCUAUUCUUAAGUUUUCCAUAGUUGUCUCCAGAGCAUCGAGAUUUGACUCCAUCAAGUGAAUGUAGUUUCUAUCGCUUAAAAAGCAGCCACAUGCAGCAGUGAAGAUUUUAUUCCAGGGUAUUAGUAGAAGCAAGUCCGCCAUUUCUCUUGUGUUGAUUACUGCCAAGGCGAUGCAAGAAACAACACAAGAGAAAAUGAUGAAUGGUGGAGAGAAAAGGAAUACAAUCGUGCAUUCCUGUACUGACUGUAUCAAGAAAUUAUAAGUCAAGAGAGCAAUGUCUAUUAGUUUAUUGAGAAACUGAAACAGUUUAUUAAAAGUAGUGGUAGCUUCAAGAAAAGUCAGAAGUUUGAGUAGUGGUAGCUUCAAGAAAAGUCAGAAGUUUGAUAUCCACAAAUGUGAAAUUUACUAAGCCAUAAAAUACGAAGAGCACAAUCCGACAGACCGGUUUAACCGGAAAAUAAUCCGGUUCAACCUAGUUGUGUAUCCCCUAAUACGCUGCGUUCUAACGCCGAACAAAGAAAAAAACACAACCCCUAAUUUUUGUCUGUUGCUCUCUCAAGUCUCAACUCUUCCUCCUUCUUCAACUACUUCAAAAGCUUUGGCAAAAUCCUUUAGUCAUGGCGCACGGAGGUUAUGCCAAGAGAAGAGUUUCGGAACCUAAUCAGGCGGCGGGAAGUAGUCGGAGGUCGAAAGUAUUGCGUGUAGAGAAGAAACCUAAGACUGUCUCCAUCAAGAAUCAGAUGCGUUCCGUUGAACGCUUUCUUCGUAAAGUCAGCUCCUUUUCUCUCUCUGAAAUUAGGGUUCCUUUGAUAGAAUCUCUCUUAAAGUUCCAGCCUUUCUGGCGAUUUAGUUAGCUUGUGUGGUGUAGAGCUUAAGGGUUUACAAUGUUAUUCCUAGGUUGUGUUCUUGUAGAGAAUUUGAUUAUCUAUGGUCAAUUAGAACCAAACCCAUUUGAGAAUUUUGAAUGUUGAUGUAUUUUUGAUACUCUGUAGGAUUUGCCUCCUGAAGUAAGAGAGUCUUUAGUAGAGAAGUUGGAAGAUUUGAAGAAGCAGCAAGACGCUCAUACCCGUCUUGCUGUUGAACGUAAAAUAUUCCUUAGGAACAGAAAGAUUAAGUUCUUUGGUAAGAAGAGCUUUUACCUGUCGUCUAAUAUUUAGUCAUGAUUUAGUUAGUAAUGAUGCCUGAGAAGUUAGAGCUUUUUAUUUUCUUGAUUAGAGCGGAGAAAGAUCGAAAGGAGUAUUAGACGUCUUGAGAAGUUACAACGUACUUCAUCUGCUCAUGUGGGCGAUACAGAUAUAGCUGAGCAACUAAGUAAACUCAAAGAAGACCUUGAGUAUGUUCGGGUAAAUUCACUUUUACUUACUCUACCUUCCUUCUUUUUUUACUAUCUCUCAUCCUUCUGCUUGUUAGUUAUAUGAUUUAGAAUGAGCUUAGUUGAGAAUCUCUGUUCUUCUUAAAUGUGAAAUUGCAGUUCUUCCCGAAAAAUGAGAAGUAUGUAUCUCUUUUUACUGGAGCUGAGGAUUCAGAAGUAAUUGAGAAGAGAGGUCAAAUGCGGAAGCAGAUCAAAGCCAAUAUUAUUGUUGCUGCUNNNNNNNNNNNNNNNNNNNNNNNNNNNNNNNNNNNNNNNNNNNNNNNNNNNNNNNNNNNNNNNNNNNNNNNNNNNNNNNNNNNNNNNNNNNNNNNNNNNNUAUCGGAUCAUUGUGUACUAAUAACAUGGACUUGGGAUAUCUAAUGAGAGUAUUCGGUGAAACACUCGCAUACGGAUUGGUGUCUUCUUGUUGACUAUGUAACAGGUCUAUGAAACCAGAAGACUGACAAAAUGGAUUCAUAUCAUCCAUUUGGUAAUGGUUGUGGGUGUUAAAACGAGAAAGAAGAGAACAAUAAAAACAAUUAGUUUGAUGCUCAGUUUACUUAACUCUGCACUUAACUCUAUACCUAACAUAAAGCAGCAAUCAACGAUACAACAAACACAUUGACCUUUACCUUGAUUAACUAGUAGACUCUCCUAAACUACACUCCCAUUGCCUUCUCCACUUGCCUUCUCCAAUUGACGAGACACCAUUUACCCUCAAUGUAUGAACACUGAAAAAAAAAAUGUAAUCAAUGCUCAGUUUACUUAAUUCUGAACAUUUACCUUCAGUUAAACGACAACACCAUUGCCUUCUCCACUUGCAAAGACUCCAUUUACACUCACCAAAAACAUAGAUAAAGAAAUCUGAUUAGAAUUAAUAUUACACAUUUAAGACUACAAAAUGAUAUUCAAGCAAAUAAUAGAGAUAUACAAAUCAAUAUAAAAACUACUUAAAGACUACAAAAAAUCUGAUUAUGCUUUUUUUUUUUUUUUGUAAACCAUCUGAUUAUGCUUUAUGAUUCAAAAACAGAGUAUGAUUAUCCAAAACUAUAAAACAAAAUCAAACAAGCUAUUCCAUAUUUCGUCUUCAAUCAUACCAAGUAACUAUAUCAUAGCCCCCAAAUUAUUAAAAUAACCAUAAUGUGAAUAUCCAAAACUAUCAACCCUAAAUUAAACAAUCUAUGACAAAAUUAAUGUUCAAUCAUACCAAAUAACAAACACAAAACCUCCAAAUUGAUUGUUGCGAAAUUUUGCCAUAUAUGCUCAACCAAAUCAGCUUUCAAUUGUUGAUGCAUAUCUCGAUCACGAACUCGAUUUCGAAUGCCCAUCAUAUUCCCGAGAUUUGUAGGCAUAUAUGUAGAAUACGUGAAAUCCACUUGUGAAGUUCGGUUUGCUUCAACUCGUAUGAAUUUCAAAACAUCAAACUGAGUGUACCCAUCUCAUUCAUCUUCUAUUAUCAUAUUGUGAAUAUAAAAUUUAGAAUAAUGAAAUAUCCAAGUUUUAUAUAUGAAAAAUUGAAAUAAUUAACUUUUAUGUCUUUACUUUUAUUUACUUAAAUUAUUUUUUAUCUAAUUGUUAUUUACCUUUUUCUCAAAAAUCAUGUUAUUUACCAAAUUGGUUCUAAUUGCUUUUGCUCUUUUUUGUCAUCGGAAAUUUAUUAAAAAUUAUUGAAAAUACAUAUGUUAGUAGAAAAUAAUAUCUAUGGAACUAAGCCAGAAAAUACUAUUAAAAUUAUCGGAAACAACAGGUUUAAAAAAGAAAACUUAAAAAAAAAAAAAUCCUAGAAAAACUUGAAUCAAAACUGUUAAAUCCAAAUUUUUACCAAUUAAAUCUUAAUCUUAUUCAAUAAUUCUUUUCCAAGAUCAUUGUUUUCAUGUCAAUGAAAAUCACAAACCGCACCAAAAAUUUAUGUUCUUCACGUCCUUUGCUUGGUAGUUGGUAGAAUUCUAAAAUUGAAAUAUAUAUUUAGUUACUCCGGCUUGAUAGACCUUUCUCUUGAGAUUUUGGAACCAUCUGUUAUUCGUCUACAUUGAUAACGUCGAUAUAUACUCAACUAAGGUUCGAUUGAAAGAAAGCAAAACUUAAUUAUACCUCGACUGGUGUUAAACUCGAGUGGAGGAAACUUGAAAAGUCGCACAACCACUUCAUCUAUCACGUAAAUGUAAAAGUUGUAGAUCGACUGAAUGAAAACCAAGACAAAAUGUAACCCAAAACAACGGAUCACCACCAAUCCACCACACAAUUUUAAAAACAAAACAUAUCGACUCUAACUUUUAUUUUUUAUCCGAUAAAAUUAUAUUCCCGUGAUAUUUAAAAUAAAAAAUUUUCUAAAUAAGGCCUAAUUAAUAUUCCGAAAAUUCUUUUAUUGCAUGUUCACCAUUACUAGAAUUUUUUUUGUUAAUAUAUACUAAGAUGUAGACCAUUAAUAUUCUUAGUAAAAUUCAUCGUUUUUAGUUUGAUGACUUUUAAAUUCUAUUCAAAAUUUCUUAUAAUGUAAAAAUUUUAAAAUUCUAUUCAAAAUUUCUUGCAAUGUGAAAUUUUUAGUUAUCAUUGAUUCUACAACUCAAUUAAAAUGCUGUUACUAACAUAUAUAAAUUCUGUACAGAUUUCCUCAUAAAGCAAAACCUUUGAGAAAAUCAUGGAUGUCCAUUGGAUUUAAAAUAUUGAUAACUAAACUUAUAAAAUACACAAAACCUCUACAAAUUUAAUAUAUUUAUCAACUUCUAAAGCCAACCAACUCAUGUAAAUCCAUUUCCUACCAAGUCUCCUUCACUCUCAAACAAAACCGAAACGCAAGAACAGAUAAUACAAAUAAUUCGUCGAGAUUUUGUAACAAAAAAAAAUAAUUAUAACAUCGGAUUUCACUCUCAACUUUUAGAAUAUUUAUUCCUAAAACCUAUGAUGUCGCAGCACUAAUUACAAGAUCAAAGAGUGCACUGAUUUCGACCAAGUUAAGAUCACUUGUUGCCGCAGCAAAAGCCAAGGUCCGGCUCAGCCCAUUUAACAUAAAGCCCACUUAAAUAACAAGGCCCACUCAUCUGACGCUACGUAGCCCCGGUGUCUUGUGAUCGAAGAGAAGAUCCCCAAAACUUGCCUUCAACUUUCUCCUUUCCCGUCACUGAAAAACUUCCCUGCAACACUCACAAGAUUACAUACAAGAGUUUAAUCUAUUAUAGCUUGUAGUUUGAGUUUGAGUUCAUUGCUUGUAGAACAGAGUAGACUAAAGAGAUUGUUUUGCCUCACCUUUUAAAGCUGGAGUUUCCUUUUCGGCUUGUGCGAAAAAGCUUUUUGCCUUGUGUGCUACUUCCGCUUCAAGAACUGCCUCCAACAUUAAAUCAGAUCCUUUUGCACUCUCUGCAACCAAACAUUUGGAUAAAAAGUGAGCAGCUUCUGUUUCUAAACUCAAGCUAUAAACAAAAAUGGUCCAGAACGAAACAAAACAUUUCAUAACGAAAACACAUAAAUGCUUUCUACCUUUGCGUUGAGGAAGCAACUUUGCCAUCUCAGCUGAAACAGGAAGAACAGGUGAAUCACUGCUUAGAGUGUUGGUUUUUCCACUGACCGUCUCAGAUAAUCGUGCAAAUGAUGUUGCUUGAGCGUGCAGGUUAACAGAAGCCGAAGACGAGCCACUAAAUUCUUGCGCCUUUUAUGAACAUAAAAAGAGAAAAGUGUGAAUUGCACAAUUCAAUACAAAACAAAUGGAUCAAGAAGGAUUAUACCAAAAAAAAAAAAGACCUUUGUAUAAUGAUCUACAGGCUUCUUUCUUUCUUCAACAUUAACCGAUGUAACAUUCCCUACAAUAGAACAAAACCAGAUAAUGAACAACAACAAGAAGAAAAAAAAUAGUGACUAGUGAGUGUUUUAUAUACCAUUGGUGGUGCUUGGACUAGGUUCUGGAGUUUGGUUGUCUACUCUUCGAGUCAAAGGACUAGAAUCAAAUAGAGAAAACCUAGCUCCAUGGCUAAUCGCGUCUACUUGUGCUCGUAAAUCUUGAACUUCUUUCGAUAUCUAAACCAAGUACUAGAGUAUUGUAAGACAACAAGACUUCAAGGAACAUGUAAAGCUACCAUUCAAAUUCACUACACAAGUUCCUUAAGAUUCAAGAUUCAUGAAGAACAACAAUAAUGUUGAGCUAAAACAAUGUUGAUCACAAAUAAAUCAAACCUCUUGCAUCUGAGGUUGUUUCAUGACACCAUCCAAGUGACCACGAGCCAUAUUGAUGUAACCAAUGGCUCGUCCGAAUAAUCUUCCUCCUGCUCUAGCAAUAAUCGGAAGAUCUUUGGGUCCUGAAAAUAUCCGAAAUUCACACUCAAAUCAUUCGAAUUCCAGAGAAAUUUGGGGAACACAAAGAUCGAAGCUAGUAAUGUUUUUCGAUUGAAGAGAGACUAACCUACAACAGCAGCUGUGGCACCGAGGAUGAGUAAGAGCUCACCGUAAGAAAGCCCAAGCAUUGCUUCGUACUCCGAUCGUCCUCCGUGUUCCUCUCGCCGUCUCAGGGAAGAAGAGAGAUCUUCUCGAUUAUUCCUUACAAGGCUUAUUUGGGCUUCAAUUAUGUGGGCCUUGAAGCCCAUAUAUUGAUAUUUUAAAAGCUGAUGAGAAAUUUGCAAAAAUGGCUUGGAAUUUUCAGAAUUCUUAACAUUUAUCUCCCAUCUUAAUAAACCAGUAAACUACGUUGCUGUUACAAAAUGAAGAAAAGAAAAGUAGGAAAAAAGGUUAAAAAGUUAGAGCAACAAAAAUCAAUAUUAAUGUCAAAAGUUUUUCUCAUAUAUGGAUGGAAAAAGUAUUGUUAAUGACAAAUAACAUAACUUAGUUGUCUUUUGUUUGAAUUUGGAAGACAUUGAUAGAGGCUGAAAUGAUGAUAUCAAAUGUUACCUUGUUUUGUUUGGAUUUGCUUUGACACUCUUCUAUAUCGAUAACUAGGAAAAGUUCCACGCAAUGCGUGGGUAAAAUUAAUAUAGUAAAAUAUGUAAAUAUUGUUAGUUAGUUUUCAAAUAUAUAAUUAAUAUAAAUAUUGUGACUAAGAUAUAUAUUGUAAACAAAGCAUCUAUUACGUCUUAUGAAUUAUUAUCUAUUGUGUUUAAAAUUUGUCACAUGAAUGCAAAUAUUAACACAUGAAUGCAAAUCAACACACAAAUUAAUUUAAAAUUGACAUAAAUUCCCUCAUCAGAGUAAAAUUUGUAUAAGCACGUCAUUCAUCAGAUUUUGUAGGCUCUAUAUCACCCUCAUCCAUGUCAUUUUCAUCGAGAUGUAGUCUUGGUUAAGUGGCGUAUGGAUAGUCUCCCCUUACUUCAUUAUAAAAUAAGUAAGCCAGAUUAGCUCAUCAAAUUGAAAGGAAAAUAAUGAUGGUCACUCCUAUAGAUUAUAGACCUUAAUAAGCAAAAUAUGACAUAUAAUUAUCAUAAUAAGUCAAUUAUAAACACUUGCCUUGGGUUUAGUAGCCUAUUAGAAAGAGAGCGAAUUCUUUAUUUUUAUAUAUAUGAUGGCAAAUGCUCCAAUAAAGUGAGAGCAAAACCAACUUAUCGAUUAUACCUGUUAAACGCAAAUUGGUUUUUGAUAAGUUAAUGAUAAUAUAUAAAAUAUUGUAGAAAAUAUUUAAUUACCAAAAGUACAUUGCAAUAUACUUAAUAAUUAGGUCAAGUGAAUUAUUUGUUUUAGAAUGUAGAAAUAAAGAGAAUAAUGAUACUGGAACAUUUUAAGAAUAAUGUAAGUAAAAGAAAAAAGAGAAAAUAAUCAUAAGAAAUAUGUCACAUGUCAUUGAAAAAAAAAUCUUAUAUAAUUAUAAUUAGUUUAUCAGAAAAUCAGGAGAAACAAAUGUUCAAUUGUUGUUGUUGUUAGUUCUGGUGAUCUCUUUCCUUCGAUAAAGCUUCAUAUGAACUAUCUUAUUUCUUAGCUUAUUUGUAAAGAAGUUAAUUGAACACCUAAAUAACCUUAUCUUUUAGAUUCCGUAAUUCAAAAAUAACUUUAACCGAUAUAGGAAUAUCUCUACAAAUGUAGAGAUGAGGGAGAAGAUAAGAAAUUUUUACCUUGGGAGGACUUAUUAGGAUGUAAAACAAGCUCAUCAAAGGUUGGGCUAUCACACUCCAUGUUUUCUGUUAGAAUUUCUUUGUAUUUGAAAUCAUUGUUUAGACCAUUAGUUCGAGCUCUAGAUCCACGAGGUCCAAUAGCAAUGAUCUUCCAUUCCGGAAACAAAUCAGACUAAAAAAUAUCAUUAAAAUUUCCACUAAAAAUACACGAUAAUAAUUUAAUGUGAUACUAAAUACAAAAGAUAUCCUCCAUCACUCAAAUUAUAUAUAUUUAAAUAUUAAAUAUAUACAUUUUAAUAGUUAAUUAUAAAUUAAUGUUUGAUAUGAUACUAUAUACAAAAUAUUAUUUACUUAUGUUAUUAUGAAAUAAAAGUAACCUUUAAACUCAAAGUAAACGCAUAAGCAUUCUCUAUUCUCAUGUUGUCCCCCAUAACACAUGAUUGAUGAUUUUAAAAUUCUAAAAAACUUGUUAUAUACUUGAAACAAAGAAAUCAAAAUAAUAUAUAAUCAUGUUUAACAAUAUAAUAUUUAUAUACAAAAACAUAAACAUUAGAAAAAGAAGACAACUAAAAGGUUAAAAAGGUAAAAUAUAUAUCAUAUAUUACUAUUAUAUGAAUCUAAUAGACUUCUUAUAAAUGGUAAAUUGCAUGUAUAUUACCUUCAACACCCACAAAAUUGAAUAAGAAAAAAGUUAGAACUUCAAUAGCUAUAUAAAAAUAUUGUCAUAGAAUUUACAAAACGUAAUACUUAAAAUAUGAUGGAUAGUGGAAUGUGAGUUUUGCUAUAUACAGGAAGUAACUUUACUUUAUUAUAUAAGAUUCGAUAUAAAAAAAAUGAUCUGAAUUUAAAUUUUUUGUUAUUUUAACUUGAUCGGGAAAUAAAAUAAAAUAACCUAAAGUGAUAAUUUUUCCAACUAAUUUUUUUUUACUCUAAUUGACUAUGUUGAUUUAUGUCUACUACAUUCAUAUAAACUAAAAAUGCAUCUUAUAUUCUUAUAAUUGCUUCCAUUUGGAAACUAUAUUUUCUUUUUAUUGGAGAUACAUUAGCAAGUGAACUUAAAGAAUAAAUCACAUAUUUCGUACGUGCAAAUUAUUCAGAAUAACACAUAUCUUAUGUCAAAUAACUAGAUUGACUCUGUUUUAAAACGCAUAACUAGAAUGAUCUCGUCUUUUGUAAAAGACAUUCUAACCUUUUUUUUAAUUAUAUUAACGAAAUUGUCAAUUUGCUUUUAAAAAAAAAUUAAAUGUUUUUUUAUUAAAUCGAUAAUACCCAGUAUACAUUUGAAAAUAUUUGUAUUUUUGAAGUACAUUUGAAAAACAAACUUUGUUGAUGAAUAUAUUACAAAAAAUGCCAUUAGUUAUAAGGCAAAACAACUAAACACAUAUAAUUAAGGGUAUAUAUAUGUAAUAGAAAAAUACUUAUAUCCAUGUAUCCAAAUAACUCUUACAACUAAUUCUCUAUAAUCCAUAUAACCAAACACAAUUAAAAGAUUUUAACAUUAAUUAUAAAAUUAGAAAUAUAUAUAUAAUGUUCCACAAAUAAUAAUAUAGAUUUUUAGAAGAUUUUGUUAAAAUUUAAAAUUUUGAUUUUUAUAUCAUAUUAGUUUAACUUAUUUUUUAUUGCUUUGAAUCUCAUAUAAAACAUAAAGUUAAUAAAAUCUAAAUUUUGUUUCUGCAUAUAUUUUUCGAAUUUUACAAGACGAACAUAUACAUAUAUUUCGAAUUUUGUUUCUGCAUAUAUUUUUCGAACAAGACAAAUAAAUAACAAAUUGUGUGUUCAACGUCCCACAUUGGCUAAAAUGUUUAGACAAUGAUUUAGAGUCAUAUUAUAAAUAAGACCAAAAUAAAUCUAAAUCUGAAUGAACAGAUUAACUUAACAAGUAUCUAAAUUAAAAAAAUUGUAUUCAGUUUAUUCGAUUCAUUAGUUGAACUAUUUAUAUAUACUGGGUAUAAUAUAAUUUAAAAUCUUAAAAGUUUAAAAUAUUAUUAUUGAUAUAUUUCUACUUAAUAAAAAUUUUAAAAUAUUAUGAAUAUUUAAACGUAUAAAAAAUUAAAAUAAUAUGGGACGAGUUAUAUGGCGGGUUGAGUUUGAAUAGAUAUUAAUAAAAAAUAUAAAAUAUCAAAAAACACGGCGCUACAACAUAGGUUAAGUAAUGUUCUUUUUUUUUUUGUCAACCACACAUUAAUUAAUAAAUAAUUCCUUGAUUGGUUGCCCAAUUAGGAGGAGUAGAGUUUACAAAAGUAACUUCAGAAAAUAAAAGUCUAGAAGAACGGGCUAAGCAGUCCGCUUGAACAUUACAUAAACGAGAAAUAAGAGAAAGCGAGAAGAAAGGGAAAGAGAGACGGAGAAAACCAAACUCGUCUAGAAGAUUGGAGAAAGCAGGCCAUUCAUCCGGUGAGUGUAUCAUCGAGACUAACUCCGAGCAGUCUGAUUCAAACACCUGACAAUCGAUCCCUCUUGAAAGGAUAUUCUUCAUAGCCCAAAUUAAAGCUUCCAUCUCCGAGUGAAGAGGGGAGGGACACCUCCGAAGGCACUUUGCACCGAGCAGUAUCGUUUGAUCAUUUCCUUGAAAACACCACCAUCCUAUACCCAUUGUUGGAUCUGAAUUUUUCCAAGAACCAUCAAUCCGACAUCUUAUAGAUUGAACCGGUCGUUCCAAAGUUUCCGUAGUAGAACUAGUUUCGAUCGGAUCCAACUGAUUCUUCCCACAUUAAUUUUUCACUCAAAGCAUGAUUUAAAAUAUCUCUGGGUUCAGAUUGUAAUCCCUUGAAAACCUUUUUAUUCCUAUCUUUCCAGAUGAACCACAAAAUCCAAGCAUAACUGAAAGUUUUCUCUCCCCCAUCUAGAUUAGAUGGUAACCUCCAAUAAAGAUAAUCUAGAUUUGAGAAUUCCGAGGUUAGAGGAAAACUACCUAUUGCCGUAGGUAUAUCUGAUAAUUCCCAUAUUUUCUGAGAAUGAGUGCACUCAAAUAAAGCAUGAUUUAUUGUUUCCUCUGCCAUCUCACACCUUUUACAGAGAAAGUCACAUUGGAUCCCUCGAUGUGCUAAUUUUGAAGUAACUGCUAGAGAUCCCGUAGCAAUUUGCCAUAAGAAAUGUUUUAGUUUUGGAGGGGCUUUGACUUUCCAAGCUUGUGCUUGUAAAUUCUUAUAAUUCGGGCCCCAUUCGAUCGUUUCUGUCAUCUCUCUAGCAACCCGAUAGCCUGAUUUUACUGUAUAUCUUCCCGAUCUUGUAUGAUGCCAGAUAUGCCUAUCUGGCUUAUAAACUUUGCUAAUAGCCAAUCCCCUAAUAAACUGAAUAUCCACUGGAUCCAAAAAUUCUUGUAAAAUAGGAAGAUGCCAUUCUUUAGUAACCGGAUUAAUUAAAUGGUUAACCAUCAAACUUGGAAGUAAUGUUUUUCCUCUUCCAUUUGCGGGCCGUGGGUUAACAUCAGGAAUCCAAAGAUCUCGCCAUACCGAUAGAUUGAAACCCGAUCCUAGUGACCAUCUAGCUCCCACUUCAACUAAUCUUUUAGUAGAAAAAAUACUCUUCCAUCCAAAUGAUGGAGAGUUUGGUUUUUUUGCCUGUAAAGGAUGAAUAUUCCUGAAAUAUCUGCUUUGUAGCACCCGAGCUACUAAAGAGUUCGGAUAUUGGAUUAAACGCCAAUAUUGUUUAGCCAACAUGGCAUCAUUAAAAAUGUCUAGGGAAUGAAAUCCUAAACCUCCUUCUUAUUUAUCCUUACACAUUUUUUCCCAUGCUAUCCAAUGGAUCCCACGAUCUCUCCCAUUGGAACUCCACCAAUAAUUAGAAAUAGCACUUGUUAACUUAGAAGUUAACUCUUGAGGUAGUUUAAAACAAGACAUAACAUAGGUUGGUAGUGCCAAAGCCACUGAUUUGAUCAUUGUUUCUUUCCCACCUUUCGACAGAAAUUUAGCUGACCAGCCAUUAAUCCGUUCAUUAAGUCUUUCCCGGACAUAAUUAAAGAUUUUACUUUUUGAGCCUCCUAAGCUCUCUGGUAUACCCAAAUAGGUACCCAUGCCACCCUUCUUACUGAUUCCAAGGGUGUUUUUAAGUUGAUCUCUUUUUUGGUUUGCUACGCGCUUACCAAACAUAACCGAUGAUUUACUGAGAUUUAUCUCUUGCCCUGAAGCUUUACCAUAAUUCCCAAUAAUAUCCAUCACCGUUUUGCAUUGCUCUGAAUCCGCUUUACAGAAAAAGAGACUAUCAUCCGCAAAAAGGAGAUGUGAAAUUGCUGGGCUUCUUUUCGCUAUCUUAAUUCCUGUCAGCUUCUUCUCCCUUUCCGCCUUUUUAAUAUUUGCAAUCAGUACCUCCGUACAUAAAAUAAACAAAUAAGGCGAUAAGGGAUCACCUUGCCGUAAACCUCUACUGGGAAUGAUAUUUCCUCUUGGUUCCCCAUUCAAUAAAACCUGAUACGAGACCGAACUAACACUCCACAUGAUCCAAGAAACCCAAUUAGAAUUGAAUCCCAACCGUGUCAUAAUUGCCUCUAAAAAGUCCCAUUCUAUCCUAUCAUACGCUUUGCUCAUGUCUGUCUUAAUUGCCAGGAAAUCCGUUCUACACAUUCUAUUAGUCCGUAAGCCAUGAAACAUUUCCUGAGCUAAUAAGAUGUUGUCUGUAAUAAGUCUCCCAGAAACGAAUGCCGAUUGUGUUUCAGAGACUAGCCGAGGUAAAAUGUGUUUAAGCCUCAAGCAAAGAAUUUUUGAAAUUAUUUUGUAACUCACAUUGCAAAGACUUAUUGGCCUAAACUCUGCCAUCUUCUGUGGCCUUUCCGUCUUUGGAAUUAAACAAAUAUUUGUUUCAUUUAUUCUCUUAUCAAAACGUCCAGUUCAGAAAAAAUCUCUGACCAAUCCUACCAAAUCUUCCUUUAAAGAAUGCCAAAACCUUUGAUAAAAUAAUGCUGUCAUACCAUCUGGACCUGGUGUCUUUUCUGGAUGCAUUGAAAAUAAAGCUUUCCUAACUUCUGCUUCGGUAACCUCUUUGGUUAGUUCCCUAUUCAUACUUUCCGUAAUAAUUGGAGACACUUCAUUUACCAUCUCAGCAAUUCCAUUUGUAUUGGAGACCUUAAAAAGUUCUUUAAAAUAAUUAGUUGCUAUCUCCUCCAUCCCUCUUUCUGAUUCCUCCCAAACAUCAUUAGGUCCAUAUAGACCUGAUAUCUUAUUUCUUGCCCUUCUUUUUUUUUGUAGAAGCAUGAAAGUAUUUGGUAUUUUUAUCCCCCACUUUUAACCAAAAAUUUCUGCUCUUUUGUUUCCAAUAAAUUUCUUCCUCAUGAUAAGCUUCCUUUAAUUUACUUUCGAUUCUUUUUAUUUCCUCUUGUGGAAUCGAGUCAUCAUUCUUUGCUUCUUCCAAAGCCCUCUUAAGCGAAUAGAUAUUAGCCUGACCCGUGGGAAUAUUAUUUUUCCUCCACCAUGAAAUGGAAUUUCUACAAUUCUUUAUUUUAUCCACAAAAACAGGAAUUCUAAAAUUUCUUGUUCGAUUCCAACCUGAAUUUAUGGCUUCAGUAAGGCCAUCCUUUCCAACCCAUCUUUUAUCAAAUCGAAAUUGACGUUUUCUUCUAUCCAAAGUUAACAUUUUAUUAUUUUGUUAACACCACCAAUAUUAUAAUAUUAGACAUGUCGAAUCAGAUUGAUUUAAUUAAGAUUCUGGAAUCUCUCAUUUACUAGAAAAUUGUUGAGUCUCUUGCUUUCUUUUCACUAUGUGUCAUAUGUACAUUCAAAUCUUCAUUUAUACGGAUAAUAUAUUCUUCAUCAAUAUAGGUAUCUUCAUGGCUACAAGCUCACCGGACCAAUCCCACAUGAGCUUGGCAAUAUGUCACAACUCACAUAUUUGUAAGAUUAAAACUUGAACUCCAAUAUCUGUUCUAUUCAAAACGUAUGCUUAUCAUUUCACAGGAAACUAAAUGAUAAUGAACUAAGACCAUAAUUAUCGGAAGAUCAUCUUAAUGGUGUGCUUAGAAUAAAAAAAAAAAAAAUAAGACCCAAACCCAAGAACAGGGCCAGGAACAGGUCUUGAGCAAGAACUAAACCCAAGAACUAAACGCACUAGUCCCAUUAUUUCUUAAUUUUAAAUUACUAAGAUCACACCAACUGUUUUGGCGUUGCAUAUGCCCUAAUGGAAACCAUCCCACCUAAGCUUGGGAAGCUAGAACAAUUGUUCUAACUGUGAGUUUUUAUCCUUGAGUAUGCUUUAAUUUAAAUUAUAUAUGAUAAGCUUGUUGAUGUAAUUUUACCAUGUAGGAAUCUCACAAACAACAAUCUUGUAGGACCGAUUCCAUCUAACAUGUUCUAACGCUUCUCUCAGCUACAUCCCAAAUUAGAAACACUCAUUUAAGCCAUGCAUCGUAUGAUAGACCAACAGAAGAUGAUUGUGACAUUUGCAACUAACUGUUCUAACUUACUACUAAUAGAUUGGCCAACUUUUUCUUUAUAUUUGGAGAAAUUCGUAGAGAGUAGUCCGGUUCUCUUUCCAUCCUUGCUUUUGACCAUCGAUGUCUCCGCUUUCUUCCAAAUUCUCUUUGUUCCUCUAAUUAUUCGAGGAAUAAUAUCUUCGUCACUCUCCUUUUGCUGAAGAUGCAUGAACAAAGAUGGAUUCAAGUCUAUAUCAAAUUGGGUGUAACUGGUGGUGAAGCUUCCCCGAUGUUGGCGCUUUCCGAAGAAAUGUUGAAGCAAUUUUCAUUUAAAUUUCGACAGAUUUCGAUGCAACUUUCGAUUGGAUUGGAGAUCGGUAAAAGGGAAGAGGAUAUUUAUCGCUCUAUGGCUGAUUGACGCGUGUGGGUUGAGAAGAACACGACUUUUACAUGUUUAUCUGUUAAUUUUAAUUAUAAUUUUGAUUAGGCCCUUAUAUUUUCGCUUGUAUUUCUUUAGUGGGCCUUCUGUACUUGCAUUUUGGCCUUUAAUUAGAACAAAAAAAACUGUCAAUACUUUUUUUUAAAGAAAGAGAGUAGAUUUACAAACAAUCAAAAGUUCGAAGUCUUGUUUGCAAAUUUCCUGAAAUAGAAAAUAAGUUUAUAUAAUGAUAUAGCCUUUUAAGAGAAGAACGAAUCUACUUCUCAUGGACAGACUCUGAAAGCGUAAAAAUCAAAGAAUGUUUUCUGAUUCUUCGCCGGCCGGAAAAAAUUCUACAAACUCCGGUGAAACCCUUUACUCCGAUUUUCCUUCACUACCCUGAGAAACCAAAAACAAACUUGAUCUGAGAAUCUUCAUCACCACUUUCAGAUCCAUGAAAACGGAUUUGAAAAUCCACAAUCAGUAAAAUCGAAGAUCUAGUUAUGGAUUUCUUAGAGCUAGAAGCGAUCGAAGGAUUAAGAUGGUCAUGGAACUCAUGGCCAACUACAAAAUCCGAUUGCGAAUCUCUCGUUGUUCCAUUAAGUAUCAUGUAUACUCCAUUGAUGCAAUUCUCUGAGCUUCCAACGAUUCCUUAUGAUCCAUUGAUUUGUUCUCGUUGUGGAGCUGUGUUAAACCCUUACGCUCGUGUUGAUUAUCAAUCUCGAAUCUGGUCUUGUCCCUUUUGCUUUCACAAAAACCUUUUCCCUCGUUCUUACUCUGGAAUCACUGAAACUAAUCUCCCGGCGGAGCUUUUUCCGACUUAUAGCGCUGUUGAAUACUCUCCGCCGCUGCCGCGUAAGUCGGGUUCAGCGACGACGACUCCGACUGCUGGUGGGAGUUGGAGUAAUGGGUUUAAUCAAGGGCUUAGAUCAAUGUCUUCGAAUUCGUCAUUUUCGUCUCUUGCUUCUUCUGUUGGAGGUGGUGGUGGUGUGAUUAGUGAGCUUGGACCUGCGUUUGUGUUUGUUGUUGAUGCGUCUAUGGUGGAGGAUGAGUUAAGAGCUGUGAGAAGUGAGCUUUUGUUUGUGAUUGAGCAGUUGCCUGAGAAUUGUUUGGUGGCUUUGAUUACUUUUGAUUCUAUGGUUAGGGUUUAUGAUUUGGGUUUCUCUGAUUGCUCUAAAGUUGUUGUUUUUCAUGGUGAGCGUGAUCUUUCUCCAGACCAGGUAAAAACCCUUGAGAUUUGGAACUCUGCUUAACAUUUCUUGCACAAAUGGUGGGAUUUGAUUUAGUUAGAUUCGAUAGGAGAAUGCAAAUGCUUGAGAAUCAGUUCCUUUGUGUUCAUUUUGAGGAUUGUGUUCUCUCCUUAUGAGUAGUGUUAAAUCAUAUCGUUUGAUGAUUAUAAGUGUGUUGCAUUGUUCAUGUGUUGUUGGUUGAUUGUUGUGGCGAUAGACUUCGCUUCUACGCGUUACUUUAGAGUCGAUCCAGUUGUGAUUUAGCUCUAUGCGUUAAACAAGUACUCUUUCUAGGCUUCGUCAUCUUCGUAUGCUUCAUGUGUCAAUAGAUUGUUCUUCUUAGAUGUAUUGAAUUUGACAAAGUUUCUUUCUUUUUUAAUGGAAAAACAUUCAUCAGAUACAACAAUUUCUGGGACUUGGAUAUUUGAAGCAGCUUCAUCAUGGAAAGAUGUCAGGGAUUCGGAAGCAAAGUUUCUUGCUUCCGUUGGUGGAAUGUGAGUUUAACUUAACAUGUGCGUUUGAAGAAAUUGUUCCCUUGGUUGAUGUCAAACCGGGUCAUCGGCCUCAUAGGUCAACCGGUGCUGCGAUCUCAACAGCAUUGGGACUGCUCGAGGGAUGUUCUGUAACCACGGGUUCUCGGAUUAUGGUUUUCACAUCGGGGCUUACUACAAGAGGCCCUGGGAUCAUUGUGGACUCUGAUUUAAGUAAUUCGAUCAGAACUCACAGAGAUAUUAUCACUGGUCAGGUGUCUUAUUACGAUAAAUCUUGCGGGUUUUACAAGAAACUAGCAAAAAGGCUAUGCGAUACGUCUGCUGCUCUAGAUGUGUUCGCUUGCUCUCUUGACCAAGUUGGAGCAGCGGAAAUGAGAUAUGCAGUGGAAAUGUCUGGUGGAUUUCUCUUACUGGGAGAAACAUUUGAGUCCGAGCAAUUCAAAAAAUGUCUCAGACAUAUAUUCAUCCGCGAUGCAGAUGGGAACCUGAGUAUGUACUUUGAUGUGUCUUUAGAAGUUGUGACGACUAAGGAUAUGAGAAUCUGCGGUGCACUCGGUCCAGUUGUGUCGCUAAGACAGAAGAACGAUAUAGUGAGCGAAACAGAGAUUGGUGAAGGCGGAACAUAUAUGUGGAAAACGAGCACUGUCACGAAUAAGACAUGUGUGUCAUUCUUGUUUCAUGUGAGCAACGAACAGAAUCGAAAACCGCAGCCUGGUUCCGCGUUCUUCAUUCAGUUCAUUACUCGGUAUCGGUAUGGAAAUGGAGGAAUGAGGAAACGGGUUACAACUGUUGCUAGAAGAUGGGUUGCUGGAAAAUCGCCAGAAAUCUCGUCAGGUUUUGAUCAAGAAACAGCUGCUUCAGUUAUGGCGCGGCUUGCAAUUAACCGAGCAGAGGAGUGUUACGCAAGAGACGUUAUUAGGUGGUUAGAUGAUGGUUUAAUCCGCUUUGCUUCACGGUUUGGAGAUUAUAUUCAAGAAGAUCCAUCUUCUUUCAGGUUGACUCCAAACUUCUCCCUUUAUCCUCAGUUCAUGUUCUAUCUACGAAGAUCACAGUUUCUUGACGUCUUCAACAAUUCCCCGGAUGAAACCGGUUUUUUCCGGUUAAUGUUAAACCGGGAAGGAGUGGUAAACUCAAUCAUCAUGAUUCAACCAACGCUUCUCCGGUAUUCAUUCGACGGACCGCCAGUUCCAGUCCUCCUCGAUAUCCGGUCAGUGACUGCAGACGUGAUUUUGCUAUUCGAUUCAUACUUCUACGUGGUUAUCCACCAUGGAUCAAAAAUCGCCCAAUGGAGGAAACUCGAGUAUCAUAAAGACCCGAGCCACGAGACUUUCCGGAACCUUCUGGAAGCACCCGAAAUCGAUGCGGCGCAGUUAGUGACUGAUAGGAUUCCAAUGCCACGGAUUGUACGGUGUGACCAGCACGGUAGUCAAGCUCGGUUUCUUCUUGCCAAGCUCAAUCCUUCGGUAACUCAGAAAACAGAUCAUACCGGUGGUUCAGAUAUUGUUCUCACUGAUGAUUUGAGUCUUCAAGAUUUCCUAGAAGAUUUGCAAUCUCUGGCAGUAAAAGGCUGAGAAAUGUGGCAGCAAACCUGUAAAUUGGUUUGGUUUUGAAUCGGUACUGGUAAUGGUUUUGACUAGUUGGGUUUCACGAACAAUUGAUAUUGGUAUUUUAGUCAUCAUCUACACCUGUUAUUGUUAGGUUUUCUGAAUCUUUUUAGAUUGAAAUGGAAAUUCGAAAUGUAUGAUUUGGUUUGGACCUGAUUUAUUAUACAGAAAUGUUUUGAUCUUUGUGAACACUACUGUAAUUGUUUUAGCGCAAGCUAGCCAUAAAAAUAAGCCUAAAAAUAAUUCUCCAUUACGGUCGUGGUCGCUAGUAACCGGGAAAUAUGAAAAGGGAUCUCAACCGGAAAGUACCGAUAAUUUUAAGUAACCGGUUCGAAGCAUUUUUGGGCCGUUAUAAUGGGCCGAGAACCAUAUCGCGUGUUCGAAACGCGCCGAUGACACAAAAAGCCAAUAAAUUCUCGGGGGAAAAUUGGUGAACUUCAACGGAAACCCCAAAUUCCAGAAUCCCCAAAUCGAGAGGUUAAAGAAACUUCGAUUUUGAUCUUUUCUUGAAGUGAUCGGCAAGAGAUGACGGUGGACGGUGACGGAACUGUUGGAGGUGGAGAUAAUCAACCACCGGUGACUACUGCGGCGGCGACAACAGAGAUGCCUAUCCCGAGGCUGAGUCUUCUUCCUAACAACGACCACAUUUCUGAUAGCUACGAAGAUCUGGAACUGGAAUUUACCUCUUCCGUAUUAAGAUCGAUAGAGAAGUACUUGCGGAUGGAUAAGCUCACAGCGAACAGAGAAGAGAAGGCUAAAUUCAUAUCAGACAUUUUGCGCAAAAAGUGUUCCAAAGUAAUUUCUAAUUUCUCUCUUUUUGAUCCCAAUCUGUGAGAAUUGAAAUCGGAAUUGAUUCUUGUUAGUUUCUUGAAAUUACGAUGAUGAUCUUGUGAAGACAUAGAAUAGUUUCAUGUCUGUAAAAUGUUGCAGGCUAAACAGUACAAGAACUAUAGGGAGAAGAUAAUAUCCAAUUAUCAGGUGAGGAGCUUUUGCUCGUCUCUUAUUUUGUUUUCUUGAUGCAAUUGUUUGAAAUGUUUCCUUUUUCUGCAGCCACGUUUCAGGGAGUUGUAUAAACUUGAUCCCGAAUCGUUUUUGCUUCCUACUUUCCGGAAGGCGAUCAGCGAAAACACAGAGGAAAGCUUCAGACGUAUCAUUUCUGAACCGUUUCCUGGUGUUUUCGUCUUUGAAAUGUUUCAGCCUGACUUCUUUGAGAAAUUGCUAGCUGAGGUAAUAAUAACUUGCCAUUUAUUCUCUGCGGUGCUCUUACCUCUUUGUUUACGUUUUGUUCAUUUGCUACUGUUUGAUUUUAUCAGGUAGAGAAUUUCAGAAAGUGGGCUCAUGAGACAAAGUUGAAGAUCAUGAGACCAAACAAAAUGAGUAAAUUCGGUGUUGUGCUUGACGACUUUGGCCUGCAUAUCAUGCUUAAACAACUCAUGGAGGAUUUUAUCUUUCCUAUUUGCAAAGGCAAGGAUAUAUUUUACUUAAAACCCAUUAGAAAGACUUUUAUUAACUUCACUCUGUUGUUUUGCAGUAUUCUUCCCUAAAGAGUGUGGAGCAAUGUUUGACUCUCAACGUGGAUCUUUUAUUGAAAAUGGUGAAGAUAGGAAUGCUGAAUUAGGUGAGGUUUCUGAUAUUACUUGAGAAAACCAGAGUGAAUUCUUCAAUAGCAAACAUUAAACUGGUUUAGUAUAAGUAGUGAUCUUUUAAAUCUGCAGGCUUACAUGUGGAAGAUUCAGAAAUAACAUUGAAUGUUUGUUUAAGUAAACAAGGUGAGGGAGGGGAAAUAUUUUUCGAAGGCACACGAUGCAAGAAACAUAUGGAUAUAGAUCCAAAGCCAGAGGUAUGUGAGUCCUUUUGAGUACUUUUUUUUUGUCCUGUUACAUUCCUAUAUUCAGUAAAUGGCAAAAUGGUUAAGUAAUAAAGGAACCAAUUAUUUCUCACUGACGCAGGAACGUUUUGAUUACUGUCAUAUACCGGGUCAAGCUAUACUUCACCGUGGCUGCCACGUCCAUGGUGCCAGAGCAGCCACAACAUCUGGUCGUCGGGCCAAUAUGAUUCUUUGGUGCAGAAAGUAAGCAAUCAUGAAGCUUGCCUCAGGAUUUCAGAGCACAACUAAAUCACCUUUUCUUCUGCUUUUCCAUUUGCAGCUCUUUGUUCAGAGAGAUGCAAACUUAUGAGAAGGAAUUCCGAGACUGGUGCGGUCAAUGCGUCCAUGAAAAGAAAGAAAAGGAAAGCCAGUGUCUUGCUGCCAAAAGAAAGGUUAAAAAAAAGAAAAGACAUGAUUUUGGAAAAGUUUAUAUACAGUAAGAUGUUUGGUUUGAGCAUGGUUAUGAACCUGUGGGGGUCCUUAUUGCAGGAGAUGAUUAGGAUAAUAGAGUGAAGCCGAAGCUCGAUGAAAAAACUGAAGUUUAUGCUUUGAAUAUUGACUCUUUACUUGAAAAAGAAAAACUGAGUAUAUGUAGAAUCAUUUGAUGUAAAUAGGUCUUUGCAUCUUCGAUUUUCUUACAUGAAAGUUACCAGUUAUACAUGUUAAAACCAGGAAAUAUAGUAGCACGAGAGUUUAGCAUUUUGGGCACAUACACAACAAUUAUUGGAAACACAACACUUAGAUCGUGGAUAUGCUUGAGUAGGCUGUUUGACUUGCGGUUUUAGAGCCCUUGGUGCAAACAGUAGAACAUGCCAGGACACAUCGUUGUACCGUUCCAUUCACAAUUUCACUUACACGGCUAGUUACCAAAAGAAAAUUAAAAUGGCUUGAGAGGGGUUAAGGCACAACACAUCGAUGAUGCACAACUCAACUUGCAGUAUUCAUUGACAUCAUCACUUUGAAGCAAAAGAGAGAGAGAGAGAAAGAAAUCUUGAUCCAUCUUUUAAUAAAUAACGUAAUUGUUAAAGUUUGACUUAAAAUCAAAGUGUAACAAUUUGGGUGCUCUACUCAAAUGAGCAGAAGAAUCCCAGGAGCUGGAGAAAAGUUAACUAAAAUUGAAAUAGAAAGAAGAGAAUUAACUAAAAGUCAUGGUUCUCUGGACUUGGUAAAUCAAACUCGAGUGAGGGAUACUUCACUUGAGUCGAAUUAUUCUGGAUACCGUUGUUUUGUGGAUGGAUCAUGGAAAGGAAGUGAUAAGUUCUCCGGUACAGGAUGGUUCUGUGCAUCGUCAAAUGGAGAGCCGCCAACCAUGGGAGCUGCGAACCUCCGUAAAAGUCUAUCUCCACUACAUGCCGAAGUCGAGGCCCUUCUCUGGGCGAUGAAGUGUAUGAUUGGUGCAGAUAAUCAAGAGGUAGCGUUCUUUACAGACUGUUCAGACCUGGUGAAGAUGGUGUCUUCUCCAACCGAAUGGCCAGCGUUUUCAGUGUAUUUGGAGGAAUUUCACAGCGACAAGGAGGAGUUUUCAUCUUUUUUUUAUCUUUAAUUUCUCGUAGGGCUAAUGUCAAAGCGGAUAAACUGGCACGAAAAGUUCGUACAGAACCGCUUCAUAUCACAUAUGUAAACAACAUUCCUCAGGAAUGACUCUUUUGAGCUCGAAUUAAUUUUGGAUGACAAAAAAAGAAAAGAAGAGAAUUAAUAAUUAGGGAGGGCUGACGUGGCAGGGAGACUUUAAAGGCGAUCUAGGGUUUUCGUUACGUGAGUCCCAACCGGAUCAGCCACCGGUCUCCUCCAUCCUAUAUGUGGAUGUCGGAUUCACACACUCAAGUAUUUUUAUUAAUAGGGAAGAUUAUUCUUGAGGGACAAAAAAUAAGAAUGUAAAAAUCUUAUGAAUUGCUACAAAAAUUGCUAUAGUAUUUCUUGCUUCGAAAAAAGUUCCUUUUUACAUGGCCAUUGGCCCCUAUAUUUAUACAUAGAAAAACGACAUUUAAAUGGCUAAUUAAAUACAAUUAUUCUCUCUUAAAUGCAUCCGUUUUGAUCUUUGAUUUUAAUGCUCAACGUUCGAAUUUGAGUUGACUCCGAUCUUCAUGGGCCUCGCCUUUUUUGCCCAAACUGUCCUUGGACCGACUUAACUGCAACUUCAUCUCUGGACUCAUGUCGAGGUGUAAUCACUUCGGAUUCUCCUCGUAGUGAUAACCACUUCGGCUGUUUCUCCGACUCACGGAUCUAAUGGGCUUUAUCCUUCGUAGGCCGUUACCUUGAUUACGUGGCAAUCUUUGGUGGGUCCCGGACUACUGGUGCGGGAUCCGACACCAACAAUUAGCCCCCAAAGUUCUUCGAAGUGCCAUUCCAAUUCGGAGGACUUUAAAUGCUUAAAUGACCAAAGAUUACGCUCGAGAAUCUUUCUGAUUUUCCCGCCGAAAAUCUCAUCACUCCUUUAAUUUCGGCACUAGCCAUUUUUAACCGAGUGACAUCUGUCAUCAUUAUGACCGUAUAUUGAUUAAUUACUAUUAAAACGGGAAAAAACCCUCCCACUCCCCACACAACUUCUGAGGCGGUUCCAUCAUUUAGCUUGUGUAAGGUAACUUCUUUUCAUCAUCACUUUUACUUUUACGCUUUAAUCGAAACUCCUCUCUUCUCUUUCCUCGCCGAUUUUCUCUUUGCCAAAACUUGAAUUUUUCAUUCCUCCCAAUGACUUCUGAUUCUGAUAGACCCGAGUCUCCGUCUUUCGAUGAGAGGCGUUCUAGUAAUGAUGAAUGCACCCGCCCUAAUGAUAUUGCUGGUCCGCACUACAGAACCACCUGCACCCUUCAAUCUCUCAAACGAUUGAGGGAGCUCUGCCGAAUUCCACCGGGAAUUAUGGCGGAGGCGCGGAUAGCCGAUCCCACAGAGUCCCCAGAAAGCCACCGCGACGGCUAUUUAUGUGUAUAUGAGAUCUAUUUUAAAGGUUGCGGGCUGACUUUUCCUCUUCCCGAAGCCCUAGUUUGAUACCUAGCGGCUCUUGAAAUCGCUCUUCCUCAAUUAACCCCCAAUCUUCUUCGUAUUAUCCUUGGAAUUAUAACAAUCGCGGCGGAGGCCGGAUACGUUAUCGGAGUCACUGAGCUAAAUGAGCUUCUAAGCGUGAGAAGUUCAUCGAAGAAAACGGGGUAUUUCUCAGCAUAUCCUAACGCCAACAGGAACAUCAUUUUGCAUCUUCCGAACAAGGAUGAAAAUUGGCAUCAUCCUUGGUUUCUGAUUAAGAAAACUCCCGCUUCGAUUGGAAAUCUUGCAGAUUUUCUCCCUUCGAAGUGGUCUGCGAAACCUGGUAUAGAUUAGGUCGCCCAUAUCUUUCCCGGUUGUUUCAUUAUCUUUAUUGACUAAAACCGUUGUUUCAUUUCGCAGCUUUCGUCGCUCCGACUCUCCCGUCUGACGCAUUCGUUGAAUUCUUCAAAAUAAUUCUCGAAGGGGAAACCCUUUGGAAUUCUUUCACUCUUGAACGAUUUUUAGAAGCCAACCACAGGCUCAGGAUGAGCCCCCCAGGUCAACUUCACCAACUUCCGCCUCCUCCCUCAACUCAGGGAAUGUCAUCUCGGGCCCUUGCGGCCAAGCGUAAGGUGCUCUCCAAGCCGAUAGCUGAGGCUUGUGAGGGGAAGAAAGAGUUUCUUGCGGCUUCUAUAGAUAAGAAGGACUAUAGUAGAACCCUGCUGGUUGAUGACGGCAGCUCCGAAGGAGCCAGAUCCGUCGCUUCUUUUAGGUUAACUCCUCGUCGCGAUCGUCGUGACGCACGUUCUCCUCGGAGGGACCGAUCUCCUCGCCGUGAUUCACCUCGUCCUCCCCGAGAUGAUUUUAGCAAUGAACCACUUAAGAAUUUGGUUCGCAGGAAGAGAGACAAGUCUUCUCGUAGUGAUUCUUCCCCGCGAAGGGAGAAGUCAAGGGCCCGGACUGACCGUUCACCUCAAUCAUCCCCUUCUACUAAACCAAUGGGUCCUCCUCGACCGGUUGAUAUGUCUUUCUCUUCCCAGCCUGACAGCGAAAAGACUGUCCGGAGCGCAUCUCCUAAAAAGGGAGAUUCUGAAUCUCGAGAUGCUUCCUCGAGGUCAAAGCCUGUUCUUGUUCCUCAAGUCAACUCUUCCCCCUUCGCAGCUAUGGAGAAAGAAGGCAGCGUCUUCCGAUGCUUCAAGACCCGAUCGGGUUCGAUCUUGCUAGACUUCGACAAGUGGCGCCCUACGAUUCGUGAACGCUAUUUGCUUCAUGCUCAUCAUUCAUCUCGGGUUAGUUCCGCUUUAUUUUUCCAAUUGUGCUGCCGUUUAUCGAAAUACCUCACCAUCUCGAUUUCAUGCAUAAUGGCAGGCUAACGGUGAGCUUAAUGACAUGAUUGAACAUUAUGAGGGGCUGGUCCUUGGUCGGGAAAAGUAGAUCGACGCGUGGAAGAAAAAAAUUUCUGCUCUUGAGGCUGAACUAAGCUCUUCUACCGGCUCCAAGCACGAUCUGGAGGACAAGGUCGACAGUCUAACAUCCGAGCUGGUGAAGAUUAAGGGGGAGCUGCAGAACCAGUAUGACCAAAAUUUCAAACUCCAGGAUGAGCUUUCUGGUGUUCAGGGUAGGCUUCACGAAUCCAAAUCAACCGCCGAUACCCUGAAUAACCAACUCAUUGAGCUUAACGCGAAGUACAAGGCGAUUGCCAAAUUGCAUGAUUCUGAGUUGGCAAAGUCAGCAUCGAAAGCCAGAAAGGAAGUUAAGGGACGCGGGAUGGAGUUGAUCCAAGGGGCCAUCCGCUUCAUGCAGACCGAGAAAGCUAGGUCAGAUUUGGAAUCAGACAUCAAGGAGCACGAGAGCAACCUGAUUCUGUUGGAUCAAAUCCAUGAUACAGAUUUCUCCGUGGAGCAAGAAAGGACCGAACUGUCAGCUAAUCUUUCUGAAUAGCGGAGUCGCUUGGCAGCUCUUCCCACUUCGACCUUCAACCCGCAGGACUUCGAGGAAUUCUUCACUGAAUCGCCUCCUAUAAGUGAAUCGGGUCUAGACUGGGCAGGUAAUGCUUGGCUCCUGACACUUACUACCUUUUCUCACCUUAUGUGUUUUUUUUUUAAAAUUGACUGGAACUGUCCUUCCCAGGCUCAAGUGAGGCGGAGGAUGUCGUCCCACCCGAAGUUCCUGCUGCACCGGAGGUCACUCCGGAGGAUGGUUGUACUGUGGAGGGCGGAUCAGGAGCUCCAUCUGACCAAGCACCAGCCAAGGAGGCGAAUGAAAUUUCGACUGCCGAGCCGGAGUCCGAUGUGGCUGUCACUCCGUAGUGGCUGUGUCCACUUUAAAUUGGGAAUUGUCCCAUUUAUUUUAAAACUUAAUUUCGAACUUGUUUUUGCCUAAGGAGGCCUUAUUAUUUCUUUUGAACAAGAUAUUGGCAUGAGGAGGCUUUUAAACCUUUCUAGGUUUUGACCCCAAGGGGGUUUGGUUAAAAUUAUGUGCGGGUUUGCAAAGUCCGCUUUUAACCCUUUGUGGCCUUGUGGUUAUGCUUUCGAGAUUUUUAGGCUGAUCAGACCUUUCUCUUAAGAAUGCGAGAACUGAGCUCGGCUUAAAGCGAGUUCCCCACUUCGGGUUUAGUCAACUCGUUAAAUUUAUUGGGCUUGGGCCUUAGACACUUUUGUAAUUAAUGCGACGGUUUCUCUUUUCCUUCCUAUUUCUUGAAAGUAGGAAAAGCGGCUCGUCUUUAAUGCAAUAAUUGCCUUUUUUUCGAUUUCCAAAAAUGGUUUAAACCAUUAGGGCACGCAACCAUUAUUGAAUUUUCAUUCCCAAGACAAACCUUAACCCUAUUAUAAAUAGGAGUUUGUUCGCCUUUGAUCUUUCCUCAAGAAACUCCAUAGUUCAUUCGAUAAACACCACAUUAAUGGAAAACGAAAACGUAGCCCCCGUUGAUCCCGGCAGCCCACUUUUCUUGUCCGGCGAUGGCUUGAACCGGCCGGCGUUCUUUUCCCUCAUGCCGUCUUUCAUUUUCCUUCAAAGGAGAAGAAAGAGGCUUGCGAAUUCAUUGACAAGGUUAAUAUCCGUGGUCCUUGAUUAAAAACUUUUUGUUUCGUUUUAUUCAUUCAUCUUUAUGCUAGGUUGCCGACAAACACUGUCACUUGUGUGAGGAAAGGCAGCGCCUAGGUCUUAAAAGGUAAACACUCGAGGCUCGCAUUGCUCGGGUAGAGAGGAAGAUAAGGGCCCUGGAAAGUGAUCCAUUUCAAUGGGAAUGGCAGAACUUCGAUUCUGUUGCUGAGAUCCCGAAGAUGCUUCGGAUGUAUCUCCGUGCUAGAGGAGUUCCGGGUCCUGUGAAUGCUCCGGUCCAUACCGUUCCAUCUGAUAGCGAGGAAGAAGACGAGGAGGAGGCCAGUACCAGUCGGAAACGCGUUCGGGAUUAUUCCGAGGUGGACGCCAAGAACAAGGCGUCCACUUCGAAAACUAAAACGGCGAUGAAGGAGCCUGUUCCUGAGCCUCUUCCAUAAAUGUUCUCUAACCUCUCCACUUACUUUGAACUCAUAAUGGGCUUCGGCCCUUUUUUAUUUAUGGAAACAUUUGCAACUUUCCUUUCUCUUCAAAUAUUCUCGGAGAUGCGUCUUUUAAUGCAGGAUUGGUUUAAGGACAUAAAUCUCGCCGCGAAUCACUCCAUUUCCGGGCUGAAUCUACUGCUUGCUAGGGAUAUGAAGUCCCUAUAAAUUACAGCUUCAACUUCCCUUUACUUCUCACUAUUCUUCUUACUUCUGCAGAUAUGGAUCUUAACCUUCGAUGUUCAGAGUCUAUGUCGGACUUCUCUAGGAUUGGAAUGAUGGAUGAAGAUGUUCCAGAUGUUCCAAGUAGACGAUCUUCUCCACUUCGCGGCUUUUUCAGAUCUCGGAUCCGAGCUCCAUGCGCUUUGAUCAAGAACCUUCCAGAUAGGCACCGGGAGAUUGCGAUGGCCUUUAACAAAGCGCUCGCAAUUCAACACAGGAAGCUAUCGCUGGAAAAGAAAAAACUUCGGAAGAAGAUUCAUCGAAUGCAGCGCAGGGUCACUGCGAUAUCAAGGGAUCUUCACAUCCUUAGUUCUCACCCCGGAGAGUGGAUUGAGCUCGAAAUCUCCGAAUUUGCUCGUAUCCCGGAUUGUAUGAUGCUAGUUCUUGAUCUUGCUGGUCAAGGAGUUCAAGUGUUCUGCUCUCCGGGAGGGUUUUCCUAACUCGAAGUGUGCGAAGAUCGACACUUUGUCUUGUUCGUUUGAAUAAAUGUUUUGCUUCCAAUCUCUUGUAUGUUCGCAUAGCCGAACCUUUACUUUUAAUAAAGAAAUAAAAUAAAAUUUUAUUAAUAGCUGAACUCGUUUCCGAGCUGCCUACGUACCCAUUUCGGGAUCAAGCCACACCGUAGUUCAUGUACAUAUAAAAUGCGUGUAGCUUUAAACAUAAAGUUUCUUUAGGUUGAUCACAUUCCAAGGUCGCUUGACUGGCAUGUCUUCUAAGUCUUUCAGCCUAUAAACACCGUUUCGAACCACUUCGGUAACAAUGUAAGGUCCUUCCCAAUUAAUACCAAGUUUACCGGCGCCUUCUUCUUUUCUAUUGUCAAAAAUGCGCCUUAACACAUAAUCUCCCACGAAGAACGGCCUACUUUUGACUUUAGAGUUGUAAUACCGGGCUGCUGCCUGCUGGUAAUUCUGUAUCCGAAUCAAAGCUUGAUCACACCUUUCAUUUAUGGUAUCUAGUGAAUCAUUAAGCAUUGCUGAAUUUUCUUCCUCAUUUAAUGGUGCUUCUAUUCGGCGAAUUCUGGGCACGUUGAGUUCAGCUGGUACUACUGCCUCCAUGCCAUAAACCAAAGAGAAUGGCGUUUCUCCGGUAGGUCGCCUAGGAGUUGUACGAUAGGCCCAUAGGACGGGUUGGAGUUCUUCAUACCAUCCUCCCUUUAGAUGAUUCAGACGUUUCUUGAGAUUGCUUAGUAUCAUCUUGUUCGUGGCUUCGGCUUGACCGUUUCCUUGCGGAUAUCGUGGAGUAGAGUAACUGACUUUGAUUCCCGAGUCCGCACAAAAGGCAUCAAACUCUUGUGAAAUGAAUUGUGGCCCGUUAUCAGUGACUAUUUCGUACAUGACUCCAUGUCGACAUAUAAUGUUUUUCCAAAUGAAAGUCUUCACCACCGAAUCCUUGAUACCAACAUAUGCCUCAGCUUCAAUCCACUUCGAAAAGUAGUCCGUCAAGACCAAAAGGUAUUGUACACCUCGAGUUGACCUGUGCAAUGGUCCAAUGAUGUCCAUUGACCACCUCAUAAACGGGUAUGGGGCGGAGAUGGAAGAGAAUAAUUCCGAAGGUUGAUGGAUCAAUGGCGCAUGGAGUUGGCAGCGCUUACAUUUUUGGGCGAAUUUAACACAAUCCGUGAUCAUAGUGGGCCAGUAGUAUCCCAUUCUUUUAACUUUAAAAGCCAUAGCUCUUCCUGAUGAAUGACUCACACAUAAACCUUCAUGUACUUCGCUCAUGACGAUUUCGACUUCGGGCCCAAAAAUGCAUAAUAGGUAAGGGUCACUGACACCCCGUCUAUAUAAUGCAUCCUUUGAUAGACAAAAUUUCGCGCUAACGAUUUUCAUUUUUCUGGCCUGCCACUUAUUCUUUGGGAGCUCGCCUGUCAUGAUGUAGCGCUUUAUUGGCUCCCUCCAGUCAGCCCCCCCAGUCUUUAGCCGGAAUUUGGUCGACCUUGUUAAAUACUCGCGGCUCUGGUUUGGGAUGCUCAUUUGGUUCUAGAAUAUCCUCCUCGAUUAAUGGCUCGGGCUCUAAUAUUGUUUCUGGAAUCGCAUCUCCUGCUAAGAAAACGGGUUCCUUGUUAGAUGUGUUUGAUCCCUUUGAUUUCCUCCGCUUGUUGGGUGGCGGUUCGAUCUCUGGUUCGCCACGGUCACGUGCCGCUGCUCGAGACCUUGUAACGACGAGGGUUUCUUUGUUGUCUUGAAUGCUUCGCUCCGAAAUGCAUUCCACUGGAAUAACUCUUUUUAACUCAGGAUCUGAUGUUGACGCCAAUGCGGCAAGUGCGUCCGCAGUUGUAUUCUCCCCCCGAGAUAUGCGAAUUAAUUUGAAUUUCGAGAAAUUUUUAGAUAGAUCCUUCACCACUUCGAGGUACGCUUCCAUUCUUGAGUCCUUGGCCUCAUAAUCUCCAUUAAACUGGUUAACUACUAAUUGCGAAUCACAAUAAGCCACUAUUUCCUUAGCUCCAACUCCUUGUGCCAAUCGAAGUCCGGCAAUCAGGGCUUCGUAUUCCGCCUCGUUGUUGGAGGCAUUGAAUAACAAUCGGAAUGACUGUUCUAGAAUUUCUGAUGUUGGAGACUCCAACUUGAUUCCCACUCCGGAUCCUUGUUUUGUUGAAGACCCAUCUACAUGUAAUUUCCAAGUUUGGUUCUCCGGUUGCUCUAUCGUUCCAGGUAUUGGUAGCUCGGUCAGGAAGUCUGCUAAAACCUGAGCCUUCAUACUGAUCCGGCUUUUGUAUUCUAUAUCGUACUCGCUUAAUUUCACCGCCCAUUUCGCCAAACGUCCGGACUGACUUGGACUAUGAAGUAUUGCUCGGAGUGGCUGGUUGGUUAAUACUUCAACCGGAUGGGAUUGAAAAUAUGGGCGCAACUUCCAAGCCGAAGUCACCACCGCGAGUGCGAGUUUUUCCAUCAUUGUGUAUCUGGUUUCUGGAUCUGUCAUUGACUUACUUACGUAAUAAAUUGGUUUCUGUUCCCCGAGGUCUUCCCGAACCAAGACUCCACUAACCGCAUGGUUUGAAACCGACACGUACAAAUAAAGUUUUUCAUCCACUUCUGGUUUGGAGAGUAUAGGUGGAGUGGUUAAGUAUACCUUAAGCUGCCCAAAAGCUUCUUCACACUUCUCGUCCCAAUGGAAUCCUUUGUUUCCUUUUAGAAUUUGGUAGAAAGGUAACGACUUAUCUGUUGAUCUCGAGAUAAAACGAUUCAAAGCCGCGAUCCGCCCAGUCAACCGUUGUACUUCUUUGAAGUUUCUUGGAGAUGGCAUGUUUAGAAAAGCGUUAAUUUCAUUUGGAUUGGCUUCAAUCCCUCUUUCUGUCACAAUAUAGCCAAGAAAUUCUCCGGAUGGGACUCCGAAUGUGCACUUUGCCGGGUUCAGCUUCAUUUGAUAUUUAUUGAGAAUAUCAAAACAUUCCUCUAAAUGCUUAACGUGAUCUUCUUUUCUUAACGAUUUAACCAACAUAUCAUCUAUUUAGACUUCCAUUGUCUUCCCGAGAUGAUUGUGGAACAUUUUGUUAACCAACCGUUGAUAAGUUGCUCCUGCAUUUUUCAAACCAAAAGGCAUUACCUUGUAACAAUAGAUACCUCUAUCAGUGAUAAAUGACGUUUUUUCUUGGUCUUCGGGGUUCAUCAUUAUUUGAUUAUAACCCGAGAAGGCGUCCAUGAAUGUUAACAGCUCGUUCCCAGUGGUGGACUCUACAAGUCGAUCUAUAUGUAGGAGCGGGAAACUGUCUUUGGGACAUGCUUUAUUUAGGUCUGUGAAGUCGAUGCAAACCCUAUCUUUCCCAUUCUUCUUCUUGACAACGACAGUGUUUGCUACCCACUCUGGGUAUUGCACUUCUCUUAUGGACCCUAUCUUCAAAAGUUUAUCCACUUCGUCAUUUACUAUUUUUGCUCGCUCUACUCCAAGCUUUCUUCUUUUUUGUUUCACCGGUUUGAAGCUCGGAUCCACGUUUAGUUCAUGACAAAUUAUACUUGGAUUUAUGCCAGGCAUGUCCGCCGCUGACCACGCAAACGAUGUUUUGUUUUUCCUCAAGAGUUCGAUCAAAGCUUAUUUUAUUUGGCCAGUCAAAGUUGCUCCAAUUCGAAUUUUCCAGUCCGGUUUGUCUUCUUCCAACACCACUUCGAUUACUACAUCAUCUUUUUUCUGUCCGCUAGGAAAUUUUCAUCUUAGUCCCUCUUUUGCGGGCUUCGUUAAUUGCUAUUGAAUCUUCAUACAGUGGCUAGCUAGAUAACACGUCCGUGAAGCUUCUUGAUCUCCCCGAAUUGUUUCCACUCCUCUUGAUGUUGGAAAUUUGAUACAUUGAUGAUAUGUAGAGGGGACUGCUUUCAUUUGAUAAAUUCAGGGAGUUCCGAGGAUGAUGUUGUAAGCCGCGGGUUUAUCGAAGACAACAAAAUCCACGAUCUUUGACACCCGUUUGGCAAGGACUGGUAGCUUGAUGGUUCCGAGGGACAUGGCUGAUUCACUUGUGAAUGCCACUAACGGAGAUGGAGGCCCUAUUAUGUCUGCCUGACUAAUUCCCAUUCUUUCUAAUGUACUUAAAAAGAUUAGAUCGACCGAACUGCCUGUAUCUAUAAGGAUCCUUGAUACUUCGAAGUUGGCAACGUCAAGGGUAAUGACUAGAGCAUCAUCAUGAGGUCUUUUGAGGUGCCGCGUUUCUUCUUCAUUAAAUGAUAUUGAUGCACCUUGAAAAUCGACUUCUUCGCUCAAGCUUGCCUUGAGUAGGACAUUUCGUCUAUGUUUCUUGAUAGAGCUUAUCGAAUCUCGACAAAAUUUGGAACCUCCUAGAAUAACAUUGAUCUUACCCUUAGAAUUCCUUGGUUCUUCCUCGUUGGUUAACCUUGGUCUUUUGGAAUUUUGAUCUUCGGAAUUUUUCUUUGCUUCGUGGUAUUCCUUCACAAAAUCUUUUAUAUCGAAUUUGGAAAGAUAUCCACUGGCCCAAAGCUCUGCGAGGUGCCUUUUAAGAACGCUACAAUCCUUGGUUAAAUGUCCGGUCACUUUAUGAAUGUCGCAAUAUAAACUUUCAUCACGGACCCAAGUGUUUGAUCUUCAUUUCCCUUGGAAUUGCUUUCCGACGGUACUGUUGAAGGGUUGCGACCCAAAUUUCUUUGGUCCUUUAUUCUCCUUGGGUUCGAACUUCUUGGUAGGGACGGUGAUUGCCGGCUUUCCUUGCUUAUUUCUUUUGGCAAAAUUUUCUUUUUCGUCCUCUACCUCCAUCCAGUUGUUUGCGCGGAAGAGUGCAUCCUGAAUUGUGUCUGGUUUAUGAAGUAUUAAAUCUUCUUUAAAUCUUGAAUCAUGUCGCAAUCCUUUUCGUAAGGCAGAUAAAGCUGAUUGUUGUGAGAUUCUUGGGAGCUUUGAUAGCACUCCUUUGAACUUGGUGAUGAAAAAUCGAAGUGAUUCAUUUGAUCCUUGUGAUAGGUUCCAAAGAUCGGCAUCCAAAACGCUUUUAUCCAUAAGGAUGGAAUAUUGCUUUAAGAAUACAGCUGAUAGCUCGUCGAAAUUGCUGAUCGAACCCGGCUCUAAUUGGGUGAACCACAUUAAAGAUUGGCCGCAUAGAUUUUCCGAAAAAAAGCUUGUAGUAACCUGCGUCCUCAUCAGCUUCAUCCAAUUCGACUCUUCCGGCAGCUAUCAGGAAAGCUGCGAGAUAGCUCUUUGGGUCCUCCAAUCCGCUGUAAGGGUCCAACUUGAGUUUCCGGGAAUCUUUGAUUCUUAAACUCGCAAUUCGCGAGAUGAAAGGUGUUCGCCUAGCUUCUUCAAUGACUCGAUUGAUGUCUGGCUCCGAACUUGUAGCUUGAUGGAACUUUGACUUCAUUUCUUUUAGUUCCUGGCUAACCUUCCUCAUAGUCUCGAACUGGUCGAGGUUUUCCUGCUCAUAUUGAUCUGCAAGUUGAGCUUCAUCUUCGAGCUGUGCCUCUCCAUCCAAUGGCUGAACUACAUUAUUAGUAGCACCAGGAGUUGUUUGUCCGCUGGUUUCAUUUCGCGCAACGGAACUUGGCGAGUUGAAUAUCCUCCUUCGGAUUCCCACAGGAUUUCCUGCACUUAAAGAGCGAACACGAGUUUGUAUAGUAUUGACGUUUUGACUAAGAGAUACCUGGGAUGUUUGCAACGUAUCGACGGCCUUUUCCACAUCCGAGAACUUUUGUGAUAUGUCCGACAUGGUUUGCUGCAUAGCUUUGAGGGUUUCGGCCAAUGAUGUCUCAACGGCGUCUCCUCCGGACAUUGCUGCUUAUCUCGGAAGUGUAGUAAAAAAAAAAUCUGACCACUCAAGAACUCUCUCUCCCCACAGACGGCGCCAAAAUGUGGAUGUCGGAUUCACACACUCAAGUAUUUUUAUUAAUAGGGAAGAUUAUUCUUGAGGGACAAAAAAUAAGAAUGUAAAAAGCUUAUGAAUUGCUACAAAAAUUGUUAUAGUAUUUCUUGCUUCGAAAAAAGUCCCCUUUUACAUGGCCAUUGGCCCCUAUAUUUAUACAUAGAAAAACGACAUUUAAAUGGCUAAUUAAAUACAAUUAUUCUCUCUUAAAUGCGUCUGUUUUGAUCUUUGAUUUUAAUUCUCAACGUUCGAAUUUGAGUUGACUCCGAUCUUCAUGGGCCUCGCCUUUUUGGCCCAAAAUGUCCUUGGACCGACUUAACUGCGACUUCAUCUCUGGACUCAUGUCGAGGUGUAAUCACUUCGGAUUCUCCUCGUAGUGAUAACCACUUCGGCUGUUUCUCCGACUCACGGAUCUAAUGGGCUUUAUCCUUCGUAGGCCGUUACCUUGAUUACGUGGCAAUCUUUGGUUGGUCCCGGACUACUGGUGCGGGAUCCGACACCAACACUAUAGCCGCCGAUAGUGAUGGAGAACUCGCAAUCUAGUUUAGAAGCCUCUCCUGAGGCGAUCCGUAAACCAUCGUACUCAUCAAUCAUUCAGAACAGACCAACACAUUCGAAACAUGAUAUCAGUGUAAACAUGGAGAAUGGAGAUCCGUUUCUCCAAGUUCCAAAUGAAAUCUUCGAAGAUUCAACUCCGUUGUGGGACGACUUACUCAUAGGACGUUUCCCGCAAACUGCUCCGCAUGUUGCUAAAGUUCAUGUCAUUGUGAACAAAAUUUGGCCUCUCGGGGACAAAACUGUGAAGAUAGAGGCUUAUGCAAUGGAUUCAAAAACAAUCAAGUUUCGUAUCAGAGAUAGUUCAAUACGAGCUAGGGUUCUUCGUCGAGGAAUGUGGAACAUAGCCGACAUGCCAAUGAUUGUAUCAAAGUGGACUCCGGUGAUCGAGGAUGCUCAACCUGAAAUCAGAGUAAUGCCCAUGUGGAUAACGAUCAAAAACAUUCCACACUCAAUGUUUACUUGGAAGGGCCUGAGUUUCCUUGCAAGCCCAGUGGGGGAACCAAAGAGACUACAUCCUGAUACAGUUCUCUGCAACAGUUUUGAAGAAGCCAAAAUAUUUGUAGAGGCUGACUUAACAAAGAAUCUGCCAAAACAGUUCCGUUUCAAGUCUGAUACCGGUGUUGAUGCAAUGGUUGAGUACAAGUUUACUUGGCUACCGCCAAGAUGCUCCUCAUGCUCUAAAUGGGGACAUUUGCAAGAUGUUUGUUUAGCAAGAAACUUGUCAAACCAACAUUCUAAGGAGGUGGAGAAGGAAGCCGGAGACACUACAGAGCUUACUCAGCAAUCCAACCAACAAAAAGAAGUUUCAUCAGAGAUUCCUUUGGUGAUAAAUCUACUGCCAAAAGAGAAGGCUGCAACAGUAGCUCGGAAUAUUUCAGCACAGGACCCGGUCUCCAUACCAAACAAGGUAAAAGAUAUUUUGGAUACUAUAGCGGAAAAGAUGCAAGAUGAGGACACUUGGCACUCAGUCUCACCUGCUAAGGUAGGAAGACAGAGGAGUCCUAGAAAUCAAGAGAUUUAGGAUCAUGUUUCUCAUUCUCGAUUUAAUGUUCUUGCGGUGGAUGAUGAUAUAACUGUAACAGAGGCUCGAGAAGAGGGUGAGAUUAUUGGUCAGCAACAAUCAUAUGAGAAUUCAGACGCAUUGGAUUUGGUUGGGACUCAGGGGACUCGUCCUUCUAUCCCACGUGCAUCCAAGGCAAUGCAUAAAGUCGUUAAAGGCUCUGCUAAUCAGAACACAAGGGGAAACCCAAGUGCUUCGAGUAACAGAGUUACCAAAAAGAAAUAAUCAGAUGUCGGGUUUCUUUUGGAAUGUCCGUGGUCUAAAUAAAUCUUCAAAACAUUCCAUUAUUCGUAAUUGGGUAAAUCAAAGUUCUAUGCAGUUUGGUUGUCUUCUGGAGACUCAAGUCAAAGAGAGAAGAUCACCUCGUAUAAUCUCGUCUAUUUUCAACUGUUGGUCAUCAUUUUCUAAUUAUGAAUCGCAUCGGUUAGGCUGCAUUUGGGUAGUAUGGAGGGAUAAUGUACGGCUAACCCCUGUUUUCAAGAGUAGUCAAAUGAUAACCUAUUCAAUUUUGUUGGAAGGUAAGGAGGAAGAAUUUUUCUGCUCCUUUAUAUAUAUGCUUCUAAUUUUGUGGAGGAAAGGAAACUCUUGUGGGAAGACAUCAUAUGUCAUCAUGAUUCGCCAUUGUUUCGUAACAAACCAUGGAUGCUUUGUGGUGAUUUUAAUGAAAUUCUUGAAGGUGGAGAACACUCAAAUUAUGACAACUCCCUACUCAUUCCCCUCGGGAUGAGAGAUUUCCAAGAGACUGUAAGACAUUGUUCUUUUACUGAUCUUGGUUAUCAUGGACCUUGCUUCACAUGGUGUAACAAACGCGAGGAAGGAAUGGUUUGUAAAAAGCUUGAUAGAUUUCUGGUGAAUGAUUCUUGGUGCACGGCUUAUCCACAUUCUUAUAGUGUCUUUGAGGCUGGUGGUUGUUCAGAUCAUGCUAGGGGAAGAAUAAUGCUAGAGGAUGUAGCAGUGGGAGGCCGAACACCAUUUAAAUUCGUAAACGUUCUGACAAAGAUGUCUCAGUUUCAGCCGGUUGUGGAGAGCCAUUGGACUGAUUAUGCUCCUUUGUUCAUCUCUACCUCUGAUUUGUAUCGUUUUUCAAAGAAACUCAAGAAUUUAAAACCGCAUCUGAGAGCUCUGGGGAAGGAGAAACUAGGGGAUUUACCAAGACGGACGCGUGAGGCACAUGAGUUACUUUGUGAAAAGCAAAAUAACACAUUAGCAAAUGUGUCACAACAAGUAAUAGCGGAAGAAUUAAAGGCAUAUACAGAGUGGCACUAUCUAGCUGAAUUGGAGGAAGGAUAUAUGAAACAAAAAUCAAACUGGCUGAAUGUUGGUGACAGAAAAAAUUCCUAUUUCCAUUAAGCUGCGCAGAUUCGUAAAAUGCAGAAUUCAAUAAGAGAGAUAAGGGGUCCAAACAAUGAGCUGUUGCAGACAAGUGAAGAGAUAAAAGGCGAGGCAGAGAGGUUUUUCAAUGAAUUCCUUAACCGCAAGCCAAAUAAUUUUCAGGGAAUGUCUGUUGAAGAUUUGAGAGGUCUAAUGUCGUUUCGGUGUUCAGAAUCUGAUCAAGAAAUGCUCACGAAAGAGGUAUCUACAGAGGAAAUUCAAAAGGUUUUAUUUGCGAUGCCAAAUAACAAGUCACCAGGACCCGAUGGUUACACAAGUGAAUUCUACAAAGCGACAUGGCCAAUAAUCGGUAGAGAUUUUGUAGCUGCUAUUUAAUCAUUCUUCGUCACAGGUUUCCUACCUAAAGGGCUAAAUACAACAAUUCUAGCACUUAUCCCGAAAAAAGAAGAAGCUACUGAGAUGAAGGACUACCGGCCUAUAUCAUGUUGUAACGUGCUAUACAAGGUAAUCUCUAAGAUCAUAGCUAAUCGUCUUAAAAUGCUACUGCCAAGAUUUAUUCUCCAAAACCAGUUUGCUUUUAUUAAAGAAAGGCUCUUGAUGGAGAAUGUACUACUAGCCACAGAAAUAGUCAAAGAUUAUCACAAGGAAUCGGUAUCUCCUAGAUGUUCUAUGAAGAUAGACAUCUCCAAAGCUUUUGACUCUGUGCAAUGGCAGUUCUUAUUGAACACUCUUGAAGCUCUGAAUUUUCCGGAACAGUUCAAGCAUUGGAUAAAGCUAUGCAUUUCCACAGCCACAUUCUCAGUCCAAGUCAAUGGAGAACUUGCGGGAUUUUUUAAUAGCUCGAGAGGGUUGAGACAGGGUUGUGCUCUCUCACCGUAUUUAUUUGUGAUCUGUAUGAAUGUGUUAUCACACAUGAUUGAUGAAGCAGCAAUCCGCAUAAGCAUUGGUUUUCAUCCUAAAUGCAAAAACAUUAGCCUAACUCAUCUAUGCUUCGCCGAUGACUUGAUGGUGUUUGUUGAUGGUCAGAAGCGAUCGAUUGAAGGGAUCAUAAACAUAUUCCACGAGUUUGCAGGUAAAUCUGGGCUGCAAAUAAGCUUAGAGAAAUCAACCAUCUAUCUUGCAGGCGUCUCUGCUCCGGAAAAAGAACAAAUCCUCUCUAGCUUCCCUUUCGCAGCUGGUGAGCUUCCUGUUCGUUAUUUGGGCCUUCCAUUAUUAACGAAAAGGAUGACCACUGUAGAUUAUUCUCCUCUCAUAGAAAUGGUGAGAUCAAAGAUAAGUUUAUGGACAGCUCGUUCCCUCUCUUAUGCUGGAAGGCUCGCACUUAUUAAUUCAGUAAUUGUCAGCAUAUCGAAUUUUUGGAUGUCAGCCUAUCGUCUACCAGUGAGCUGCAUAAAAGAAAUCGAGAAGCUAUGCUCUGCUUUCCUGUGGUCUGGACCUGACCUCAACCCCAAGAAGGCAAAGAUAGCAUGGUCUUCAAUCUGUCAACCGAAGCAAGAAGGUGGUUUGGGUAUCAAAUCUCUCCUGGAAACAAAUAAAGUCAGUUGCUUGAAGCUGAUUUGGAGGAUCAUUUCUCGACAGUCAUCACUGUGGGUUACUUGGAUCUGGACAUACUUAAUAAGGAAGGGAUCGUUCUGGUCUGCGAAUGAAAAAUCUAGCUUGGGAUCAUGGAUGUGGAAGAAAUUGCUGAAGUAUAGAGAAGUGGCUAAAACAAUGCAUAGGAUUAAUGUUAAAAGUGGCAGCUCCACAUCCUUUUGGUAUGAUUACUGGUCACAACUUGGAAGGUUUUUUGAUGAAACAAAUAAUCGUCGGGUCAUAGACUUGGGGAUUCCGUUGGAGGCAACUCUGGAAACUGUUUUGAAAACUCACCGAAGCCGUUGACACCGAGCUGAGAUUUUCAACAAAAUUGAGGCAGAAAUUCAGACUUUGCGACAAAAAGAUAGUGACAAUGGUAAGGAUGUCUCUUUAUAGAAGUUCUCAGGGGACAAGUUCAGACAACAGUUCACAACAAAACAGACUUGGCAUAACAUCCUUGAGCAUCAUCCACAAAGGGACUGGUAUAAGGGCAUUUGGUUCUCCCAUCACACACCCAAAUACUCGUUCCUCUCGUGGCUAGCUAUCCAAAACAGGUUAUCCACCGGAGACCGUAUCAAAACAUGGAACUCUGGCCAACCGGUCGCCUGCAUCCUUUGCAGACAUGUUGAGGAGUCCAGGAAUCAUCUAUUCUUCUCCUGCAAAUACGCUUCUGAAAUUUGGAGCAACCUCACGCGUCGGCUCUUGUCUCAUGCCUUUUCAACCGAUUGGAACCAUGUCAUAAAUCUGCUCUGCAGCUCAACUAUGACCAAGGACCUUCUCUUCCUGUUCCGGUAUAUCUUCCAAGCUACUCUUUACCAUAUCUGGCGAGAGAGAAACGCAAGAAGACACGGAGACAGGGCCGGCCCAUGGGUAAAGCCCAUGAAGCAAGGGCUUUAGGCAUCAAAUAAUUAUAAGUAGUUUUAGGGGCAUCAAUUUUUAAAAUGUUACUGUGGACUAGUGGUUAGAUUGAAGUUUUUUGUUGUACAGGUAAUGGUUUCGAAUCCCAUACAUGUUAAAACUUGUAUUUUUUUUUUAUAACAGCUUUUGCUAAUGGGCCAAAUUUUUUUUUGCUUUAGGCACUCAAAUAGUUUGGGCCGGCCCUGCACGGAGAAAUCAGUUCACCAACGGCUCGACUCAUCAAGUUAAUCGACAAGAAUGUGCGGAACAGAAUUAGCUCAAUUCGAGAUUCAGGGGACCAUAAAUAUGACGACUGCCUCAUGUUAUGGUUGUCUACACGAUCUCCUCUUUGAGCAAGUUUCUUUUCCUGCCUUUUACUCUCAAAGUUCCCCUCUGUUUUCUUCUAGAACUAUCAACAAACUGAUGCAUCUAUUGUAAAAAGAUUUUUGGUUGAAUAAAUUUUACAUUCAAUUCAAAAAAAAAAGUUAACUAAAAAUUACAUUGAUACGUAACCAGAUCAUGUUCACAAUCUUUUUCCACCAUUCGGGUUGACUCAUGAAAACCGGUUUAGUAAUCCUUAAUUGCUCUAUUGAGGGAGGCUUCACCGGUUUGUUGCCUCAUUAUUAUUUCAAUACGAAACAGUGUCAGCCUUUUUUGAAAUGUAUGAUUUGGUUUAUUAUAUGGAAUCAAUAUUGUGAACCAAUUCAUUUGUGCAAUUCCGACCAAACCGGUUAGUUUUUUUAUCAACGAAUCCGAUUUACACAGAGAAGAAUCCAGAAAAAAAAAAAACCUAAUAAAUCCACAAAUUUCAGAUGAACCUACUACACAAACUAAAAGCUCAUAGUCAAUUAAUCACCACGAGCGCCGCCAUUAUCAGUAACACCAUCUACAUUAGAACUGAUUCAUGAGAGGUUAAGAAAGCCCAAAGCCCAUAUUAUAAAGCCCAUUAAAUUGAGUAUCACAAAUUCGUUUUCUAGAAUCGAAGUCGGUAGUGUGAAAGAAAAAAAAAACAAAAAGAAUCGAAGUGGUCAAUUAUCUAAUAACCUGAGUGUAGUAAAAAGAUAAUAUCUCUUAUCAAAAUAUAAAAGUAAUCAAAGUUGGUCAAUUUGUUUUAGUCAAGUCGUUCACACGAUGAAAUCUACCCAAGAGUUAUGGACACGUCAAAAGAAAAUCAGAGACUAACUUACAAUAAUAGACGAAUAAUAAACUAAUGCCAAACACACACUAAUGCCACACAUGAUCAGCUUACAAUAAUAGACGAAUAAUUAACUAAUGCCACACAUGAUAAACUUACAAUUAUAGACGAAUAAUUUCUUUUUGAUAACUAGUUAUGAGUGGGGACUCAGUAUAUACAUCUCUUUAAGCUCGGACUAAUCUUUAACAAUUUACUCGGUACCAGUUGUCAUUCGAUUUUGUGAUUUCUUAAAUUAGUUUAGGAUACAUUCUAGUCAACUAAUCGACCUUUGGUUGAUAAACUUAUUUAUUACACCAUAAAAAUGUGUUUUCGAUCGUAUGUUGUUAAAAACUCAUUUUCAUACCAAGUUUUUAAAACUUUUGAUUUCCCUAGAAUUUAGGAAAACAUUUUGGGGAAUCUCCAAGCUAUAUAUAAUCUCCCAUUCAAAAAUUUAGAUUUUUAAUUCUCUUAUACUUUAAGGAAACUAUAGGUUAUAUUUUAUCUACAUUAUUUUUCUAAAAACAGAAAUCCAAUUUUUUGUUUUUAAGACAAAAAUAUAAUAGCAAAAUCUAAGACUAAAAUCUAAAAUCCAACUAAAAACCAAAUCCGAAAAUUGAAUUAGAAAGCAGCAUCCAUUCAUGGCCUGAACAGAGAAAAACAUGUCAUGAUCGAUUAGUUAUUGUUCCAAACGGAAUUAUUGUUCACCAAUAAACCAUUUUUCGAGUUCAAAUUUGACGAUUCCAAAGUUUAUUUAGGCAAAGUUAAUUAGUGGAAACUUUUAUAUGAAAAAAAAAUAAUUAGAGGCUUUAGUUAGAAAAAUAUUUCAAUUUAGAGAUUUGAUAUAAAAACCAAAAAAGAUUGGAGGUUUUAGUUAGAAUAAUGUUUAAACUUAGAUAUUUUUGUCUGGGAUUCUCCCUAUUAUUAAGUUGGGCAAUUGACAAAAAUAGCACCAAAAAAAGUUUUUUUUUCCAAAAUUAGCACAACAUUUCUAAAAUUUCACAAAUAGCACCAUAAACUUCAAUUAAACUUAAUUAAAAUAUAAAAUAAAAAAUAAAAAUGAGAGCAAACACUAAACUAAUAUUAAAUUGAAUCAAAAUUUCUUUUAAAUAGUGGAAAUAUAUACCUUAAAUUAGAAAUAUGGAACUCAAAUAUUACACCACAAACUAAUAUUAAAUAAAAAUCUAUUUUAAAUGGUGGAAAUAUAUACCCUAAAUUGGAAAUAGGGAACCCAAAUAUAAUACCAUAAACUAAUAUUAAAAUGAAUCAAAAUCUCUUUUAAAUGAUAGAAAUAUAUAUUCUAAAUUGGAAAUAGAGAACCCAAAUAUAAUAUUUUAAAUUUAUUUCUAAUUUAUUUUGGUUGAAUAGUUUUGAUAUAAAAAUUAUGGUUAUAUUGAAAAAAUAAACUAGUGAUAAUACUUUUACAACAAAAACUUAGUAGUAAGUCAACUAGUGCUAUUUAUCUAUUAAGUUUUAAUGUUUUAUAAACUUGUUAACCACAUAAUAGACUUUUGGAACAAAAAAAGGGAGAAAUAAUAGUUAUAGCUUUUACACGUCACAUUUUAUUAUUCUUGGUGCAACAUUACGCGUCACAUAAUGUUUACUUUUGUGUUGCCAAAGUACGUCACUUGACUUUCUCCCAGUUUCACCUUUCAUACCUCAUUUGACUGUCUCUAAGUUUCUCNNNNNNNNNNNNNNNNNNNNNNNNNNNNNNNNNNNNNNNNNNNNNNNNNNNNNNNNNNNNNNNNNNNNNNNNNNNNNNNNNNNNNNNNNNNNNNNNNNNNGUGGGAAAGAGUAGAAGGUAACACAUGAUAUUUAGAGAUGCUUAUUUCCCAACUAUGAAGUAUCAUAGCUAAUAAUUGAUAAUUUAUGUUAUGGUUGUCGACAAACAGAGACAGGGAGUGAAGACGAUGGUCUUCUGGACCUUAGUGAUGAUGAUUUCUUUGAUAAAGGGAGUUCAAGCGAUGAAGCAGACGCAGAUGAUGAAUUGACCGAUAAAAGCGCAAAGUAGGCCUAGUUAAAUGUGGAAUACUUUCUUUUAGACGUUAAUACUUUUAAUUGAAGCUUACUAAUAAAGAGAAUUUCUGACUAAAUUUCUUAGGGAGGCUGCUUCUAGUGCUUCUGGUAGAGCAACUUCUGGCAUGUCUA
rnacentral:lncRNA from 1 species